rnacentral:lncRNA from 1 species
CAGCAUUCGAAAUAUCAAGAUUGUGAAUGUGUUUUUGUGUCUGAAUCCAUUUAGGAAAUGUAAGACCAAGUUUGCAUGAUCUCAAUCCUAUACCACGCAGUUGAAAAGGUGGGACCCAAUUUUCAGUAAAUGUCAAUGCUAGUGAAUUGUCUGACAAGUCUAAUUCCUUUAACAUUGACAUACCAGCAAAAUGGAAGUCUGAAAUCACACCAUUAAUUUUAUUUUCAGAAAUAUGAAAUAUUUCCAAAAAUGAGAAUAUUGAGAGAUCAGGUAGUGUGCCAUUGAUUUUAUUACUGCUUAGAUAUAAUUCUUGGAGUGAGUAUCUAGCACAUCUAGAUAAGUGAUGGAUUAAUACUUGAAGCUCACCACUGAAACUGUUAUUGGACAUUUUCAAUGAUUUCAACUUACAUGCAUUCAUCCAAAAUGAUUUUGGAAUUUCCCCUUCUAAAGUGUUUGAUUGGACGGAUAAAUAUUCCAACUGAAAUGGCAAUCUACUACCUUCAGGAAUCUUUCCACUCAACUUAUUAUAAGAAAGAUCCAAUGUUUGCAAUGAUGUGAAUAUAGAAAGGUCGGGUAUAGUUCCAGUGAUUCCAUUAGAACGGAGGUCUAACACUUGAAGUGAGUUUCUAACACAAGUACUAGACAAAUAGUGAAAAAUUAAUUGAAGGUCUUCUGUGAAAUUGUUUUCUUCAAUAUCUAAAGAACGUAAGGCACAUAAAUUCAUGAAGGAUUUAAAUGCCACGCCCUUCAAUUUAUUAUUUGAUAGGUCAAGUACCUGAAGGGACUUCAUCACUAUGCCAUAACCAUAUGAUGGAAGAACCUCCAAAAGGUUGUUAGAAAGGUCAAGCUCAAUAAGAUUGGAACUCAUGUUUGACACCCACUGAAAUAUCAUGAAUGAUAUGAACUUGUUAUAAGAUAAUCUUAAUUUUCUCAUUUUUGGAAGACUACAGGAAAUACUAUUUGAUGGGAGAUCCACCAUUUGAUUACCAAUAAGGUCAAGCUCAACAAGAUUAGCACUUAUGUUUGACACCCAAUGGAAUAUCAAGGAUGAUGCAAAGUUGUUAUCGGAGAGAUCAAGGAUAGAAAGAGAAGUGGAAAAGUUGAACUUGGAUUGACUCAAUGAAUGGAUAAAAUGAUCAGAAAGGCCACAAUCUCUUAAACUUAGUUCUCUCAGUUUUGGUAACUUACCAACCAUUUGCAACCAACUAUUAGAUUUAUUAAGAUUAGAUAUCGACGACAUGUGAAGAUGGGUUAAAGAAUUAAGAUUAGACAACCACUGACCUCCACUGGGUUCGUCGUUGUCAACUGUUAGAAAUCUAAAAACGUAUCCUCCUUCAAGAUAAAGCUCUUGUAGGUUUGUAAGCUUUCCAAGUUGAGAUGGAAUUCUUCCUUCCAAACCAAUGUUGUGGCUGAGAUCAAGAAAUUGCAAGUUGGAGAGAUUUCCAAGUUGAGAUGGAAUGCUUCCAUCCAAAUCAUUGGUGUUGAGAUCAAGAAAUUGCAAGUUGGAGAGAUCUCCAAGUCGAUGAGGAAUCACACCAUCUAGAUGAUUGUUGGAAAGAUCCAAGUAUUUCAAAUGUGAAAGAGACUCCAAUUGAAUAGGAAUUUGUCCUCCAAGAUUGCAAAUUGAAAGAUCAAGGUAUCUUAGGUUUCUUAAAGAUCCAAAGAAACCUGGUAUAGAAUUGCCUUCAAAAUUAAUUCUACUGAAGUUCAAAUAUUGUAAUUGUUGCAACUCUGAUAUAGUAAUUAUUAUAAUCACCAUGAAGGUUGAGCAUAAGUACAUGACCAGUGAGGUUGCUGCAACCAAUUCCAUACCAUUCGCAGCAAUCUUCUGUUGUCCAAGAUGACAACAUGCCAAACUCAUCAACAAGGCCAUACUUGAACUGUAGAAGUGCCUUCCUCUCACUUUGAAUACAUCUAACAACCUCUUUUGAACAAAUAAGUUGGUCUGCUUGAAACACCAAACACAUGAGAAAUAUGAUUUGAAUCAAUUUAAAACAAAAUGGAUUCAUAAUUGACAUUGUGGUCAUCACAAGUUAUGUAAUAAAUAAUUGUUAAGAACAAAUGAUUACUUGGAAAUUAAUGAUUUUGAAAAAUGAUCAUUGCCCUUAUUUUUUUAUCAUUCUAAUGUAUCACGGAAAUUGGUCGGUUUUUUUUAUUUUUAGCAUUGUUAUAUGGUAAGAGAAGAUCUUAACGAAAGAGCAAUGAUAUAUCUCUAAAAAAUUAACAUCAAGAAUAUGGUAAUAUGACAAUAUAGAAAAUAGCUGUUGAAUAGAUUGGUAAUUACAACUUAAAAUUAGUGUAAUUCUUGCUUUUCGUUGAAUUUGUUUUCGUAACAAACAUCAUUAGUCUUUUUUCAUUUUUUUUUUUUUGAGAGAGGAAAUUGGUUGGGUGUUACUUUCUCCUUUUUAUUUUAAUUUUCUUUUUAGCAUUUUUUCUCAAAAUAAUUACCACUUCGAAAUUCAAUGUAACAUUUAUUAUUUUUUAUGAAAGCAAUUCUGUAUGCGUGAAACAUUCGCAAGAUAUAGCUUUGUCCUUUUUAAAAAUAUGUCAUGAUGAAAACAAGGACAAUUAAAGAAAUCAGUAUCACAAUAAAACAACGACUUGAAAUUCUCUAGUCUCCGGGCCAAUAAGCAUGUCAAGUACUAAAUGAUUACUCAGAAAUUAAUGAUUUUGAAAAAUGAUCUUUGUCCUUAUUUUUUUUAUCAUUCUCGUGUAUCACGGAAAUUGGUCGGUUGUUACUUCCUCUGCUUCAUUUUAGCAAUUUUUUCUCAAAAUCAUUACCACUUCGAAUUCAAUGCAACAUUUAUUCGCGAGACAUAGCAUUGUCCUUUUCAAAAUCAUGUCAUGAUGAAAACAAGGACAAUUAGAAAAAUCAGGAUCACACCAAAACAACGACUUGGAAAUCAUCUGGUCUUCGGGGCAAUUAACACGUCACGUAAUAAAUAAUCGUUAAGAACAAAUUAUUAGCAUAAAUGAAUGAUUUUGUAAAAUGAUUAUUGUCCUUAUUUUUUUUUAUCAUUCUCGUGUAUCGUAUUAAAUUUCACUCUACUUAACUACAAUCAUUAUAGGUGUUUUAGUAAAUGAUAUUAAUUUUUCUAUUGAAAUUCAUUCAACUAAUCAUUUUUUUACUAACCGCACACAAUCGUAGAUAGACAAGUAUAUUGAGACAGAGGGAGUAGUGCAUAUCAAUCUUCCCAUAAAUUAAACUAACCAUCCUGAAAGUAAAACCGAAAGCUUAUCAUAAUGCACCUUUCCAUCAAAGAAACAAAACAACCAUUGCUACUGAUAUUUGAAAUUUUCCAGAGUACUCACUAAACCAUAUUAAACAUGUGUAGCCUCUGCUUACUUACAUUAUAAAUAACUUGUACAUACAAAAAAGCACUUCAGGACAUGAAGCUUCAUCUGGGAAAAGCACUUCAAAUGAGAAAGAUGGAACAAAGAUCGAACUGUGAAAGUUUAUCCUUAUGAAAGCAACAUAACUCUGUCGAUUUUGGUAAUCAGCGACAAAUCUCUUAAAAGAAAUAUUCAACUUUAAUCCAAGCAAUUUUUGUCUAUCUCCAGAAUUGUGAGGUUUUCAGCUAACUACAUUGUAUGUUAAAAAAGAAAUAAAGAGAAAAGAAACCAAAAAAUUGUUCCGCUCUAACCACAAAUGAUCGAAUGACUAAUUAUAAGAAAUUACAACAAUUGUUACACGGUUUUAAUUGUUAAAAUUGCGUCUAUUUCGGAGGUAUGGGAUACGACAUUUCUCAAAAAACAAAGGUACUGGUACGUUAGGAUAUUAUUUUUUUAAUUUAAAAUAACAUAGCAAGGAGAAGUGAGAACAAAAGCUAGUAUAGAAUACGAUAAAGGAAGGAUUGGCUUUUAUAGAAUAUGAAAAAGGAAGAUAAGAAGAUACAAGAAUUUCUACUUCUGCAACUAUUGGCAGACAAGUAGCAGCAGUUCCAGAGUCAAAUAAAUGUUGUUGUGGCUAGCUCUUGAACCGUUUGAGUAUAAAAAAACAAAAAAAAACUAUAAUUGCUAUUAAUUCUCAUGAAAAGCCUCAUUUUGUCAAGAAAAAAAUGGUUAUGCAUACCCUGAGAGUACCCGCGGAGUACCUGGUACGGGUACGUUUUGAAGAUGUAUCAUGGAAGAAAAAAUGUAUUACAUACCAACAAAGUGCGAAAAAUUUAACCCACCUUGUACACCAUAUGGCAUGAAUUAAUCUUUUUGAUUUUCUUCCGAAGCAAAUCAUGAUCUAAUAGGGUUUCAUAACAAAAUUUUGUUAAAAUGUCACCAAAUAGAAAAACAAUCCCGUUACUACUAACACCAUUAAUUUUUCGUCAAUCUAUUUGUUUUCUUAAGAAAAUUUUUUGUUAACUUUUAACGAGAUUCUUCAAUUGGCAAAAGACAAACCAUUUUUUUUGUCGAUUCUCUACACUUAUGGAGACGAUUUUGAAAAUUCCAUGGUUCACGAACAAUGCCUUUAUUGACCUCCUUGCUGGCUUAGAAGUGGGUCUCUUGGCUGUCUUUGUCGAUUCUCAUGUUGUUGUGGUAUAUUCAUUACCUGAAGUAUGCACUUGAGUUUUAGAUGAACCUUUGAUAGUAACGACAGACAACGAAGGAAUGAACUAGAAGUCACAUUUUCAUUACCUGAAGUCCGUAUUUUUAAUAGAACUUAUGGGAGGUGAGUGUAAUUUUCCUUAUUCUUAUCAUUCUCGUAUUUCUCUGCUGUAACUCUAUCAGUAUUGUCAAUUAUCAAAUACUAACUAUCUUAGGCUUUUUGGUGAAAGAAACAUAAAUUAAUUUUUGUUGUAUGUGUAAGAUGAUCCCUUAGACAAGUGUUCUUUGGGGUUGAAAUGUGAACAUAAAUACAUUUUAAUUAAUUCCACCGGUCAUGUGCUGAAAUUCCGUUAGACAAAUACAUUUUUUGAGCUCUGAUUGAUCUCAAAGAGGCCGUUCUGAUCGUGUGGUCGGUGAUAUGAGAAAUGAACUAAGUGUUCUUUUAGGUUACGGAUGAUGGAGAACUAGCUGGAACAGAACACUUUCAACAGUUAAUUUCCUGAGGUAAGUCUAUGUUACUGAACAAUUUUCAUAAACAAUGUCUUAUUUUGGUAUUCUUCAUUACCUCAGAUGCACAGCUAACUUGGUUCGACAGUUAAUAUCCUGCGCUGCUUCGAGAAAUAUUAUGAGGGUGUUUUUGUGAUUUUCUCUUUCCUUUUCAGUAAGAUAAUUGGAUAACAUUAAGAACCUCUGACUUCAAUUUUCAUAUUUUCUUAAAUUAAAUUAUUAGUCUUAAAUGACACAUGUAUUUUUACUUGUAGAAUACUUCAACAAUGUUUAUUGCAUGAAUAAAUUACAGAGAAUUAAUACAAAAGGUAUUGCAAGUUGCAACUCAAUUCAACAAGAGACUAUUACAUAAGAGAUAAAUGACAUAACCACAUAUUACAAAGAGACACCCCAAAAAUCUAUUUGCUAGAAGAUAGUUUCUCUUCGGCCAUCAACAUCUCUCAAUUUGUCCCGAUUACACAAUCCAGAUGUGUAAAACAAGGUGUCUUUUGCAUGUCUGGAUUGUAUAAUCAAAACAAACCGAGUGUUUUGAGACAUGUUAGGAGCGAGGAGAAAUCAUGUUCCUAGAUUUACAAUGCAAAUAAUUCACAAACCAUUAAUAAAAUAAGAGAAACCAUUCAUCUUCCAAGAGUAAAUCUUUGACUGCACACCUUAAUCUGAUUCACCACCAACGCACUAUCGAGUACCCUUUAGUGAAGAUACCCCCUAUAUGAUAGUUUAAGUGUUAACGUCAUUAGAUAUAAAGUCUAGUUUAGUGUUAACGUCGUUAGAUAUAAAGUCUGAAAUACAAAUUAUUAGAAAACUUGUAACUUGAAACAUAAUAUCAUCAAAGAUAACUUUUGAGUUUCGAACAUAUAUCGCUUACCCUAUCAUCAAAGAUAGAUACAAAUAUUGUAUAAAAACAUAUGCUUGUUUUGAUGGAAGUAAGAAAAAAUUCAUUUAAACUCUCUUAAAUUUCUAAGAUCAACAGUAUUUCAUAAGAAGUUAUAUGUAAAAAAUAUAUUUUUAGAUACUAUACUGAUAUAUUAUGAUGACUAUUUGAUGUUACAUGUAAGUAUAUAUAUAGAAGAUGUCUAAAGUUAAAGUAUAAUUACCAGUUAACCUUUGAGCCCCCAUCUGCAUUUCACGUAAAUUGUAUCCACUAAGUUGUUCAUGAACUUGAAAUAAGCAUGUCUCCAUGAACGCUAUAUUAGGAUUGAGCCAAACACUCCCCAAAAGCCUAUAAUAAAUCCGAAUGUCAGACUUAUGUAAAAUCCACGAUUCAGAAGCAAAUCUUCAUCAUAUUGAACUUCUGCUUUUGGUUCAUGCGCUGAUUUCCCUUCAACACACAACUUUACAAGCGGUGGUCCACAAAGAUCAAGAUUAUCUUCGUAACAUGAGGGAUCGAAACUUUGUAGCUGUGUACACGUUGGAAUCUCUCCAUAUAAUUGAUUAUGUGACACAUCUAACACACUAAGUCGAUCAAUUUGAGAAAGACUAGAAGGAAUUAACCACGCAACUUGUUUUGUGAUAAAUCAAGAAAGUCAAGUGAUGUUAGCUUUCCAAUAUUUGAAGGAAUUUUUCCUGUGAAGUUGUUUCUUGAUAAGUUCAAUGAGACCAAUUGAAUCAAAUUCGCUAUUUCAGGUGGAAUCUCUCCUGAAAAGUGAUUGCUUGAGAGAUCUAUGCUUUUUAGAAGCAACAAUUCAUUGUUGUUGAAUACUUGGUCUACACCUUUCCAUGUUAAGAAUGGAUUUAAUUCAGCAACAAAUAUAGAUACAUUAACUGGUAUGCUAUGCUCGGUGUGAUGAUGAAUGAAGAAACUAUAAAUGAACCACAAAUGAAUUUUCAGAACAACUUUAGUAGAACAGUAAUAUAGAUAAUGUACCUGUACACAACAGUGAUCAAUGAACUAAACAAACGACAAAAAAACCAUAUAGAUGGAAAUAACAAGACCUCAAUGGCAUAUCCGGUUCUCCAACCUGCAACCACCAUAUUUUUUUUAAGUUUUCAAAACAGUCUUUGUGCAUGCAUUUUCCAUUAUUCAAAUCUUCUAGCAGCAUCUUGUUUUGAUACAUAUUUUUGGUUAUUUGACAAGCUGUUGAUGUUAAUAAGUGUAGUCUUGACUUGAGAAUAUGACAAGGUGAUUAAGAGGCCUUUAGAUACAAGAUUUUGGUAUGCAAUAUUCUUGGCAUUUUUUAUCUAUGUAUUUCUGUCUGAGCUAUUAUACAUAAACCACCUUAGGUGGCAUACACCCUUUUACACCCACACACAUUUGUGACAUGUGGCAAAAACAUUGAAAGAAGAGAUGACAAGGGGUGACGAUGUGAUGUGAAAUUACUAAAAUACCCCUAACACAUGAGGUGUACAUGGGAGGUGUAUAAAAAAGGGUGUCUACCUAUCUUUUUCUUUUCUGAUUCCUACUGUUACCAAUGGUUUAGUCUUUGUUUUCUUAUUGUUGUGCAAGAAUUGAUUUAUGAGACUCUAGAGUCCAGACAGACAGCAAACCUUAGAAUAUUGCAAAUUGCAAUUCUUUGUUGCAAGUAUGUGAUUUGAUCUUUGUAUGACAGAGGGAUCUUGAAUUCCUGCUACACCAGAAUCAUGAAGUUAUCAUAGUCAAACAACUUUGUUCGUCCAAAUUUGAUCGGAGAAAUCACAUUUCGACCUUGUAUUUUCGUCCGAUGUACUAAUGUUGAAACAUGAGCCAUGAUCGAAAUGUCAGGGUUUGCUUAAAUUCUGAUAAUUAAGAUAUGAAACUUGAAAUGCUAAAUUGAUUUAUGGUUUUUAUUUGUUUAUCACUGAUUAUAUGUACUUUAUGUCAAUGACAUGAAAAUUUAAAUAUAUUUAAAAUUCACAAACCGACAAGUUCUAAGUCAUAAACAAUUUCACAUUUUGAAAUUCUUCAUUACUGCUGAUGCAUGACUGAAUAUUUGAAUUUAAGCAUCCACCGGAAUCCCAGCAGCAACUACUUCAACAGCCAAUUAACUUGGUUAGACAGUUACUAUCCUGCGCUUCUGUGAGAACUAAAAAAGGUAUUUAUAGUCUCUAACUUGUGAGUAGAAUACAUGAGAAAAAUGACACGUGUUGUUUACUUGUAUAAUACUUCAUCAAUGUUUAUUGCAUGAAUAAAUUACAGAGAAUACAAAAGGCAUUGCAAGUUGCAACCUAAUUGAACAACAGACAUAACCAUAUAUUACAAAGAGAUACUCCACCAAUCUAUUCGCUAGAGGAUUGCUUCUCCUCGGCCCUCAACAUCUCUCAAAACACUCAAUUUGUCUGAAUUACACAAUCCCGACGUGUAAAACAGGGUGUCUUUUGCACAUCCUGAUUGUGUAAUCUACACAAAUAAAGUUCUUUGAGACAUAUUGGGGGCAAGGAGAAAUCAUCUUCCUAGAGUUACAAGGGAAAUAAUUCACAAAGCCUUCAAUAAAGAGGAGAUACUAUUUAUCUUCGUGGAGAAGGACUUUCUUGCACACCUUAAUAUGAUCCACAACACACUAUCCAGUAGCCUUGAUUGAAGAUUCACAAGAUUUUGCCAACCUAUAUAAUAGUUUAAGUAUUAACCACUUUAGAUAUAAAGUCUAAAAUUUAAAAUUUUAAAAAAGUUGAAACUUGAAAAACAAUAUCAUGAAAGAUAAAUGUAAGUAUAUAUGAGAGGUCUAAAGUUAAAGUAUUAUUACCGGUUAAUCUUUGAGCCACCAUCUGCAUUUCACGUAAAUAGCAUCCACUAAGUUGUUCAUGAACUUGAAAUAAGCAUGUCUCCAGGAACGCUUGAUUAGGAUUGAGCCAAACACUCCCCAAAAGCCUAUAAUAAAUCCGAAUGUCAGACUGAUGUAAAAUCCACGAUUAAGAAGCAAAUCUUCAUCGUCUUGAAUUUUUAAUUUUACUUCAUGUCGAGGCUUCCCUUCAACACACAGUUUUACAAGUGGCAGCCCACAAAGGUCAAGAUUAUCUUCAUAACAUGAGGAAUCAAAACUUUGUAGUUGUGUACUCGUUGGAAUUUCUCCAGAUAAUUGAUUAUGUGACAAAUCUAGCACAGCAAGUCGAUCUAUUCGGGAAAGACUAGACGGAAUUGAACCAAGCAACUUAUUUCGUGACAAAUCAAGAAAGUCAAGUGAUAUUAACUUUCCAAUUCUUGAAGGAAUUUUCCCUGUGAAGUUGUUUCUUGAUAAGUUCAAUGAGACCAAUUGGAUCAAAUCAGCAAUUUCAGGUGGAAUCUCGUCUGAAAAGUGAUUGCUGGAUAAAUCUAUGCUUUUCAGGAGAGACAAUUCAUUGUUGUUGAACACUUGUUCUACACCUUUCCAUGUCAAGAAUGCAUUCAGUUCAUAUUCUUCUCCAUAACCCGAAGAUCCUCGGGUUAUAUAAUAUUGAUGAUGUGUAUAACCUUGUGAUGAAGAUUUUUGAGUCAUUGAAGUGAAAUUUUUAAUGCAUUUAGGAAUUCGCCCAGAUAGAUUGUUUAAUGAGAGAUCAAAAAGUUGAAUCUUUUGUAGAUGGCAGAGUUCCAAUGGUAAACUUCCAUAGAAUUGAUUUCUUUGUAAGCUUAAAACUUGCAACUCUUUUAAUUCACUUCCAAUCCAAUAAGGGAUGUGUCCUUCUAAUCUAUUGUCUCUCAAAUCAAGCAUUACUAACUUUGUGCAGUUCAUUAAGGAGAAAGGGAUCUCCCCUGUCAAGUUGUUGUUCCUCAAUAGGAAUGCUUGCAGUUCUACAAGUGAUCCCAUUGAAGUAGGAAUCUUCCCUGAAAAAUUGUUGCUGCUCAAAUCUACAUAAACUAAUGACUUGAAAUUGCUCCAACAGUUUGGAAUUCGUCCAGAUAAUUGAUUAUUCGAAAGGUCAAACUGGCCUAACACUGCAUCUAUACCAUUUUUACAUAGGAAUGGAAGAGAAUCAGAGAAUUUGUUUUUGGACAAAUCAGUAACUGUAGAACCUUUUAGAAAUGGUGGAAUAGGCCCUUCAAAUUCAUUUGAUGAAAGAGAUAAAACAGAACAACGAUUUUUGACUUGAAGAUUUGGAAUUAAUCCUUUGAGAUUAUUGUUUGAAAUGUUGAUGUUGUUGCACCAUUGUGAUGAUAGUUUAGCCCAAAACCACUCUGGAACAUUAUCUGAAAUUCCAGCCUUCGAAAUAUCAAGAUCCUGCAGGUACUUUUGUGUCUGAAUCCAUUUAGGAAAUGUAAGACCAAGUUUGCAUGAUCUCAAUCCUAUAUUGUACAGUUGAAAAGGUGGGACCCAAUUUUCAGUAAAUGUCAAUGCAAGUGAAUUGUCAGACAAGUCUAAUUCCUUUAACAUUGACAUACCAGAAAAAUGAAAUUCUGAGAUCACACCACUUAAAUUGUUCGAAUUCAUUCGUAGUAUCCAUAGUGUAGUUGGAAAUCGAAUAUCUUCAAAUAUCUUCCCGUUUAGUCUAUUUUCAGAAAUAUCAAACAUUUCCAAAAAUAAGAAUAUUGAGAGAUCAGGUAGUGUGCCACUGAAUCUGUUAUAUGAUAGGUCCAAUGAUUUCAACUUACAUGCAUUCGUCCAAAAUGAUUUAGGAAUUACCCCUUCUAAAGUGUUUGAUGCAAUGGAUAAAUGUUCCAACUGAUAUGGCAGGCUACUACCCCCAGGGAUCUCUCCACUUAGUUGAUUGGAAGAAAGAUCCAAUGUUUUCAAUGAUGUGAAUGCAGAAAGGUCAGGUAGUGUUCCAGUGAUUCUGUUAUCACUGAGGUCUAACACUUGAAGUGAGUUUCUAACACAACCUCCAGACAAAUUGUGAAGAACUGUUUGAAGUUCUUCUUUGAAAUUGUUUGCAUACAAAACUAAUGAACGUAAGGUGCAUACAUUCAUGAAGGACUUAAACGCCACACCCUUCAGUUUAUUGUAUGAUAGGUCAAUCUCCUGAAGCGAGUUCAUCACUGUGCCAUAACCAUAUGAUGGAGGAUCCUCCAAAAGGUUCAUAGAAAGGUCAAGCUUUACAAGAUUGGAACUUAUGUUUGACACCCAAUGGAAUAUCAAGGAUGAUGCAAAGUGGUUAUCAGAUAGAUCAAGGAUAGAAAGGGAAGUGGAAAAGUUGAACUUGGAUUGACUCAAUGAAUGGAUAAAAUGAUCAGAAAGGCCACAAUUUUGUAAACUUAGUUCUCUCAGUUUUGGUAACUUACCAACCAUUUUCAAUAGAUGGGUUAAAGAAGUAAGAUUAGACAACCACUGACCUCCGUUGUGAUCCCUGUUGUCAAUAGUCAGACCACUAUCACCAUAUUCAUUUCCAAGAUAAAGCUCUUGUAGGUUUGUAAGCUUUCCAAGUUGAGAUGGUAAUUUUCCUUUAAAAAAAUUUCCAUGGAGAUCAAGAAAUUGCAAGUUGGAGAGAUUUCCAAGUUGAGAUGGAAUGCUUCCUUCCAAAUAAUUGAUGCUGAGAUCAAGAAAUUGCAAGUUGGAGAGAUUUCCAAGUUGACAUGGAAUGCUUCCUUCCAAAUAAUUGUGGCUGAGAUCAAGAAAUUGCAAGUUGGAGAGACCUCCAAGUUGAUGAGGAAUCAAACCAUCUAGAAGAUUGUUGGAAAGAUUCAAGUAUUUCAAAUGUGAAAGAGACUCCAAUUGAAUAGGAAUUUGUCCUCCAAAAUGACAAUAUGAAAGAUCAAGGUAUCUUAGGUUUCUUAAAGAUCCAAAGAAACCUAGUAUAGAAUUGCCUUCAAAAUUAUUUCUACUGAGGUUCAAAUAUUGUAAUUGUUGCAACUCCAUCAAUGACUUGUGGAUAUCACCACUGAUAUAGUAAUUAUUAUUGUCAUCAUUAUUAUUAUAAUAAUAAUAAUCACCAUGAAGGUCGAGCAUAAGUACAUGGCCAGUGAUAUUGCUGCAACCAAUUCCAUACCAUUCGCAGCAAUCUUCUGUUGUCCAAGAUGACAACAUGCCAAAUUUGUCAACAAGGCCAAACUUGAAUUGCAGGAGUGCCUGCCUCUCACUUUGAAUGCAUCUAACAACCUCUUUUGAACAAACAAACUGGUCUGCUUGCAACACCAAACAUAUGAGAAAUAUGGCUUGAAUCAAUUUCAUAGAAAAUGGAUUCAUAAUUGACAUUGUGGUCAUCACAAGUUAUGUGUCAAGAUAUGUUUGUAAUUUGAUUGAUUGUUGUGUGUACAUAAUUGCAUUGCCAAUAGCUGAAUUUAUAAUAAUCACAUUGUGGUCAUGAAUGAUUGUUGCCAAGAACCAUAAGGGGAAAAACGUAGAAGACUUUAAGAGUCUUUCAUAAAAAACAAAACAAAAGAAAUAUAAUCAACCAUAAUUAAUAAUUAUAUGAUUCGUCGAUUUUUCCUUUGUAAUCUUUUUCUUUUGAUUUAUGUUAUACGAUAUACAGUAUUUUGAUUUUUAACAAGGCAAAAUAAAAUUUAAAUGCCAUAAAAACGGUACCCCUAGCUCAAAUAGUACAAGGGUUGAACAAGAGUCUUACAAAAAUAACACGAACAAAAAAAGAAACGCGCAGUGUAAGUUAACUCACGCUAGUGUUAAUCUCUACGUGACUUAACUCACGCAGGAAUUAACACCUGCGUAAGUUAACUCGUUAAUAAAAUAGUAUGAUAUGAUAUAUGUGACUACCAUGUUUGACUUGAUUUUAAUAAAAUAAUAAAGUGAUGGUCUUGUUUGUUAUCAGGAUAGCAGGUAAAUAAGACAAUUCAAAAUAGUCUUAUCAUUAUCAAAGAAAGCAAAAAGAUAUAUAAUUGAAUGGAGUCACGUGCAUCAUGUAUAUGUAAAAAAGUGAAAGAAAUCAUGACUUAUUUUUUUGUUUGAAAUUCAAACAUCUUCAUUAGAUAAUAGAAGUGUUACAGCUGCAAUGGGUUGCUGUCCCUUGGAUUUCUUAGCAGGUACUGUUUGAUUAAAAUCAACAACAAAAUCAAGUGCAGCAGUAGCAACAUCAGGGGGAAAGGUAUUAACCAUUUUGAACACCAAAAUAGUGCAAAAUAAUUGUGAGCUUAAUUUAUCUUUCUUUUCUAACCAAUUUAAAAGCCAGCUACUAAGAGAGGAGUGUAACGGGACAUGGAUGCCAAGGCUAGAUGAGAACCAAACUAACUUAGCAAAAUUGCAUUCCAUGAAGAGGUGGUGAGCUGUUUCAGUUUUAGAAUUGCACAUCGGACACAAAGGCUCAAUAUUAACCCCUUUGUUAACCAAGUUUCCUCUGGAGUGUAACCCCUUUCUUUCCUACCAAGUGAAAUCAUGUAUAUGUGCGAGAAAGUGAAAAAAAUUGAAUAAUUUACGCUAUCUGAGUUAACAUGUGUAGGUCAUUUUGGAUAUUUAUUUUAGGAAUGAGCGAAACCAUUUAAGUAAAGAGCAGUAUUCUCUUAAUUAGAACUAAUGAUUUUUCUGGUUCUAAUAAUUUUUUUUUGAAGGAUUCUGAUCCUAAUAAUUAUUACACAAAUUAUCCCGUAUAUUUUUGUUCCUAAUUACUUAAAUAUCAAUUUAUUGUUUAUGGUCCUAAUUACUUUUUUUUUUUGACGAAUGUGGUCAUAAUUACUUGGAAAGUUAUGUAUCAAUAGCUUAAGAAAUCCUUUUUAAUAGUCCUAAUAAUUACUUAAAAAUGAUAAUUUUUUUGUUAACAGACGUUCUUACAUAUUUUUUGUCAAAAAAGAUACUCUUACGUAUUUCUCAUCAAAAAAAUUCUUAUGUAUUUUUUGUCAAAAAAGAUAUUUUAAGACCGUUACAUUGAUAGAGUUGGAAUCAAGCCAAAUAACUCAUGACCUUUGAUUAAGUUGAAAAUAUCUCUUAUCAUCUCAUCCAAUUUCUCUUGAUUGACAAGUCUAUUAUUAUUAAAAUCAAUAAUAUAUAUAUAUAUAUAUAUAUAUAUAUAUAUAUAUAUACAAUUUUCUUAUUCUUUCUAAAUAUAGUCUUAAAUUUUAAUUCUAAUUAUUUUAAACUCAACGUCACUUUUAUUAAAUUUAAUACAUAAUUGUUAAUGAAGGUUGUCUCAAUUGAUAAGUACCAUACUCAUGUGCAAGGUCAUGGCUUCAGUUGUCGAUGUCGAUGGAACAUAUUAUGUGGGUUAUCUCUAAAUACCUAUGCAAAGCUCUUUAUACUUGAGGUCUGCCCUAACCUUGAUGAACACCCAGAGCUCAACUAUACUUUUUGUGACCAAUUUUUUUAAUAAAUAAUUCAUUUUUUAAAUAACAAAUUAAUAGAGAAAACUUCAAAUAGUUAUUUAUUUAAAUUUGAAAUAUUUAUUCUAAUCAAUUUUAUAUAUGCAUAAACAUUUUUUUUCUUAUAUCAUAUUCAUCUUAAACACAUAUUCUGGAUUAUUAUUUUAACCUACACAACUAUAAUUUAUUUAUUUUAUAUUUUAGUUAGAUGUUAAUGGUUAAUUCAAUAAAUUGUGUGUUUUAAUGAGUAAUCUUUUUUCUUAGAUUAUUUCAGAGAUAUAUAUGAAUUUUAAUGAAUAUUAUACAUAUAAUCUGAACUGUAAUAUAAUAUAUGCGAUCUGGUUAACGCCAGAAAUAUACACUAGUUAUAUUAUAGAUGAUAAGUUAGCUGAUAGCUUAUAACUGUUAGUUGAUAGCUGAUGACUAAUAACUUAUAACUGAUAGCUAAUGAUUGAUUACUGAUAGCUUAUAAGCUAAUAAUUAAAAGAGAGGGAUGGGCUUUUUCUGCUCUUGUUUUUCUCUUUGUAGCUGGUGUUUCUUUAUUUAUUUAUUUUUUAGAGUGGUGUACAUGGGUGCCUUUUUGUUAUUUUUCUUUUAGGAGGGGCUAUGAAGUUUUUUUUUUAUCCUAUACACUUGUACAUUUGUUCUACUUUCUUCUUUCAUAUAUAUAUAUAUAUAUAUAUUUGUCACUUAAAAAAAAUUAAUUAUUGUUAUUUUGAAUUAAAUUUUUUUUUUGGUGGAAAAUUUUAUUUAUUUUUUCAAACUGGGUGGUUGAAAUGGAGAAUAGUCUCAGGUGUUUUGUGCGAUAAGAAAGUACCACUUAAGCUGAAAUGAAAGUUCUAUCGGACAACAGUCAAACUAGCAAUGUUGUAUGGUACGGAGUGUUGGGCGGUUAAAAGUCAACACGAGAGUAAAGUAAGUGUAGCAGAGAUGAGGAUGUUGCGAUGGAUGAGUGGUUAAGACUAGACAGGAUAGGAUUAGGAAUGACACCAUUAGAGAGAUAGUGGGGGUAGCACCUAUAGUAGAAAAGUUGGUAGAUAAUAGGCUUAAAUGGUUUGGACAUGUAUAGAGAAGACAUGUAAAUGCCGUUGUAAGAAGAGUAGAUCAAAUAGUGGAGAGUCGGAUUAAAAGAGGUAGAGGAAGACCUAAGAAAAACAUUAGAAAAGAUUUAGAGGUCAAUGGGUUAGAUCCAAAUAUGAUUUUUGAUAGAAUACUAUAACGUCAUUUGAUCCAUAUAACCGACCCUAUUUAGUGGGAUAAAGUUUGGUUGUUGUUGUUGUUAACUCAGAUAUAUUUUUUUUUUUUUUUUUUAAAUACCGAACCAGAACAAACAAAUCUGUUAUAAUCUCAUCACGAUCGUGAUUGGAAACAAAAAUGGAUCUACACCAUUAAUAAAAAGGGUAAAGACCACGUCAUGACAUAAUAGUCUUUUAAAAAAACAAAAAUACAGACUUGGAAAAGUCUUGGUCUAUUACUGUGCAAAGACUGUUUUCAUCCACAUAUGUGUUCUCUAAAUUAAAAAAAAACAAACCUAUUUUUAAUUUUAUGAUUGUGAAGGGAAUUCUGUGUUAAUGAUGGAACGAAAGGCAAAUCUUUUUAUUUUGAAGCAAUGGCAAAUCUUAGGAGAGAAAGAAGAAGGUUUUCAAUUCAUUAAAAGAAAUUCUACAUCAUUAUGCAAAUUGAUAUAUAAUAAUUGAAUGAUAAAUAGUAAUGUGAAACAAUAAAAAGGAAAAAGAAUAUAAAAAUCCUAUAAUCAUUAUUAUUAAUCUAUUUCUUUUUGAAUAUAAACAUGAAAUGAAUAGAAAACUUGGGAUAUUACUCAAUUUAAUGUAUUUAUUUAAAAUUUAGAUUUUUAUUAUCAAUAUACAUCAUCCGGUCACUAUUAUAAGCAAAAAUAACAUCUUAGAUUCAUUCAUAAAAUGAUGUAGGUUGUUUACAAUAAAAACAUUGUACAUCAUUAAUUGAAUGAAUCUAAAAUAUAGAUUUUUACUUAUAAUUGUGAUCGGAUGGUGUAUGUAUAUAAUGAGUCAUGAUCCAUUGUUACUAAGUGAAAGUCAUUUAAGAGUUUCUUCUACCAUGAUGAAAUUGAUAAAUCAAUUUCUUCUUCAAUCACUACAUAAUGAGAAUUGAAUAUUUUCAUUUCCGUCUAUCAGUGCUUGAGAUCCAAUCUUUAAACACCUCGUCUGUAAUGAAAUAAAUGGUGAUGUUGUUGAAUGACCUUUGAGUGGGGUAUCUUCGUCAACAAACUUCCUCUUCGAGCGAAUAAGGACGGUGUACCUGCACACACUCUAACGGUCAAGUCAUGAAGUGUCGUAGAUUGACAGGAAUACGUGGAUUGGAUAAUAGUGAGCGUACUUGACCCAAUAACCAUAAGUUAAUAUUUAUAGAGUAGAUUUAAGAUUUUUGGCCCUUAUACCUUUACCUAGACAACUGUCUUUAAGGAUAGGUAUAGGCAUGACAUUGAGGGGAUGGGUGGUACGGAUUUUACAUUCCCCGUCCCCAUACCCGAUUUUAAUAUACUUACCCGUUACCCUACCUAUACCCAACGGGGAUGAAAAAUUGAAUCUUAUCCCCAUCCCCGACAACCCCUAGAGAAAUUUUGUAAUGAAUUAUCCAACAAUAUGCUCACUUUAACAUUUGUUAGACCGAUUGAUUUAGUUGCUCCUUUAAAUAUCAAUGAUAGUUUUUAUAACACAACAAUUAUCAAACAAAAUAACAUGACAUAUCAACAUAAAGUAAUUUUAUGCAUUUGGGACGGGUUUGGGUAUGGGUUCGGGGUUGUAACACCCCGUUUCCCAAAAUCAAUUUAAUUAUAGAUAUAAAAUCAGAGUUCCACAUUAAACGGCAUGUCACACUACAAAAUAUAAAUUCUUAAAUAGAUUAAAACUAUUUAACAACAUCCUUCAUUAAACUGCAGCGGAAUAUUCUUUAAAUUAAACUUCAUUAUCCAAAAUAAUCUUGGCAUUAAGCCUCAACAUGAAAAUUCAACAUAAAACAUGGACUACAUUAAUUUGUUCCAAAAUUUGAUACAUAGGUAGAAAUUAAACUAUAAAUCCCAUCCCACGUAUCAGAGUCCUAGACACUUUGAGCCACCACCAACUACUCAGGAUCACCUGCAAGUUACCCAUAGGAAGGGCAACAUUUUCAAGCAGAAGGGGUGAGAUUCACAACAAAAUAUAGAUAAAGAAUACAUCAAUUGAAUCUAACACCCUAUCAUAAAUCAUCAACAUUAUUAUUAUUUACAUAACAUCAUUUUCGCAUCUUAUCACAAUAUUAAUUCAUACACCUCUCAACAAUAUAUACAACUUAUCACCACUCCACUAAGACUCCUCUAAACACCCAUGCAUGUGGUACCAAAAAUCAGGGCCGUGACCCACACCGCUGUCGAAUGGUUAAAGCAUUCUCAACAGGACAUAAGUCCUCACCACUACACCACUUUGAGUAACUAGUACUCCACCACUUUGAACGACUAAGCAUUCCAGAGCCGAAGCUCUCCCACUGUUAUGUUAAUGCAACUAAUCCCCAUAGAGUAUAUCUACAUACCAACCAACCUAGACAUAUACAUAUAUAUGAUUCACCAACCAACUUACACCUUUAAGGGAAUUUAAUUAAAUACAACAUUCAUUCAGUCAGCAUCCAUUCAUCAAAACCAACCAAAACAUCCAGGGAAAUAUAUAUCAGCAUACAAGCCAUGCAAUAAUUCAACCAAAUACACAAUCCAAACAACAACAGAAAUUAACCAACCAAAUACUGGGCAGCUCGCCUCGCGAGCUCAUCUACUCGCUAUGGCGAGCUCAGAAAAACAGGUACUCGCCAUGGCGAGUUGGAGGCGAACUCGAGGCGAACAGAAAUAUGGUGCUCUCGGGAAAAAUGACAUUUUUCUCACUCAAACCUCAAUUCUAAGCUCCCUAAUCAUCUUUUAAACUUAAAACGUGCUCUAGUCCUCUUAAAAAUCAUCUAGGUACACGAAACUACCCAAAAUACGGCUUAUAACAACAUUUACAAAAACCAGAUUUUAACAAGGCUACUCGCCAUGGCGAGCUGUAUCACUCGCGAGGCGAGCGAUGAAGUUGUUCACUCGCUAUGGCGAGCAAUGGCUACUCGCGAGGCGAGCGAUGAACUACUGUACGGGCAGAAUGCAGGUUUUUCCAAAAAAUCCCAUUUUUCCUCAAUUCACUCCCCAAAUUAGUUUACAGAUAUGCAAUGAAAGGUUUUAUGCACCCAGAACCCAUUUCUACCCUCAAUUCCAUGAUUCCUACACCCAAAACUCCAUAAUCAACAAAAACCUAAUUUCUCCCAAUCCUCACAUAAACCUGUUAGAACAAAAUCAACAUUCAGAAUCUAUAUAAUUGCAGUAAACCUCACCCUUACCUUGGAAUUGCAGAAUAAACACAGCAGGAAAAUGGUUCCUAAGCUCCUCUCCCUUGCACUAGCUUUUCUCCCAAAACUUGACUGUUUUCCCGUAAAACGUUUUCUCUAUUUUUCUUUCCUUAACUCCCAAAGUGUAACCUCCCCCACUCCUUAAUUAGCAAUUAACUCCCUACUAACUAUACUAAUUAUUUCAUAACCCCCAAAUUCUAAUUAAUCCUAUUAUUCUCCUAUUUUAAUUAUUUAAUAAAAUAAUCAUAUAAUAAUUAUAUAUACACCACAUAAAUCACCAAAAUCAAAUAAAAGACACCACACAAUAAAAAAAUAAUUAAAUAAAAAUUAGAGUGUUACAGGGGUGGGUACCUAUAUACCCGUUACCCGUCUCAUACUUGUGUCUUAAAAUCGGGGAAAACUCAAACCCAGUCAAAACGGGUAAAACCCAUCAAAAUGGGUUUAGUUCGGGUGGGUAACCACGGUUAUGGGUUUUGUUGCCAUGCCUAGAUAGGUGUAGUGCUUUUAGGGGCAACUAUUUGGUGCAUAACCCUGUACCAUGGACUUUUAUACCCUUACCAUGAUCUUGUGUGUAGCUUAUGCUAGAGAUCAUAUUUGGUCAGUGCAUAGUUCCAUGUGAGCCUUCUGCUAUGAACCAUACAACUUCGAAGUGUAGACGCAAACAUGCAAUCCCGGGUACCACGAGUCCUACAAAUCCAUAAAACCUCAUGCAAGGAACCCUUUGAAACAUAUGGAACAUACUUGAAUUCAUAGAAGGACUCGACCCAUGUCUAAACGCAAAGUGUGGUAAAUCUGAGUCGAAGAAGACGAUUUACUUAAAAUAUAAGAUAAAGGGUCCACAUGUCUUCAGAUAGAAGUCAUUUCAUUACUCAAAAGAUGUCAAAUACAUGACGGUACAUCAUCAAAAGAUAGAAGUUAUUUAACUUGCACCAAAUCGAAACCAAAUCAUUAUAUUUAGGGGAAAUUAUCUUUCAAAAAAAAUAUUUACGGGAAAUUAUAUUCGCCUUUCCAAAGAAGGUGGAUUUAUUCAAAAAAAAAGAAAAAAGAAGGUGAAUAUAAUUUCUUAGAAAAAAGAAAAUAGAACAUACAUGUUGCCUUUAUUGAGUUUGGUUCAUAUUUUAUGAUAUUCUCUCACAAAAUCCAUUAGUUCAUUUUCAUUUCUUCGAAGCAAUCAACAUCCACAACUAUCCAGGAAACAACUCAAAAGAAUUGAACGGUCAUGACUCAAAACAUAAAUGGGUCCAGACUAAUAAAAAAAAGGUAAAGACUACGCGAUGACAAAAUAAGUGUUUUAGAAGAAAAAAAUAUUGUUAAAAAAAAGUAUUUUAGAAAAAACAAAAAGAUAGACUUGGAAAAGUCUCUAGUCAAUUACACCUACUAUGGAAAGACUACUUUCAUCCACACUUUUGUUCUUGGUUUUGUUUUGUUCAUGAACUCUAUAUCAUUAUGUGAAUUAGGCAUAGAGUCAGAACGAAAACAUCAUUGUUUAGUGAAUGAGUGGUUAAGAGAAUUGAUUUCAAAAGAAUUGGAAAAACAUUAUAAAAGGAAGAUUAUUACUUCCUACUCUAAUCUAAUUCGCGCGUCCUAUAAAAAUGGAUCUACACCAUUAAUAAAAAGAGUAAAAACCACGUUAUGAUUUAAUAGUCUUUUAAAAAAACAAAAAUACAGACUUGGAAAAGUCUUGGUCUAUUACAAUGCAUAGACUGUUUUCAUCCACAUAUGUGUUCUCUAACUUAUCAGCAUUAUGUGUUGUUCCUUAAGGGAGCGAAUGGUAAAGAAAAUUGAAUUUCAAGCAAAGGCAAAUCUUACGAGAAAAUUGAAGGUUUUCGACUCAUAAAAGGAAAUUCUACAUCAUAAUGCAAAUUAUAGUUGGAUAUAUAAUUGAAUGUUAAAUAGUAAUAUGGAACAAUAAAAAAGAAAAAGACGAUAAAAAUCCUAUAAUCACCGGUAUUUUGAAUAUAACUAACGUGAAAUGAAUCAAAAACAUAGGAUAUUACUCAAUUUAAUGUUGAAUAAUUUUAUAUAUUUGAUUCCAAACCAAAUAAAUCAAUUUUUCUUUUUGGUGGCCUAGAUCAAUUUUUCUUUUGGUGGUGGCCUAAGUUUGAACCCCAGAAUUUACAUAUUAUUAUGCAUUGUUCAUACCAACUGAGCUAAGGUUACGAGGACUAUAAAUCAAAUUUUAUCUCAACUUAUUUGAGUUUCAGUUUUACGCCAUUUAAAAAUUGAUCACCCGAAAUCGAAACCACACCAUUAUAUUUAGGGGAAAUUAUAUUCACCUUAUAGAAGGUGAAUAUAAUUUCAUAGAAAAAAAAAUAGAACAUACAUGUUGCCUUUAUUGAUUUUGAUUAUAUAUUUUAUGAUAUCCUCUCACAAAAUUCAUUUUCAUUUCUUCAAAGCAAUCAACAUCCACAAUUAUCCUGCACUACUAAAAAACAAAAAUUAGUGAGGGAAAUUUUGUGAGGGAAAACGUGAAAUCCCUCUCUAAUUCUGUCAUUAAAUUUUGCGAUCAUGGAAUUUGUGAGGAAUUUCUGUCACUAAUUUCCCUCGCUAAUUUUCCUUUUUUUAGUAGUGCUGGAAACAACCCAAAUGAAUUGAAUGGUCGUGACUCAACAUAAAUGGGUCCAGACUAAUAAAAAAUAAAAGUAAAGACUACGAGAUGACAAAGUAAGUGUUUUAGAAGAAAAAAAUUGUUAAAAAAAAGUAUUUUAGAAAAAACUAAAAGAUGGACUUAGAAAAAAUAUUGGUAGUGAACCACAGGAUUCAGCCUCCUACACAAUCUCAUGAUACAUCAUGCAUCAGAAUGACAUGUGGCACAUGAAAGGAACGCUCCACAAAUAUUAAGAAUAAUCUCAUUGUUCUCAUCUCAAAUAUAACAUAGUGUCGACAAGCUACACCGCCUUAAAGGUUAACCAACUUUUGGUUAACUACCAGGUAAAGGUAGAGAUUGGGGUCGAGGGCGAGGCAAUCCAAAAGAAUUGAACGAUCAUGACUCAAAACAUAAAUGGGUCCAAACUAAUAAAAAAAAGUAACGAUUACGCGAUAACAAAGUAAGUUUUUCAGAAGAAAAAAAUAUUGUUAAAAACAAUAUUUUAGAAAAAUAAAAAAUAUAGACUUGGAAAAGUCGUACCUUCAUCCACACUUUUGUUCUUGAAUUUGUUUUGUUCUUGAACUCUAUAUCAGUAUGUGAACUAGGCAUAGAGUCUGAACGAAAAACAUCAUUGUUAAGUGAAUGAGUGGUUAAAAGAAUUGAUUUCCAAAAAAUUGGGAAAAUUUUAUAAAAGGAAGAUUAUUCCCAUGGGUUUUUGAAUUAUAAUAUCUGAAAACAUCCAAACUGAGUUCGGAUUUAUAAUCCGAUAUAUGUUUAUGUAUAAUCAGCAAUCAGAAUCUCUCAUAUUUCAGCAGUUUUGAAUUUUGCUUUUAAAAACAACGAAAAAAAAAAUGAUAAAAAAAAAAUCUAUCAAAUAAAAAUAUAACAAUACCACCAAAAAAUUCUAAAAAUCAAAUUAAGCUAAUGCAAAAAAUUUCGGAUUUUUUUGAGAAUAUGAAAAAUAAAAAUAAAAAUAAAAUGUGUAUAAACGAUGGAAUGUUGGAUUUUGAGGAGCAGAGUCCCGUAAGAAGUCCUUUUCCGUGGAGUCUUGAUCCUUGAUAUUUUUCUAAUUUUAUUGGGAUGUUUUGGAGCAAUCUGAUCAAGUAGCACGAAAACUAGAUUUUUGACUAAGAACAACUAACAAUGACCUAAAACAGAAGGAUGGUUAAGAAGAUUAAUAUGGUCUUUAAACAGGUUAUCCAUGUUACAAAGAGACUCAGAAUUUGUGCUGAUACAGUUCGGGUUAUAUAAUCCGAACUGUUUCUACCCUUGAAAAGGGUGUUUUUCGGAUUAUGAAAUUCGAAUAGGUGAAAAACUCUUUUUUUUUUUCACCCAUAACAAAGGAAAAUCUUAGUUCGGAUUCUAAAAUUCAUAAAUCUCAAGGGCAUUUUUGGAAGAAAAAAAGGGCGCACGAGAGAUUAGUAGGGUGGGAAAAGUAAUAAAGAAGAUUUUGUAAUCGUACGAGUCUAAGAGGUCGGAUCCAGUUAUCCUUUGGAACUUCCAAUAGCAAAGUCCAUAAAAAAAUAUGGAAUGAAGGUCCAAUAAACAAAUCGAGUCUAAAUCUAGAAAAUUGCUUUUCUCCCUUUGAUUUUUGCUCAUUCUCAUCCCAAAAUUCCCAACUUAUCUCAACGCAAGUUAACUGCCGUUUACUACCAACGACAAUAAACUCAUGAUGCGUACUAGCGGUAGUUAACAUGUGUUGACCCCCCACGACAGUUAACUUGCGCCGGUUUCAUGUAUGCAGAACAACAAUUUGACAAAAUUGCUGUUUUUUUAAGCAGCGACAUUUAACUUGCUCUAGUUGUUUUAUUAAGCACUUAAAUGUGCAUUUUCACAAUACCAAUGUUCACCACAUUCAUUCAUUCACAAUACGUUAUGUUCAUUUUUUUCUAUUUCCAAUCAUUAACGACAAUUUUUUUAAACACACUCAUUUUUUUGAAAGAGACUAGAAAAGCGUUCUUGAGUAUAGGUAACUAGAAAUCUCUAGGACAUGAUGGAUUCCACCCAAUUUUCUUCAAAAAUCAAUGCAGGAUAGAAUCAUUUUGAAAUGUAAUCUUAUUACUUAGGGUAUUAAAAGUAAUCAUCUUACUAAAGCGAGUCACCUCAGAGCCAUUGCUUUAUGUAAUGUGGCUAUAAAAUAAUUUAUGUGAUCUCCAAACAUCAAAAUAGUUUCAUUCAUCUGAUAACACUGUAAUAAUAUUAUAGAAGGCGAUCCAUUCUCUUAACUAUAUGCAAUGUUUACACCUCGUAUAAUAUGUUGUACAACUAUGUAGACAACUUGUUUCUAUUCAAUAUAACAUCUUAUUCUUACCACAUCCUUAUUUUUUCAUUGUGUCAUAGUUCUCAAGAAUAUGAACUUUACAUCAUGUUCAAUUUUUGGAAUUACCAAAUCCUUAUUUCAAUGUUUGAGAGAGAAGGUUUUCAUUUCAUAAAAAGAAAUUAGUUACCUAUUGCAACUGUUUGUCUGUAAUAGAUUAUUACAGACAAACACAAAUUUGUUAUUAUACUUAAAAAUAAACUGAUUCGAAACAUAGAUAUUACAGGCAUAUAAGAAUAUGGCAUUUGUCUUCAAAUUGUUCAUUUAUAAGAAUUUUAUGAUUUUAUAUGAAGAGUAGAUACUAAUAUAAACACAGAGUUUAGUAGAUACUAAUCUAAACAGAGUUAUUUAUAAGUACAACGAAGUGGAUAUUUACAUGCAUCAUAUUUGAGCACAGCACACUUAUUGUAGUAAGCUUAAUAUGACCUCAUUUUUAAAAACGGCUUAAUCAAAACAACUUAUUUAUGCAAAACAGCUUAAUACGAUAUCUUUUUCAAAAACAGCUUAUUGAAAACAGGUUAUUUAUAAAAACAACUUAUUACGACCUCAUUUUCAAAAACCGCUUAUUCAAAACAAAUUAUUUAUACAAAACAGCUUAUUACGACCUCCUUUUGAAAAAAUCGCCUAUUUAAAACAACUUAUUUAUACAAAACUGUUAAUUACGACCUCAUUUUCAAAAACGGCUUAGUCAAAAAUCGCUUAAUACAGUCUAUUUUUCAAAAACAACUUAUUCAAAACAGCUUAUUUAUCCAAAACAGCCUAGUCUCACCUCUUUUCAAAAAAAAUCUUAUUCAAUAAAGCUUAUUUAUGCAAAACAACUUAUUACGAUCUCUUUUCAAAAAACAACUUAUUCAAAACAACUUAUUUAUCUUACUUGUUCAAAAAAGCUUAUUUAUGAAUAAGUUGUUUUUUAAAAAAAAAAGUCGUAAUAAGUUGUUUUGAAUAAGUUAUUUUUAAAAAAGAGAUCGUAAUAAGCAGUUUUGCAUAAAUAAGCUUUUUUGAAUAAGUUAUUUUUUGAAAAGAGGACGUAGUAAGUUGUUUUGCAUAAAUAAGUUGUUUUGAAUAAGCGGUUUUAGAAAAUGAGGUCGUAUUAAGCUGUUUUGUAUAAAUAAGCUAUUUUGAAUAAGCUGUUUUUGAAAAAGAGAUCGUAUUAAGCUGUUUUGCAUAAAUAGGUUGUUUUGAAUAAGCUCUUUUUGAAGAAGAGGUCGUAAUAAGUUGUUUUGUAUAAAUAAGCUGUUUUGAAUAAGAGGUUUUAGAAAAUGAGGUCGUAUUUAGCUGUUUUGUAUAAAUAAGCUGUUUUCAAUAAGCGUUUUUUGAAAAAGAGAUCGUAUUAAGUUAUUUUGCAUAAAUAAGCUGUUUUGAAUAAGCUAUUUUUGAAAAAGAGGACGUAAUAAGCUGUUUUGUAUAAAUAAGCUGUUUUGAAUAAGCGUUUUUUGAAAAUGAGGUCGUAAUAAGCUGAUUUAUAUAAAUAAGCUGUUUUUGAAAAAGAGAUCGUAUUCAGCUGUUUUGCAUAAAUAAGUUGUUUUGAAUAAGCGGUUUUAGAACAUGAGGUGGUAUUAAGCUGUUUUGUAUAAAUAAGUUGUUUUGAAUAAGCUGUUUUAAAAAAUGAGGCCAUAUUAAGCUGUUUUGUAUAAAUAAGUUGUUUUUAAUAAGCAGUUUUUGAAAAUGAGAUCGUAAUAAGCUGUUUUAUAUAAAUAAGCUGUUUUGAAUAAGUUGUUUUUGAAAAAGAGAUCAUAUUAAGCUGUUGUGCAUAAAUAAGUUGUUCUGAAUAAGCGGUUUUUUGAAAAUGAGGUCGUAUUAAACUGUUUUGUAUAAAUAAGUUGUUUUGAUCUUUCUGCAAGCUGCAUAUGGCCUUUUUCCCCAUCUGAAGAGUGUUUAAGUUAUAAGGAGUUCAAGUUGACACUUUUCUUUGUACAACACGUUGUAGAUCCAAAUAUACAUGCAUGCUCUUAUGUUUAUAUAUUUUUCUUUCACACUAAAAGCAUGACUUAGUUGUAAUCUUUACCGUUGAUGUGAACCGAGUAUUUUUGCACGCAAUUAUAUAGACCAAUACUUCAAUUUAGUAGGACCACAACGAGCGACAAAACUCUCCUUAAAGAGAAUAAUAUUAAUAUAGUUAUAAUCUUUGUUAUGAAGUAUAUCUUGUAUGAAAAAUGAUAGGGACACUUUUUUUUAACAAAAGAGUAUUGGCCAUCGUUUACACUAGUCCUACUGGGGCUUCAUGAGGAAUUUUGGCAGGAGCUGUGUACAUUUACCCAAUCUAAUCCAGGUUCUUGGUGUAUUGGUGGUGACUUCAUUAAGAAUGAAGAAAAAUAUUUUCUUGAGCAAAAAGCAUAUUCUGAUGAAUGUUAUUGUGGCCCAUGAAGAAUGUUAUUUGUAUCAACAAGCAAAAAGUAAAUGGUUGGUACUAGGCGAUCAAAACACUCAUUUCUUUCAUAUAUCAAGUCUUCUGAGAUGGAAGAUAUAUAAAUAUUUUUCUCAAUGACGACGAUGAUGAUAAUAAUUGAAUUUAUAACGAGGGUAAUCUUCAAAGAAUGGUUGUUGUUGGAACAAUAGUCAAAAUUAGUUUAAAAAAAUAAUUUUGUCAUCGAAGAGAUUACUAGACUUAGUCGCGGAUUAGGUCGCUCUCUUUAAAACGUUUCGUGACACUGCCUAAAAUUGUGCAUGCAUCUAUCAACCACGACGCUCCAAGAUAAAACAGCUCAGUUACAACUGUAUCAAAGUCCUAUUGCACUAUAGGAUCUGUUCUAGAAAUACACCUUGAAAUAUGGUGCUAAGAUUAAGAACAUUCUUACAUGGUACUAAGACCACUCGAAUAUGGUGUUUUCACCACUCUAACCUCUAACUUCUCCAAGGGCAUAAAACAGAGAUUAUAUUCUUAAGAUCAUUUGUAUUUUUCGAAGGGACGUUUUAUCUCGAAAGGGACUUUGAUCUUAAGAAUACUCUUAUUUUCGAAGGGACAAAAUUUACCGAAGGAACUAUGUUCUUAAGACCAUUCUUAAUUUCGAAGGGACAUUAUAAACCGAAGGGACUAUGGCCUUUAGAACACACUUUAAAUCCGAAGGGACAGAAAAAGAGGGAGAAGAAAAGAAUAGCUCGUCAACACAAGCUAAAGGAGGGAGAAGAGAGAAAAGUUCUUUGACAACUCAAGGGAACUUUUGGUGUGAAUAGAAGUGAGGGAGAGGAGCUCAAUUUAUAUUAUAGGUGAAGAGCCAAAGAUAAGUUACAAAUCCGAUAGCUAGGAUUAGUUGACCGUUGGAAAAUCAAUGGCUUGAUCGCAUCAUAAAUGAGCACUAAUAUUGAGAAAGUUGAUACAAGAAUUUUUUUAAUUCACACCAUAACACUCCAUGUGUUCCAACAGUUGUUAAUUGUAUGAAUAAGGAAUAUCAUACCUUAUGUGAUUUCCAAACAUCAAAAUAGUUUCAUUCAUCUGAUAACAUUGUAAUAAUAUUAUAGAAGACGAUUCAUUCUCUUAAUUAUAUGCAAUGUUUACACCUCUUAUCUAUUAUAGACUACUUGUUUCUUUUAAAUAUAACAUCUUAUUCUGUCUAUAACCUUAAUUGUUCAUUGCAUCAUAGCUCUCAGAAAUAAAAACACUCCGACCACUCUUUCCCUAGUUUCGAUGGCUGUGAAUUUCAAUCAGUUUAAUUUUGGUUAGUAGGGUUUUGUUUUGUUAUUGAGGUCAGUAAAUUAGAAACAGAGAAAAUAAACGGUGGAUGAAAAUAAGAACACGAAAUGAUGUGUAAAAUUGGCAUGUAUACAUAUUUUCGUCAAGUAGUAAAAGCAUGUAAUCCACAUGUACUAUAUUUUUUUUUACCAUGUCUUAGUACGAAGUGAUCAUCGCCGUUUAAGAGUGAUUCAUCUCCAUAUGGGAACCUGUAGGGCACAACACACAAGGUGAGUUCUAUUCUCCAUUUGAAUCUUUUUUUAAACGCAAGAGUAUGGAUCGAAGCUAUGACUACUUGCUUAAGGGGUACAAUUCAAUUGUUGGUCUCAAGGACUAUAUCUAGGGAUACGAAUUAAUUAGAAAUUAAUCAAAUUAUACCAUCAUAAAAACAUUGAAUGAAGAAAAAAAAAUCAAUUUAAGAAAGAAGAUGCUAUCGAUAAUUUGAAAUUAUACAAACCUAUAACUUCUUGAUAUUAUUGCAGGGUGGAUUUGUGAGGAAAAUAAUUGUUCAAGAAUUUGUCAAGGUAUUUGCUUUCAUGAUAGUCUUUGUUUAAGAAUUUCUCCCCCGUGCCAUCCAUGUGACCCUGUACGAAAUGUCCACCCGUUUGACUAACCGGUGUUACUUCCCUUUCAAGAACCGUCUUUGCCUUGACCUUUAAGUUGAAACUGCCGUCUGAGGCCACUCCAAGAUGCUAGACGGUACCCAUUGGAUGGGACAGUAUUACUGCUAAAUUUCAAUGACGGUAACCAUGUACACAAUAAACUAGCAGAUCAUACAAUAUUUUUUUAUAUAAAACAGAUAAAAUUCAAAUUAACGGAUGUUAUUUUCGAACAAACAAAUUGAAUUGUGUCGGGGGUACACUAUCAGGUCUCGGAAACAAACAUUUAUUGACAAAAUAGGAAUCGGUGUAUUCAAACAAGGAAUCAACGUGGAGAGCAUCCGAUUCACCACUCCACAUUAUCUGAAAGAUAAUAAUAGAUCGGUGAACAAUAGAGGUUUACACAGACAGCCUAUGCAUGUAUCAACGUGGAGGGCAUCCGAUAUACUAUUGCAUUUUUUGCCCUGCCAAUAUUUCUGUUAUUUAGCGAGGUAUGGGCACGGCAUUUUUUUUUGUAGUUUAUUUUCAUAUAUCCGGUCCGAUUUGCGAAUGAUUUGAAUAUUUUAGGUAUAUUAUAAUAAUUUCGUCAGGAAGAUUUGUUAGCUACAUUUAGUUACGAAGAGAUAUAUCUUCAUACAUUCAUAACUAAAAUCAGAAAAUCUCCUCAGUUAUGAGAUAAUGUUUGUUGUACAACUAUGUAGACAACUUGUUUCUAUUCAAUAUAACAUCUUAUUCUUACCACAUCCUUAUUUUUUCAUUGUAUCAUAUUUCUCAAGAAUAUGAACUUUACAUCAUGUUCAAUUUUUGAAAUUGCAACUGUUGUACUCUCAUAUUCAACAGAUAUUCAACAGAUCGAUAAAAGUUAUAUUCAUAAUUACAUCCUCCGAUCGACAGAUACGAAACAGACGGAGGCUACGGCGCCACCGCAAAUAGUUCGUCACAUAGAUGUGGAUAACAAGACAGUCUGUCACAAACUACAUUAAGCAGAUUUUGAAAUAAGUCAAUCGAGAGAUAUGAUAAAAUGGAAGAAAAGCAUAUUUUUUGCAAUCGGAAGUUACACUCUCAUAAAUUGAUAAACUUUUGAGCAAAACUGAUGGACCGUAGAGCAAUUCUCUUUGGUUUUGUGCAAUAGGAAGUUAUAUUAUGAUAUAUUUUUCCAUGAAAUCUGCAAUGAAUGAGUUCCUAAUCUUCUACUAACAGAGUGUGAAAAAAUGCAAAGUACUAACUCCCUCCCUAAAGAUAUUAUUGCCAUUCUUUCUAAACAGAGUGCAAAAUUCUACAUUAACGAUAGAUUCUUACAUGUUGUGUUAAGUAAUGUAAUAUAUGUUAGCGAUAGUUCAUAGAUAAAUUUUUAUUGAAAUGUGAACAUAGUUCAUAGAUAAGGCAGACAUGUGUAUUACAUUAUUAACGAUAGUUCAUAGAUAAAUUUUUAUUGAAAUGUGAACAUAAAUACAUUUUAAUUCCAGCAGUCAUGUGCUGAAAUUUCGUUAGACAAAUACAUUUAGCUCUGACGGAUGAUGGAGAACUAGCUGGAACAUAACUGAAUGGAGAAAAGGCAGACAAUGGCUACGGAUAAAAAGAAAAUCAGAACAUAUAUGACAUUUAAUGUGACAUGGAUACUUGUCUAGGAAAGAUAUUUGCAUCGAUCAAUCAAGCAAUAAAGACAUAUAUAAGAAUUAUGUCAAAAAGGAUAUUCAAUGUUCAUUUAAGACUAUGAACAUUGAUGUACUAGGAAUAUUCCACAAGGGAAUAUCAUCCUAGAUGUUAAUAUCACUGUUUUUCAUUGUUGUUUCACUAUUAGGAUUUGAUUACAUCAAAAGAUAGUCUCACAAAUCAUCCUAAGUGAAACAGAUGGAACAUUAUGAUGGUCAGAAUGUUCAGCUCAGCACAUGCUUACUUUAUGAACAGUACAGUAGGUGAAAAGCAAAAAGCAAAAGCAAAAGCAAAUCUGUCUUGUUCAUUAAAAGAUAGACACGCAUGGGAGUUGGUACAGUACAAGGACAACACAAUCCCUCAAAGCAUGGGCAUGAAGAUGUAGAAUCCCACUAUAUCUUUCCUGCACCGGUCCCAAGGCAGAUCUGGGAAAGUAACUUUCUGAUAUAUGUGGAAAAGCCCAUACUUUAGUUAUUGCCCAGAAAUUCAUGAAAAGCAUAUGACACGUUCAGAAAUUCAUGUGUUCAUUUAUAUAUGAUGAACCCAGAUGAAGAUCAUGAUGAACUCAGAUGAAGAUCAUCAUGAACACAACAACAUUCUGACCUAUUAUAGUGGGGGCUUUCUUAGCGCUUGGGAAGCGCUAUUAAGAGCCAAAAUGAGUGCUAUUAAAGGGAGUAUUUUGUAGUAGUAAUCUCGCCACUAAACUACUUGACAAAAAAAAAUUAAAAUUCUUGUGAGUAUGGAAAAAUGAGAAAUGUAUUUUUUUACUUUUAGAAUACUUCAUUAAUGUUUAUUGCAUAAAUAUGUUACACAGGAUAGAGAAUGUAUUACAAGUUGCAACUCAACUCAACAAACAAGAGAUAAAUGACAUAACCAUAUAACAUCUCUAGAAGAUAGUUUCUCUUUGGCCAUCAACAUCUCUCUUAACAAUCAAUUUAUCAUGACAAGGUGACUUUUGCACGACUGGAUUAUAUAAUCAUGACAAAUCGAGUGUUUUGAAACAUGUUGGGAGCGAGGAGAAAUCAUGUUCCUAGAUUUACAAUGCAAACAAUUCACAAACCAUUCAUAAAAAGAAGAGAAACCAUUUAUCUUCCUAUAGUAGAUCUUUGACUUCACACCUUUAUCUGAUUCACCACCAACGCACUAACGAGUACCAUUUUGUGAAGAUGUGCCCUAUAUAAUAGUUUAAGUGUUAACCUCAUUAGAUACAAAGUCCAAAAUAUAAAUUUUUAGAAAACUUGUAACUUGAAACACAAUAUCAUGAAAGAUAACUUUUGAACAUGUAUAGCCUACACUAUCAUCAAAGAUAGAUAGCUAAAAGUAAGAAAAAAUUCCUUUAAACUCUUCAAAAUUACUAAGAACACGUUUUUAAGAAAUUGUGGAGACUAAAGAUGAACAACAUUUCAAUAGAAAAUAUAUGUAAAAAAUAUAUUUUAUACUAAACUGAUAUCUUAUGAUGACUAUUUGAUGUUAAAUGUAAGUAUAUAUGAGAUGUCUAAAUUAAAGUGUUAUUACCGGUUAAUCAUUGCGUCCCCAUCUAUAUUUGACAUAAAUAUUAUCCACUAAAUUGUUCAUGAACCUGAAAUAAGCAUGUCUCCAAGAACGCUUGAUUAGGAUUGAGCCAAAGACACCCCAGAAGCCUAUAAUAAAUCCGAAUGUCAGACUGAUGUAAAAUCCACGAUUGAGAAGCAAAUCUUCAUCGUCUUGAACUUCUACUUUUGGUUCAUGUGGUGGUUUCCCUUUAACACAAAAUUUUACAAAUGGUGGUCCACAAAGAUCAAGAUUAUCUUCGUAACUUGAGGGAUUGAAACUUUGUAGUUGUGUACUCGUUGGAAUCUUGCCAGAUAAUUGAUUAUGUGACAGAUCUAACACACUAAGCCGGUCUAUUUGAGAUAGACUAGGAGGAAUUGAACCAAGCAACUUAUUUCGUGACAAAUCAAGGGAGUCAAGUGAGGUUAGAUUUCCAAUAUUUGAUGGAAUUUUCCCUGCGAAGUUGUUUCUUGAUAAAUUCAAUGAGACCAAUUGAAUCAAAUCUGCAAUUUCAGGUGGAAUUUCUUCUGAAAAAUGAUUGCUUGAAAGAUCUACGACUUUUAGAAGAACCAAUCCAUUGUUGUUGAACACAUGUUCUACACCUUUCCAUGUCAAGAAUGCAUCCAAGUCAUAUUCAAACAAGUCGGAAUUGAUAAGAUACAGAUGAGUGGAAAGACCUUGAGAUGAAGCCUUUUGAGUCAUUGAUGUUAAAUUUUGUAUGCAUUUGGGAAUAUGUCCAGAUAGAUUAUUCAAUGAGAGAUCAAACAAGUCGGAAUUGAUUCUUUGUAAGCUUAAAAUUUGUAGAUCUUUUAAUUCACUUCCAAUCCAAUAAGGGAUGAGUCCUUCUAAUCUAUUUUCUCUCAAAUCCAGCAUUACCAACUUUGUGCAGUUCAUUAAGGAGGAAGGGAUCUCCCCUGUUAAGCUAUUGUUCCUCAAUAUUAAUGCUCGCAGUUCUACAAGUGAUCCCAUUGAAGUAGGAAUCUUCCCAGAAAAAUUGUUGUGGCUCAAAUCUAGAUAAGCUAAUGCCUUGAAAUUGCUCCAACAGUCUGGAAUUUGUCCAGAUAAACUGGCCUAAUAUUGCAUCUAUACCACUUUCACAUAAGAAUGGAAGAGAAUCGGAGAAUUUAUUUUUGGAAAGAUCAAUUAAUCCAGAACCUAGUAGAAAAGGUGGAGUGGACCCUUCAAAUUCAUUUGAUGAAAGAGAUAAAAAAGAACAUUGACUUUUGGCUUGAAGAUUUGGAAUUAAUCCUUUGAGAUUAUUGUUUAAAAUGUUCAUGUUGCUGCACUCUGGUGAUGAUAGUUUAGCCCAAAACCACUCUGGAACAUUAUCUGAAAUUCCAGCAUUCGAAAUAUCAAGAUAAUGCAGGUAUUUUUGUGUCAGAAUCCAUUUAGGAAACGUAAGACCAAGUUUGCAUGAACCCAUUCCUAUAUCGUGCAGUUGAAAAGGCGGGACCCAGUUUUCGGUAAAUCUCAAUGCUAUUGAGUUGUCAGACAAAUAUAAGUAUCUUAACAUUGACAUACCAUAAAAAUGGAAGUCAGAGAUCACACCACUUAAAGAGUUCGAACUUAAUUCCAGUAUCCUUAGUGUAGUUGGAAAUCGAAUAUCUUCAAAUAUCUUCCCGUUUAGCCUAUUUUCAGAAAUAUCAAAUAUUUCCAAAAAUGAGAAUAUUGAGAGAUUAGGUAGUGUCCCAUUAAUUUGAUUGCUGCUUAGAUCUAAUUGUUGAAGUGAAUAUCUAGCACAUCCAGAUAAGUGAUGGACAAGUCCAAUGAUUUCAACUUACAUGCAUUCAUCCAAAUUGAUUUUGGAAUUACCCCUUCUAAAGAGUUUGAUGCAAUGGAUAACUGUUCAAACAAAAAUGGCAAGCUACCACCUUCAGUAAUUUUUCCACUCAGCUUAUUAUAAGAAAGAUCUAAUGUUUUUAAUGAUGUAAAUGUAGAAAAGUCGGCUAAAUUUCCAGUGAUUUCAUUAAAACUGAGAUCUAACACUUGAAACGAGUUUCUAACACAACCACUAGACAAAUUGUGAAUAAUUGAUUAAAGGUCUUCAGGGAAAUUGUUUUUUUUUAAUAUCUAAAGAACGUAAGGCGCAUAAAUUCAUGAAGGAUUUAAAUGCCCCACCCUUCAAUUUAUUAUGUGAUAGGUCAAGCACCUGAAGGGACUUCAUCACUGUGCCAUAACUAUAUGAUGAAUGAUGUGAACUUGUUAUUAGAUAUUCUUAGUUCUCUCAAUUUUGGAAGCCUAUAAGAAAAAUGAUUUGGUGGGACAUCCGCCAUCUUAUUAUUACUAAGGUCAAGCAUCACAAGAUUGGGACUAAUGUUUGACACCCAAUGGAAUAUCGAGGAUGACGCAAAGUUGUUCCAAGAGAGAUCAAGGAUAGAAAGAGAAAUGAUCAGAAAGGUCACAAUCUGUUAAAUUUAGUUCUCCCAAUUUUGGUAGCUUACCAACCAUUUCCAACAAACUAUUAAAUCUAUCAAGAUUCAAUAUUGACGACAUGUGAAGAUGGGUUAAAGAAGUAAGAUUAGACAACCACUGACCUCCAUUGUGAUCCCUGUUGUCAAAUCCUGAAAGAUCAUGAUACCUUAAGUUUCUUAGAGAUCCAAUGAAACCUGGGAUAGAAAUAUCUGUGAAAUAAUUCCCACGGAGGUUCAAAUACUUUAGUUGCUGCAACUCCAUCAAUGAGUUGUGGAUAUCACCACGGAUAUAAAAUCUAUUUCCCCCACCAUAAUAGUAAUAAUUAUAAUCACCAUGAAGAUCGAGCAUAAGUACAUGGCCAGUGAUAUUGCUGCAACCAAUUCCAUACCAUUGGCAGCAAUCUUCAGUUGUCCAAAAUGACAACAUGUCAAAUUCAUCAAUAAGGCCAGACUUGAAUUGCAGAAGUGCCUGUCUCUCACUUUGUAUGCACCUGACAACCUCUUUUGAGCAAACAAGCUGGUCUGCUUGCAACACCAAACACAUGAGAAAUAUGAUUUGAAUCAAUUUAAAACAAAAUGGAUUCAUGAUUGACAUUGUGGUCAUGACAAGAUAUAUUUGUAAUUUGAUUGAUUGUAGUGUGUUCUUACAUUUCCAAUAACUGAAUUUAUAAUGUAAUGCAGGGAAGAAACCACUAGGAAAAAACAAAAAGAGUGAAGAUAACGUCUAAAGACUUUAGAGUUUUUCUUAAAAUACAAAAUAAGGAGACAUGGAAAACUUUUCUUAUAAUGAAUAAUACAUAAAAAUUUAUUUAUUUGCAUAAACUCAAAAAUAUGUUAAACCAAAUGUUAAUAGCAUUUUUCUUUUCUUCAUCGGAUUUAAAUCUCCUUUCAUUAGCUCCACCAAUUCCUUCAACAUUUAAUUUUUUUUGGUGGUGGCCGGAAUUUGAACCUCAGACCUUGCAUAUAUUAUGCAUUGUCUCAAUCAACUGAGCUUAGCUCACAAGGGUAUUGAUAUAACCCAUUUUCUAGAGGUAUUUUAUUUUCAAUUUAUACCCCUAUAUUUUCAAAAGAUCUUUCGUGUAUUUUUUAAUUAAAAGAAAUUGAUAUGACCGAUUUUAUUUGACGUGGUACUUGCUGCAUCCUGAAUCUAAAUCCGAUUCAUACUAAAAACUCAUAUAUCUCAAAAAACCUUUAUAAAAAAAGUUUACAUAAAAAAGAAGAACAUAAUGUCUCCACUCUAGGUGAUUUCUAGGAUGAACCAUCAAACAAGUGGUUCAUCGGUGAACUACUUUUAUACUCUGUUAGAUCUAUUACAGAGAUAAUUAAAUAUUGAGAUGACUUAGAAAUAAAAGUGAGAAUAUAGGUAUAUUUUCACGUAUCUUUGGCGUUUCAGAAGUUGAACUCCACAACCUCUCCUCUCUUUGAGAUCCAUUAAAGGAAAAUAUCUCCCUAACUGAAACAUUGAAAGGAUACAUUGAAACCUCUUUCUCCGCAACAAUUUCACACAUGCCCUCUUUUUAUUGUUUUUCUUUGUUUUGUAAAAAAAUGAGAAAUUAGAAGUUAAAUGGUUGUAAAUUGUUUUCUCCAUUUUUUAUCACAAAAAAUUGUUUUCUCCAUAAUAAUUGAAAAUUGUAUUUUUCAUUAUAUCUUAAUCUUAUGUUUGAAGCUUGAGAGGUGGGGGAUCUAGAUUUAAGAUUUAGAUGAAGUUAUGGUUGUGAUUUUAUUCAGUUUUAAGGAAAAUAGGAAGUGAGUAUAAGCAUGAAUUUCAAGGGGUUCCAGAAUGAGUUGUGGUUGUUCGCCGGUGGAGGAUGUGGGAGGAAAGUGGCAAAAAUGGGGAGGACAGCACGGCGAACAUUUCCGUGUGUGUCGGUGCAUAUGUCAUGAAUAAAAUAGGAGGAAGAGAACAAAAAUAGUUUAUUUAAGAAAAGAAAUAAAAAAAAUUAGUAUGAUCUAGUGUGUAAUAGCAUAUAUGAACUUGAUAAUUUAAUGACUCCAUGGUUGUUGAGAGUGGUCCAUCGAUGAGGGACUUGUUAGAGCCAUCUGUUGGAACAAAAUGUAUUUAACAAUAAACCUGAAUAAGUUUUGAUGAUAACAAGGUAUUAAAAAAUUGUCAAUUGGAUCUGGCUAAUUAUUUGUUCAAGUUUACAGGACCAUAGUCAAGUUUGAAAUAUUUAUAAGGUCUUGGAAGAACAAAAGAGAGCCAAAGAUUUGAUUAAAAGAAUAGCCUAAAGCGUCUGACGAAAUCCGCCUCUGAAGUUAAAGAAGCUUCUGAAGUAAAAGCGCUCCUGAAAACAAAGUGCACCUGAUGACGUCAUCAGAAGCAAGUCCAUCAGAAGCAAUAGUUCAGAAGCAGUCUAUCAGAAGCCAAUUCAUCAGAAGCUGUACAUCACCAGAAUCUACAGAAUUUGUCUAAAGAUUCAAACAAGCUGUUUAAGCUCAUCUAAAGGAAGCGAAAAGACUAAAGAAUAAUGAAAAGCUGGUUUUGAAGGAAUUUGAAGUCAUUGGAUGCUUAUCCUUCAAAGAGAGUCGACAAAGUACAUUGUACGAAGCGUACAGCCACUUCCUCCACUACUCUGUUUUUGUCUACGCUACAAGACAAGAAAAACAGCUCUGCCUGCAGAAAUGUUUCUUCAAAUUCAGAAUGGAUUUGAAAUUAAUUCUUCAUAGGACAACAUCCAAAUCAGGCAAAAGAUCAUUGGUGAUUGAUCAAGGCUACAACAACUCUUUGACGUGCUGGCAAUUUCACAACGUCUCUUUCACAUCUCUAUAUAAAGGAGUGAAGACUUGGAGUUCAAAGACACAGAACAAUACGAGAGAGACCAUCAACAAUUUAACUGUGCAAAAACUCUGCUGAAAUUGUUUCAACAAGCACUAAGAAUUUAUGUACUCAUUUGAUAUAUCUUAGAAAUUCUUAAGUCUAGAGUCUUUCAAUUGCAUUGUAUUGUGAACACCACUAAUUGUAUAUCAAGUGUUCAAACUCAAACAAUUUUCUGUGUAAUUCUGUUUGAAUAGAAGUCUCUUGCUUUAGUGCUUGAGCAUAAGAAGUCUCUUGCUUGUGUGCUUGAGCAUAGGAUGUCUCUUGUUGUGUGCUUGAGAAUUUUGAAGUCUCGUACUUGUUGAAGUAUUGAGCAGUUGUGAUUAUACUUAGUGGAACUCUCCUUGGAAGUGCAAGGGGGACAGGACUGACUUCCGGUUUGUGGAAGGAACCUGUAUAAAUUGUCUGUGUCUUUCUUCUUUCUCUCUUACUCUGUUUUUACUCCGCUGGGCAUCUGAUUCUGAAACACUUUAGAAGAAGAAUUAUCUAAGAGAAAAAGAAAACACAAUUCAACCCCCCCCCUUUCUUGUUUCUCUCACCUUCAAUUGGUAUCAGAGCUUGCUCUGUUAUCAGAGCACUUAACAGUGUAACAGUUAAAGAUCUGAGAAAAACAUGUCUGGAGAAUCCUCUGUAUCAGGUUCUGUAACGCCCACUUUCGUUUAAUCGUUUAUUUAAUCGAGUUUAGGCGAUUAUAUUAUAAUUAUAUAGUAUGAGCAUGAUUUUGAUAUGUUUUGAUGAUUUACGAUGAUUUUAGUGAUUUGAUUGAUGACGUGAUAAGGUUAUGAGAUUUAUUUUAUUGUUAAAUAGAAUAAAGAUUUGAAAAUAAUAUAAAAUAUUUAGUUGAGGGCUGUUUUGAUAUUUUAGAUAGUUUUAGGGGAGAAAGUGAGAUAAGAUAAGUAAUUAAGAAAANNNNNNNNNNNNNNNNNNNNNNNNNNNNNNNNNNNNNNNNNNNNNNNNNNNNNNNNNNNNNNNNNNNNNNNNNNNNNNNNNNNNNNNNNNNNNNNNNNNNNNNNNNNNNNNNNNNNNNNNNNNNNNNNNNNNNNNNNNNNNNNNNNNNNNNNNNNNNNNNNNNNNNNNNNNNNNNNNNNNNNNNNNNNNNNNNNNNNNNNNNNNNNNNNNNNNNNNNNNNNNNNNNNNNNNNNNNNNNNNNNNNNNNNNNNNNNNNNNNNNNNNNNNNNNNNNNNNNNNNNNNNNNNNNNNNNNNNNNNNNNNNNNNNNNNNNNNNNNNNNNNNNNNNNNNNNNNNNNNNNNNNNNNNNNNNNNNNNNNNNNNNNNNNNNNNNNNNNNNNNNNNNNNNNNNNNNNNNNNNNNNNNNNNNNNNNNNNNNNNNNNNNNNNNNNNNNNNNNNNNNNNNNNNNNNNNNNNNNNNNNNNNNNNNNNNNNNNNNNNNNNNNNNNNNNNNNNNNNNNNNNNNNNNNNNNNNNNNNNNNNNNNNNNNNNNNNNNNNNNNNNNNNNNNNNNNNNNNNNNNNNNNNNNNNNNNNNNNNNNNNNNNNNNNNNNNNNNNNNNNNNNNNNNNNNNNNNNNNNNNNNNNNNNNNNNNNNNNNNNNNNNNNNNNNNNNNNNNNNNNNNNNNNNNNNNNNNNNNNNNNNNNNNNNNNNNNNNNNNNNNNNNNNNNNNNNNNNNNNNNNNNNNNNNNNNNNNNNNNNNNNNNNNNNNNNNNNNNNNNNNNNNNNNNNNNNNNNNNNNNNNNNNNNNNNNNNNNNNNNNNNNNNNNNNNNNNNNNNNNNNNNNNNNNNNNNNNNNNNNNNNNNNNNNNNNNNNNNNNNNNNNNNNNNNNNNNNNNNNNNNNNNNNNNNNNNNNNNNNNNNNNNNNNNNNNNNNNNNNNNNNNNNNNNNNNNNNNNNNNNNNNNNNNNNNNNNNNNNNNNNNNNNNNNNNNNNNNNNNNNNNNNNNNNNNNNNNNNNNNNNNNNNNNNNNNNNNNNNNNNNNNNNNNNNNNNNNNNNNNNNNNNNNNNNNNNNNNNNNNNNNNNNNNNNNNNNNNNNNNNNNNNNNNNNNNNNNNNNNNNNNNNNNNNNNNNNNCGCACGUUUUAUAGGAGCUUUGUCCUCCGCACGAUUAAAGUAUAUUAAUACUUAUGAUGACGAUUGGUACCACAUGCAUAUAAGGAGUCUAGGAGCAUUGUCACAUUGUCAUGAUUAAGAUGCCUUGUUGAUAAUGAUUGAAUAUGUGAUUACGUGAUAAGUGUUUAUUGAUUAUGUUAUGUUGUUCAUAAUGAUUGAAUAUAUGAUUACGUGAUAACUGUUUAGCAUUUAUGCAAAGUUAAUAAAGGAAUGAUUAUGAUGUUAAUUUAUGAUUCGCAAUUACAUUGAUUUAAUGUUAUUUUGUAAUGAAAUCUCACCCCUUCUGCUUGAAAAUGUUGCCCUUCGUAUGGGUAACUUGCAGGUGAUCGUGCUUAAUGUUAUACAUGCUUCAUUCUUUUACGUGGAUAAUAUGUUAUUUUUAUUAUGUUAUGGAUAAUGAACUAUUUUGAUGGGGCCUACGUGCCAAACUGAUUUAUGACUUUCGAAUUAAUAUUCCGCUGCUACGUUAAAGAUGUUUGUGAAGGUUAAAUUAUCAUUUAACUGUUUUUGGAUUACGUUUCUAUGUGAUAUCCCGUUUAUGGUUUUUACUCUGAUAAUUGUUUAUGAAAUUUGUAUAUUGGGGAAACGGGGUGUUACAGGUUCUGGAAACAAUAAUGCUGUUGCAUAUGAUUAUGGAACCAACAACAAGAAAUCUGAUGUUGGAAAAGUUCCAAAAUUUAAUGGAGAUCCUGAAGAAUUUUCCUGGUGGAAAACCAACUUCUACAGUCAUGUCAUGGGUUUAGAUGAAGAACUAUGGGACAUACUGGAAGAUGGUAUUGGUGACUUGAUAGUUGAUGAAGAAGGAGCUGCUAUUGAUAGAAGAAGUCAUACUCCUGCUCAAAAGAAACUCUACAAGAAGCAUCACACAAUCAGAGGUGCACUUGUCAAAGUUAUACCUAAGGCUGAGUACAUGAAGAUGAGUGACAAAUCUACUGCUAAAUCAAUGUUUGCUUCUCUAAUAUUGAGGAAAUGUACUCAAGGUUUUAAACCUUAGUCUCUAGACUACAAAUACUGAAAAAGAGUUAUGUUGCUUCUGAUCAUGUCAGCAAAAUUUUGAGAAGCUUGCCUUCUAGAUGGAGACCAAAGGUAACUGCUAUUGAGGAAGCUAAGGAUCUAAACACGUUGAGUGUUGAAGAUCUUGUAAGUUCUCUCAAGGUUCAUGAAUUGAGCCUAAAUGAGCAUGAAUCCUCAAAGAAGAGUAAAUCCAUUGCUCUACCAUCUAAAGGAAAGCCAUCUAAAGCAUAUAAGGCUAGUGAAUCUGAAGAAGAAUCACCAGAUGGGGAUUCUGAUGAAGAUCAGUGUGUAAAGAUGGCCAUGCUUUCCAACAAGCUUGAAUAUCUAGCAAAGAAGCAGAAGAAGUUUCUGAGUAGAAGAGGUAACUAUAAGAACUUCAAAAAGGAAGAUCAAAAUCGAUGCUUCAACUGUAAGAAGCCUGGUCAUUUCAUUGCUGAGUGCCCUGAUCUUCAGAAAGAAAAGUCUAAGAGCAGAACAAAGAAACCAAGUUUCAACUCAAGCAAAUUCAGGAAGCAGAUCAAAAAGAGUUUGAUGGCAACUUGGGAGGAUCUGGAUAGUCAAUCUGACUCUGAGAAAGAAGAAGCUGAUGAUGAUACAAAAGAAGCCAUGGGGUUAGUGGCAACAGUAUCAUCAAAAGCUGUACCAGAAUCUGAAUCAGACUCAGAAGAUGAAAAUGAGGUAUAUUCCAAAAUUCCCAGACAAGAACUUGUUGAAUCUCUCAAGGAACUUUUAUCACUAUUUGAACACAGAACCAAUGAGUUGAUUGAUUUGAAAGAUAAAUAUGUUGCUUUAAUGAAACAACAAGAAUCAACUUUGUUGGAGCUGAAAGCUUCUGAAGAAGAACUCAGAGGGUUUGACUUCAUAUAUACCACAUAUGAAGACAGACUCAAGAUUCUUUGUCAGAAGCUGCAAGAAAAGUGUGAUAAAGGUUCUGAAAAUAAACAUGAAAUUGCUUUAGAAGAUUUCAUAAUGACUGGUAUUGAUAGAAGCAAGGUAGCUUCCAUGAUUUACAGCAUUUACAAGAACAAUGGAAAAGGGAUUGGAUUUUAUGAAGGGAAACCUAAAGAAUAUAGUCUCAAAAACUAUUGUGAUUGUAUUAAGGAUGGAUUGAAAUCCACUUUUGUACCUGAAGUUGUUGAAGUUAAAACUGUUGAUCAGUUAGAACCUGAAGUCUCUAGUUCUAAAGCUAAGAUCAUAUCAAAGCCAAAGAACUUCAAGACUAAGGUGAUAACAGAUUCUGACUCCAAAACUGCAAAGAUCAAGAUUCUGAAAAGAUCAGAACCUGUUCCUCAGAGUCUGAUCAAACCAGGAUCUGAUAUUCUAAAGUCAAAGAGUCAGAAGAACAAAACAGUUGCUGCUUCUGAGAAAACAAAAUCUAAGGGUGUUAAACCUAAAGUAUUGAAUGAUCAGAAGCUGCCUAACAAUUAGCCUAGAGUACAAAAGAGGAAGAGUAAAACCUCCAAAACUAACCCCAAAGGACGCAUGAAGGUAUGGGUACCUAAAUCUGAAUUGAUUAAUAUUGCAGGUGUGCCUAAGGGCAAAAGAGAAACAAAGGUCCUAGUACCUGGACAGCGGAUGUUCAAGGCACAUGACAGGAGAGAAAGCUUUGUUCCUCACCAUUACUAUGAAAGAAGGAGGAGAAGUGAAGUUUGGAGGCAACCAAACUGAAAAGAUUAUUGGUAUGGGUACUAUUGGUAAUUCUUCCAUUUCAAUUAAUAAUGUUUGGCUAGUAGAUGGUCUGAAGCAUAACCUAUUGAGCAUAAGUCAAUUCUGUGACAAUGGGUAUGAUGUGAUGUUCAGUAAGACCAACUGUACAAUAGUCAACAGGGAUGACAAAUCCAUUAGCUUUAAGGGAAAGAGAGUUGAGAAUGUCUAUAAGAUAAAUUUCUCUGAUCUGACUGAUCAAAAGGUAGUUUGCCUUUUGUCAAUGAAUGAUAAAAAAUGGGUAUGGAAUAGAAGGUUGGGACAUGCUAACUGGAGAUUAAUCUCUAAGCUUAGCAAGUUACAACUUGUUAAAGGCUUGCCUAACAUUAAUUAUCAAUCAGAUGCACUCUGUGGUGCAUGCCAGAAAGGAAAAAUUGUCAAAACCGCUUUUAAACUAAAAGACAUUGUAUCAACCUCCAGACCCUUAGAACUACUCCAUAUUGAUCUUUUUGGACCAGUUUCUACUGCAUCCUUGUAUGGGAGUAAAUAUGGAUUAGUCAUUGUUGAUGAUUACAGCAGAUGGACUUGGGUAAAAUUCAUAAAGAGCAAAGAAUAUGCAUAUGAAGUGUUUAGCAGCUUCUGCACUCAAAUACAGUCUAAAAAAGAAUUGAAAAUUUUGAAAGUCAGAAGUGAUCAUGGUGAAGAAUUUGAAAACGAGCCAUUUGAAUCUUUUUGUGAAAAACAUGGAACUGUCCAUGAAUUCUCUUCUCCUAGAACUCCUCAACAAAAUGGGGUUGUAGAAAGAAAGAAUAGAACUUUACAAGAAAUGGCUAGAACCAUGAUUCAUGAAAACAAUUUAGCUAAACAUUUCUGGGCAGAAGCAGUUAAUACUUCAUGUUAUGUCCAAAAUAGAAUCUAUAUCAGACCUAUAUUGGAGAAAACUGCAUAUGAACUCUUUAAGGGAAGAAGACCCAAUAUCUCUUACUUUCAUCAAUUUGGAUGUACAUGUUACAUUCUAAAUACCAAAGACUAUCUGAAGAAAUUUGAUGCCAAGGCUCAAAGAGGAAUCUUUCUAGGUUACUCUGAAAGGUCAAAGGCAUACAAAGUGUACAAUUCAGAAACACAUUGUGUUGAAGAAUCAAUGCACAUAAAGUUUGAUGAUAGAGAGCCUGGAAGUAAAACUCCAGAGCAAGGUGAAAGUAUUGCAGGUAAACAAGAUUCUGAAGAUGCAUCAGAAUCUGAUCUAACACUCAACAUUGAAGAGAGUCCAGAAGCUGAAUCAAAUUCAGAAGUUCAACCCACAUCAGAAGCUGAACCAAUAUCAGAAGCACUUAAUGAAGAUGCUUCUGAAAAUAUUUCAAAAGACUCUUAGCAAGCAGUUCCAUCAAAGUUUAAACACAAAUCAUCACAUCCUGAAGAGUUAAUCAUUGGAAACAAAGAAAGUCCCAGAAGAACAAGAUCAUAUUUCAGACAAGAAAAGUCUAUGAUAGGACUGUUAUCAGUGAUUGAACCUAAAACAGUUGAUGAAGCACUCUCAGAUGAUGAAUGGAUACUAGCAAUGCAGGAAGAGCUAAAUCAGUUUCAAAGAACCGAUGUGUGGGAUCUGAUACCCAAACCCCAGCAGAAGAACAUUAUUGGAACAAAAUGGGUAUUCAGAAACAAGCUAAAUGAGGAAGGUGAAGUAACCAGAAACAAAGCCAGACUUGUUGCACAAGGAUAUAGUCAACAAGAAGGCAUUGAUUAUACUGAAACUUUUGCUCCAGUUGCAAGAUUGGAAGCAAUCAGGUUACUUCUACCUAUGCAAUCAAUCAUGGAAUAAUAAUAUAUCAAAUAGAUGUUAAGAGUGCUUUUCUUAAUGGUGUCAUUGAAGAAGAAGUAUAUGUCAAACAACCUCCUGGUUUUGAGGAUCUUAAAUAUCCUAACCAUGUUUAUAAGCUUAAGAAAUCACUAUAUGGCUUGAAACAAGCUCCCAGAGCUUGUUAUGAUAGACUGAGUAAUUUCUUAAUCAAAAAUGAUUUUAAAAGAGGUCAGGUUGAUACAACUCUCUUCAAAAAGACUCUUAAGAAAGACAUUCUGAUUGUGCAAAUAUAUGUUGAUGAUAUAAUAUUUGGUUCUACUAAUGCAUCUCUUUGCAAGAAAUUCUCUAAGUUAAUGCUGGAAGAAUUUGAAAUGAGCAUGAUGGGAGAACUAAAGUUCUUUCUAGGAAUUCAAAUCAAUCAAAGCAAAGAUGGAGUCUAUGUUCAUCAAACAAAAUACACAAAGGAGCUUCUGAAGAAGUUCAAACUAGAAGACUGCAAAGUGAUGAACACUCCAAUGCAUCCUACCUGCACCUUAAGCAAAGAAGAUAGUGGAACAAAAGUAGACCAGAAGCUGUAUAGAGGUAUGAUUGGNUGUAAUUCUGAUGAAUAAUUAGCAAGAAUUAGGAUUAAUUGGAGAAAAAGAAAACUAGGUCAAAACCUUAGAAUUGAUGAUCAAACGGUGAGAAUUAGUUAAAAUGAUGUAGAAAGUGUUCCUAGACCUUAGAUAAUGUUUAGGACGAACUUUGGAAUCAAAAGCAAGCUUAGAACCAUGUGGAUCGACGGAUUUUUGUGAAUUUAGGAAGCCUGGCCGUAGCGACAUUCAUCGCUCGCCACGGCGAGCUAUGAUCCUCGCCUCACGAGUGAUGAACUUCAUCGCUCGCCACGCGAGUCCUUCCCCUUCGCCUCGCGAGUUGUGUGACGCAGCUCGCCAUUGCGAGCAACCUUACUCGCCAUAGCGAGCUGAGGCAGAGUGUAUGUUAGAUUUCGUGUUUCGACCCUUUUUGUUGAACCUUGUAUACCUUUGAGUGCCCGAACAUGCCUAGUAUUGAUUAGGAAUGAAUGUAGGAUCAGAGGGAACCCAGAACAAGCUUAGUUUGGAAGUUGAGUGGUACUCGCCAUGGCGAGUAAGAACUCUCGCCUCGCGAGUACAACCAGAAUGAGAUUGUUUAUGUGUUUGUGCGAUCUGUGUCGCACUUGUUAAUCAAGAGUGAACCGCUAACUGGUAUUGAGACCUAGUGAUGUUGUUAAGUACAGUCUGUAUAGUUGUUUGAGCCCUGAUAAUAUUAAUUGAACAUGAGCUAAUGUAAUGAAUAUUUAUGCAAGAUAUGAAGAUUUGAUAAUGAUACAAUUUAUGUGCUAUUGAUAUAAUGAUAUCAUCUUGUUAUGUGACUUGCUUAUGCUGCUUUCGUUAUUUAACUAAGUGCAUAAGUAUAUGGUAAAGUUUAGCUCCAAAUUAUUGGAUGCAUGUUGAUAUGUUGAUUANNNNNNNNNNNNNNNNNNNNNNNNNNNNNNNNNNNNNNNNNNNNNNNNNNNNNNNNNNNNNNNNNNNNNNNNNNNNNNNNNNNNNNNNNNNNNNNNNNNNNNNNNNNNNNNNNNNNNNNNNNNNNNNNNNNNNNNNNNNNNNNNNNNNNNNNNNNNNNNNNNNNNNNNNNNNNNNNNNNNNNNNNNNNNNNNNNNNNNNNNNNNNNNNNNNNNNNNNNNNNNNNNNNNNNNNNNNNNNNNNNNNNNNNNNNNNNNNNNNNNNNNNNNNNNNNNNNNNNNNNNNNNNNNNNNNNNNNNNNNNNNNNNNNNNNNNNNNNNNNNNNNNNNNNNNNNNNNNNNNNNNNNNNNNNNNNNNNNNNNNNNNNNNNNNNNNNNNNNNNNNNNNNNNNNNNNNNNNNNNNNNNNNNNNNNNNNNNNNNNNNNNNNNNNNNNNNNNNNNNNNNNNNNNNNNNNNNNNNNNNNNNNNNNNNNNNNNNNNNNNNNNNNNNNNNNNNNNNNNNNNNNNNNNNNNNNNNNNNNNNNNNNNNNNNNNNNNNNNNNNNNNNNNNNNNNNNNNNNNNNNNNNNNNNNNNNNNNNNNNNNNNNNNNNNNNNNNNNNNNNNNNNNNNNNNNNNNNNNNNNNNNNNNNNNNNNNNNNNNNNNNNNNNNNNNNNNNNNNNNNNNNNNNNNNNNNNNNNNNNNNNNNNNNNNNNNNNNNNNNNNNNNNNNNNNNNNNNNNNNNNNNNNNNNNNNNNNNNNNNNNNNNNNNNNNNNNNNNNNNNNNNNNNNNNNNNNNNNNNNNNNNNNNNNNNNNNNNNNNNNNNNNNNNNNNNNNNNNNNNNNNNNNNNNNNNNNNNNNNNNNNNNNNNNNNNNNNNNNNNNNNNNNNNNNNNNNNNNNNNNNNNNNNNNNNNNNNNNNNNNNNNNNNNNNNNNNNNNNNNNNNNNNNNNNNNNNNNNNNNNNNNNNNNNNNNNNNNNNNNNNNNNNNNNNNNNNNNNNNNNNNNNNNNNNNNNNNNNNNNNNNNNNNNNNNNNNNNNNNNNNNNNNNNNNNNNNNNNNNNNNNNNNNNNNNNNNNNNNNNNNNNNNNNNNNNNNNNNNNNNNNNNNNNNNNNNNNNNNNNNNNNNNNNNNNNNNNNNNNNNNNNNNNNNNNNNNNNNNNNNNNNNNNNNNNNNNNNNNNNNNNNNNNNNNNNNNNNNNNNNNNNNNNNNNNNNNNNNNNNNNNNNNNNNNNNNNNNNNNNNNNNNNNNNNNNNNNNNNNNNNNNNNNNNNNNNNNNNNNNNNNNNNNNNNNNNNNNNNNNNNNNNNNNNNNNNNNNNNNNNNNNNNNNNNNNNNNNNNNNNNNNNNNNNNNNNNNNNNNNNNNNNNNNNNNNNNNNNNNNNNNNNNNNNNNNNNNNNNNNNNNNNNNNNNNNNNNNNNNNNNNNNNNNNNNNNNNNNNNNNNNNNNNNNNNNNNNNNNNNNNNNNNNNNNNNNNNNNNNNNNNNNNNNNNNNNNNNNNNNNNNNNNNNNNNNNNNNNNNNNNNNNNNNNNNNNNNNNNNNNNNNNNNNNNNNNNNNNNNNNNNNNNNNNNNNNNNNNNNNNNNNNNNNNNNNNNNNNNNNNNNNNNNNNNNNNNNNNNNNNNNNNNNNNNNNNNNNNNNNNNNNNNNNNNNNNNNNNNNNNNNNNNNNNNNNNNNNNNNNNNNNNNNNNNNNNNNNNNNNNNNNNNNNNNNNNNNNNNNNNNNNNNNNNNNNNNNNNNNNNNNNNNNNNNNNNNNNNNNNNNNNNNNNNNNNNNNNNNNNNNNNNNNNNNNNNNNNNNNNNNNNNNNNNNNNNNNNNNNNNNNNNNNNNNNNNNNNNNNNNNNNNNNNNNNNNNNNNNNNNNNNNNNNNNNNNNNNNNNNNNNNNNNNNNNNNNNNNNNNNNNNNNNNNNNNNNNNNNNNNNNNNNNNNNNNNNNNNNNNNNNNNNNNNNNNNNNNNNNNNNNNNNNNNNNNNNNNNNNNNNNNNNNNNNNNNNNNNNNNNNNNNNNNNNNNNNNNNNNNNNNNNNNNNNNNNNNNNNNNNNNNNNNNNNNNNNNNNNNNNNNNNNNNNNNNNNNNNNNNACUUCAUAUAUACCACAUAUGAAGACAGACUCAAGAUUCUUUGUCAGAAGCUGCAAGAAAAGUGUGAUAAAGGUUCUGAAAAUAAACAUGAAAUUGCUUUAGAAGAUUUCAUAAUGACUGGUAUUGAUAGAAGCAAGGUAGCUUCCAUGAUUUACAGCAUUUACAAGAACAAUGGAAAAGGGAUUGGAUUUUAUGAAGGGAAACCUAAAGAAUAUAGUCUCAAAAACUAUUGUGAUUGUAUUAAGGAUGGAUUGAAAUCCACUUUUGUACCUGAAGUUGUUGAAGUUAAAACUGUUGAUCAGUUAGAACCUGAAGUCUCUAGUUCUAAAGCUAAGAUCAUAUCAAAGCCAAAGAACUUCAAGACUAAGGUGAUAACAGAUUCUGACUCCAAAACUGCAAAGAUCAAGAUUCUGAAAAGAUCAGAACCUGUUCCUCAGAGUCUGAUCAAACCAGGAUCUGAUAUUCUAAAGUCAAAGAGUCAGAAGAACAAAACAGUUGCUGCUUCUGAGAAAACAAAAUCUAAGGGUGUUAAACCUAAAGUAUUGAAUGAUCAGAAGCUGCCUAACAAUUAGCCUAGAGUACAAAAGAGGAAGAGUAAAACCUCCAAAACUAACCCCAAAGGACGCAUGAAGGUAUGGGUACCUAAAUCUGAAUUGAUUAAUAUUGCAGGUGUGCCUAAGGGCAAAAGAGAAACAAAGGUCCUAGUACCUGGACAGCGGAUGUUCAAGGCACAUGACAGGAGAGAAAGCUUUGUUCCUCACCAUUACUAUGAAAGAAGGAGGAGAAGUGAAGUUUGGAGGCAACCAAACUGAAAAGAUUAUUGGUAUGGGUACUAUUGGUAAUUCUUCCAUUUCAAUUAAUAAUGUUUGGCUAGUAGAUGGUCUGAAGCAUAACCUAUUGAGCAUAAGUCAAUUCUGUGACAAUGGGUAUGAUGUGAUGUUCAGUAAGACCAACUGUACAAUAGUCAACAGGGAUGACAAAUCCAUUAGCUUUAAGGGAAAGAGAGUUGAGAAUGUCUAUAAGAUAAAUUUCUCUGAUCUGACUGAUCAAAAGGUAGUUUGCCUUUUGUCAAUGAAUGAUAAAAAAUGGGUAUGGAAUAGAAGGUUGGGACAUGCUAACUGGAGAUUAAUCUCUAAGCUUAGCAAGUUACAACUUGUUAAAGGCUUGCCUAACAUUAAUUAUCAAUCAGAUGCACUCUGUGGUGCAUGCCAGAAAGGAAAAAUUGUCAAAACCGCUUUUAAACUAAAAGACAUUGUAUCAACCUCCAGACCCUUAGAACUACUCCAUAUUGAUCUUUUUGGACCAGUUUCUACUGCAUCCUUGUAUGGGAGUAAAUAUGGAUUAGUCAUUGUUGAUGAUUACAGCAGAUGGACUUGGGUAAAAUUCAUAAAGAGCAAAGAAUAUGCAUAUGAAGUGUUUAGCAGCUUCUGCACUCAAAUACAGUCUAAAAAAGAAUUGAAAAUUUUGAAAGUCAGAAGUGAUCAUGGUGAAGAAUUUGAAAACGAGCCAUUUGAAUCUUUUUGUGAAAAACAUGGAACUGUCCAUGAAUUCUCUUCUCCUAGAACUCCUCAACAAAAUGGGGUUGUAGAAAGAAAGAAUAGAACUUUACAAGAAAUGGCUAGAACCAUGAUUCAUGAAAACAAUUUAGCUAAACAUUUCUGGGCAGAAGCAGUUAAUACUUCAUGUUAUAUACAAAAUAGAAUCUAUAUCAGACCUAUAUUGGAGAAAACUGCAUAUGAACUCUUUAAAGGAAGAAGACCCAAUAUCUCUUACUUUCAUCAAUUUGGAUGUACAUGUUACAUUCUAAAUACCAAAGACUAUCUGAAGAAAUUUGAUGCCAAGGCUCAAAGAGGAAUCUUUCUAGGUUACUCUGAAAGGUCAAAGGCAUACAAAGUGUACAAUUCAGAAACACAUUGUGUUGAAGAAUCAAUGCACAUAAAGUUUGAUGAUAGAGAGCCUGGAAGUAAAACUCCAGAGCAAGGUGAAAGUAUUGCAGGUAAACAAGAUUCUGAAGAUGCAUCAGAAUCUGAUCUAACACUCAACAUUGAAGAGAGUCCAGAAGCUGAAUCAAAUUCAGAAGUUCAACCCACAUCAGAAGCUGAACCAAUAUCAGAAGCACUUAAUGAAGAUGCUUCUGAAAAUAUUUCAAAAGACUCUUAGCAAGCAGUUCCAUCAAAGUUUAAACACAAAUCAUCACAUCCUGAAGAGUUAAUCAUUGGAAACAAAGAAAGUCCCAGAAGAACAAGAUCAUAUUUCAGACAAGAAAAGUCUAUGAUAGGACUGUUAUCAGUGAUUGAACCUAAAACAGUUGAUGAAGCACUCUCAGAUGAUGAAUGGAUAUUAGCUAUGCAAGAAGAGCUAAAUCAGUUUCAAAGAACCGAUGUGUGGGAUCUGAUACCCAAACCCCAGCAGAAGAACAUUAUUGGAACAAAAUGGGUAUUCAGAAACAAGCUAAAUGAGGAAGGUGAAGUAACCAGAAACAAAGCCAGACUUGUUGCACAAGGAUAUAGUCAACAAGAAGGCAUUGAUUAUACUGAAACUUUUGCUCCAGUUGCAAGAUUGGAAGCAAUCAGGUUACUUCUACCUAUGCAAUCAAUCAUGGAAUAAUAAUAUAUCAAAUAGAUGUUAAGAGUGCUUUUCUUAAUGGUGUCAUUGAAGAAGAAGUAUAUGUCAAACAACCUCCUGGUUUUGAGGAUCUUAAAUAUCCUAACCAUGUUUAUAAGCUUAAGAAAUCACUAUAUGGCUUGAAACAAGCUCCCAGAGCUUGUUAUGAUAGACUGAGUAAUUUCUUAAUCAAAAAUGAUUUUAAAAGAGGUCAGGUUGAUACAACUCUCUUCAAAAAGACUCUUAAGAAAGACAUUCUGAUUGUGCAAAUAUAUGUUGAUGAUAUAAUAUUUGGUUCUACUAAUGCAUCUCUUUGCAAGAAAUUCUCUAAGUUAAUGCUGGAAGAAUUUGAAAUGAGCAUGAUGGGAGAACUAAAGUUCUUUCUAGGAAUUCAAAUCAAUCAAAGCAAAGAUGGAGUCUAUGUUCAUCAAACAAAAUAAACAAAGGAGCUUCUGAAGAAGUUCAAACUAGAAGACUGCAAAGUGAUGAACACUCCAAUGCAUCCUACCUGCACCUUAAGCAAAGAAGAUAGUGGAACAAAAGUAGACCAGAAGCUGUAUAGAGGUAUGAUUGGUUCUUUGUUAUAUUUCACUGCAUCUAGACCAUAUAUUUUGUUCAGUGUGUGUCUGUGUGCAAGAUUUCAAUCAGAUCCUAGAGAAUCUCACUUAACUGCUGUUAAAAGAAUCUUUAGGUGUUUGAAAGGAACAACUAUUCUUGGACUCCUCUAUAAGAAAUCCAUUGAUUAUCAGUUGACUGGAUUCUGUGAUGCUGACUUUGCUGGUGAUAUGAUUGAAAGAAAAUCAACCAGUGGCAAUUGCCAAUUUAUAGGUGAAAAUCUGAUAUUCUGGGCUAGCAAAAGACAAGCAUCUAUUGUUAUGUCUACAGCAGAAGUAGAGUACAUUUCAGCUGCAAGUUGUUGUACACAACUACUCUGGAUGAAACAUCAGUUGGAAGAUUAUCAGAUUAAUGCUAACAGUAUUCCUAUCUUUUGUGAUAAUACUGCUGCUAUUUGCUUAUCAAAGAAUCCAAUUCUACAUUCAAGAGCAAAGCAUAUUGAAAUCAAACACCAUUUUAUCAGAGACUAUGUUCAAAAAGGAGUUUUAGAUAUACAAUUCAUUGAUACAGAGCAUCAAUGGGCUGAUAUAUUUACAAAACCUUUAACAAUUGAAAGAUUUGAUUUUAUAAAGAAAAAUUUGAACAUGCAUUUUGUGUCUGAAUAACAGUUGCUUGCUCCUGAAUAAGAAGUUUAGGUUCUGAAGUUGGUUCAGAAGCAAUAGCCCAUCAGAAGCUCUUUAUUGAGAUUCUGAGGAAAAUAUGCUUCUGAUGUUGACAUUAGCAUCUGAACUUCAGAAGCGGAUCUUUGUGCUUCUGAAUAAGCAGAAUAAGUGGAAUCGUUUGGCAGUUACUUUUAGUAACACCUGUCCCACUAACUUAGCAGUUUUCUGAAAAGUUUUCUGACGUGGUUUAGUUGUAUUGGCGUAUAACUAAAAAGGGCAAUGAUGAUUAUUUUUGCUUUAAACGUACUAUCACGCGCUCCCAAUUUGUCAUUAAUGCUGUGUUUGUUUGUCUCUUUUCUGAAUUGCAAACGUUUUACUUAAAACACUAUAAAUACCAAACACACACUACUCACUCACUUUUCUACACUUUCUAAGUUUUAAGCCUUUCUUUGUGAAAAAUAUUUUCUAUCUUAAAACCUAGAAACCCAAAACUCAAUCACUCCAUCAAUGGCGUCUUCAAGCUCUUCUUCUUCCAUCAAAAUCAACACUAAGAAAUCUUAUGUUCUCAAGGAAAGAUCAGUAACUGUUCCACUGGAUAGACUGGAUGUCCAAGUUGAGGCUCCAGUAGACUUCGAAUCUCUAGAAAGAAACGGAGUUGAUGUGAGAGGUCACAUUGGCGCUCAACAAAUGGAUGGCUACUUUCAGAUGUUGUUUGGAACAACUUACAUGAACCUGGUGAAAGACUUCUGGGUCAGAGCAAAAGUUUUUGACAGAAAAGCUUCAGAGGAAGAAGAAGCUGAGAUUAUAUCCAAGAACCCUAGCAUGAAAAGGAAAUCUAGGGAAGAAAUGGGUCUCAGGAAGUAUACAGGAGUGGAAAUAAGAUCAGCUGUGAUGGGAAUGGAAGUUACCAUCAAUGAAGAAAUUAUUGCCAGAGCCUGCAGAUGCUCUGAGGGAGGACAAUUUCAAUGGGAUGCCCCCAAAGCAAUCUGGGAAGGUACCGUCAAUGCAACCUUAUUCCAUGGAAGAUCCAAAGGAAGGGUUUCAGAAAUGGCCACUACUCACAGAGUGCUUCUGAAGAUAAUGAAUGAAUGCAUGCUUCAGAGGGGAGGAGGAUCAGAUCAACCAUCCCUGGAUCACAAGGUGGUUUUGUAUUUCUUGACAUCAUGUCAAAGGAUAAACUUACCUAAGUACAUUAUGCAUCAUAUGUGCUGGGCUAUAAGGGAAAGCCAGAAGAAAGACAGAAGACAGAUUCCCUAUGGAAGACUCCUGUCAGAAAUCUUCUCUCAAGGAAGACUUCUGCAGCAUCUGAAGAAUGCUGAAGUUGUGUCAGAUGAAGAGCUAGGAUCUGUCACAGGAAAAAUAUUCAAUGGAAGGACUCUCAGAUCAAUGAAGAUCAUUGAGAAGGUCACAACUCAUAAAGAUGAUCUGAGAGAAGAUUAUGUUAAAUCAAAACUAAUGCAGGAUUUCCCUUCUGUCUGUAAAAAGGAUAAUCCUACAGUAAUCAUUGAAUUCAUCAAAGCUCACCGAAAGGAAACUGGUGAGUACAUCAACAUAGCCUCCAUUCCUGAUAAUAUUGGAGGAGCUCCUCUCAAGAUUAAGGGCAAGAGGUCAAAGCUGACUACCUCAGAAGAUGUUUCAGCACCUGAACCCAAAAGACCAAAGUUGUCUAGCUCAACAGCUUCUGGUGCUGAAUCAGGUUCUGUUCCUGGUAAAAUCAAGAAAAGAUUAUACAAAGGACAAAGAAACCUCAAAGAAGAUAUAGUUGAAGAGUGGAACUCAGAAGAGAAAGGAGAGUCUGCAAGCAAGAAGGUGAAGAAGCCUCUAAGUAUGGAGUGCCCUAUGUUUGAAAUGACUCCUGAGCUUAAGAGGAUGGCAAAUGAUUAUGCUGCUAAUCGCAUAGCUGAAAGGAAGGAAAUGAAGAUGAUUUAUGAAAUACAAAGGGAUGAGCAACUCAGAGCUGCAGGGCUUCUUGAGCCUGAACCUUUAAAUGCUGAACAAGUCGCUGAAAGAGCUGCUGAAGGAGUAGCUCUGUCUUCUGAAUGUGAGCAAGAAACAGUAAAGGAAGCAACUACUUUACUGAAACAGGCUCUAAAAGGAAAGGGGACAUCAGGAGCAACACCUUCUGAGCCAGAAUCAGAAGCUAUCAGAACAGAAUGACAGCCUUCAGGUAAUCCUCAAGCAUCUGUCAAUAUUCAGACUCCACCUAUCUCUCUAUCCUCAUCCUCAUCAUCAUCCUCUUUAGAUGAUGACGACAACAUUCCACUAAGCCAAAGAAUCAGAAAAUCAUCUCUCAAAAACCCUCCACUCAAAACCAAGGCUAACCUCAAACCCAAAGCCAAGAAAUCAUCAUAAGAUUUUCCUUUUGAAACCCCAGAUCUUCAAGCAAGAAAAAUUGCAAUCUCCAAAAAGAGAAUAGCGCUUGCUGAGAAGUUACCAUCUGAUUAUUUCUUUCAACCACCUUUCAUUCCACCUCUUAACAUGAUAAUUCCUCAAAACAACUUCAACCUCAACCAGCCCCUGAAGUAACUCCAUCAGAAGUUAUUUCAAAAUAACCAAAACAACAUAAACCUUCAUCACCUCAACCUUCUAUCCCAAAUCAAGAAGAACCAUCUUCUCCAUCAACCCUGUCAUCUCUUGAAAAACACUUAGGUGGUGAGAUGGCAGAAACCUCACAAAAAGCCUCUAAAACAGUCCCUACAAAGACUGUUGAAGAACAACCUCAACCUGAACCCAUCCCUGAACAAGCUUCUGAAGUAUCUGAACUUCAGGAGCAACCACAAAUUCAAAUAGAAAAUCAAAAACAACACAUUCCUGAACAAGCUACUGAAGUACCAGAACUUCAGGAGCAAACUCAAUCUCAACCUCAAACUCCACCUACCACUUAAUCAGAAGAUCAACAAACCAACCUGGACCAACCAUCAUCUUCUGAACAAACUGAACCACAGAUAGCCUCUGACCAACCAUCAACUUCACAAACCUUAACCAUUCACUACUCCUCAGCAGUAAUUCUUGAGUCUGAAUACAUUGACAAUGAACUGCUUAGGAUCAAGGAUGAAGUUAGAGAACUAAUUCUUCUGAAAGAUGUUCCUAUACUUCCCAUCCAUUAUAAAGAUAAAUGGAUGAAUCUGUUCAAAGAUACUGAUUUGCUGAUGGAUAAGAUAGCUCAAGUAGGUCAUAACUGCCUCAAGCAUCAAGCAAGCAUUCUUAGACAACACUUGGAUGAUAUUCACAAGGCUAAGGAAUCUUCUGGUCCAAUUCUUGCUCUUGCUAAUGCUCCUUUCUAUCCAGAAAGUGAGUAUGUUACAAGACAGACCAAGAUUGUGCAGAAGCUGAAGCAGAAGCUCUUAUCUACACAAGAGAAAGAAGAAAAAGCUAAGGCAUAAAUCCAAGAGAUGAAGAGGAAGAAUGAAUCUUUGGAAGAAGUGGUAGCUAAGCAAGCAGAAGAACUGAAGAAGCACCAAGAAAAGGUUGACCACUUGAUGGAAAUGUUCUCUAAACAACAACCCCAACCUUAGUUGCACACCCUUAACUUGUUUAGAUUUCAUUUCUUUUGUGUUUUUGCCUCUGCUUCUGAACCUAUUGUUGCUAUGUAUACUCAUCUGUUUCUUCAUGCUUAAUAUAAUUCCCUUUCUUCUACAAUCUUUUUAUGUUGUUUAUUGCCUCUGAAAAUUGUCUAAGUUUCCUUUUUUUUCUUUCUCAUAUCUUUCCUUUUUGUCUAUUUUUUAUUUUUGUUGAUGACAAAAGGGGGAGUAAUUGUAUAGUAUUUUUAGGCUCUGAGACCCAUUAAUUUAAUCAAAAUUAAAUUAAUAGAACCAUUCUCUGAACUCUUAAUAAUAUAUUUUUAUGAGAAUGCUUCUGACUUAAUAUUAUUGCGCUUUUUAUUGAUAAAUUUGAUUAACAUGGGUAGAACUCAGGGGGAGCUUACAAACCCUUCUUGAAAGUUUUAUUGGACUUAGGGGGAGCUUACAAACCUCAAACCCAGUAGUCAACUUGUUAAUUAAAUCAACAACAAUUGAACAUUUUUUAAAUACUAUUGUUUGUCAUCAUCAAAAAGGGGGAGAUUGUUGGAAAAAAAUGUGUUUAACAAUAAACCUGAAUAAGUUUUGAUGAUAACAAGGUAUUAAAAAAUUGUCAAUUGGAUCUAGCUAAUUAUUUGUUCAAGUUUACAGGACCAUAGUCAAAGCCAAAGAUUUGAUUAAAAUAAUAGCCUAAAGCGUCUGACGAAAUCCGCCUCUGAAGUUAAAGAAGCUUCUUAAGUAAAAGUGCUCCUGAAAACAAAGUGCACCUGAUGACGUCAUCAGAAGCAAGUCCAUCAGAAGCAAUAGUUCAGAAGCAGUCUAUCAGAAGCCAAUUCAUCAGAAGCUGUACAUCACCAGAAUCUACAGAAUUUGUCUAAAGAUUCAAACAAGCUAUUUAAGCUCAUCUAAAGGAAGCGAAAAGACUAAAGAAUAAUGAAAAGCUAGUUUUGAAGGAAUUUGAAGUCAUUGGAUGCUUAUCCUUCAAAGAGAGUCGACAAAGUACAUUGUACGAAGCGUACAGCCACUUCCUCCACUACUCUGUUUUUUUCUACGCUACAAGACAAGAAAAACAGCUCUGCCUGCAGAAAUGUUUCUUCAAAUUCAGAAUGGAUUUGAAAUUAAUUCUUCAUAGGACAUCAUCCAAAUCAGACAAAAGAUCAUUGGUGAUUGAUCAAGGCUACAACGACUCUUUGACGUGCUGGCAAUUUCACAACGUCUCUUUCACACCUCUAUAUAAAGGAGUGAAGACUUGGAGUUCAAAGGCACAAAACAAUACGAGAGAGACCAUCAACAAUUUAACUGUGCAAAAACUCUGCUGAAAUUGUUUCAACAAGCACUAAGAAUUUCUGUACUCAUUUGAUAUAUCUUAGAAAUUCUUAAGUCUAGAGUCUUUCAAUUGCAUUGUAUUGUGAACACCACUAAUUGUAUAUCAAGUGUUCAAACUCAAACAAUUUUCUGUGUAAUUCUGUUUGAAUAGAAGUCUCUUGCUUUAGUGCUUGAGCAUAAGAAGUCUCUUGCUUGUGUGCUUGAGCAUAGGAAGUCUCUUGUUGUGUGCUUGAGCAUUUUGAAGUCUCGUACUUGUUGAAGUAUUGAGCAGUUGUAAUCAGUUGUGAUUAUACUUAGUGGAACUCUCCUUGGAAGUGCAAGGGGGACAAGACUGACUUCCGGUUUGUGGAAGGAACCUGUAUAAAUUGCCUGUGUCUUUCUUCUUUCUCUCUUACUCUGUUUGUACUCCGCUGUGCAUCUGAUUCUGAAAUACUUCAGAAGAAGAAUUAUCUUAGAGAAAAAGAAAACACAAUUAAACACCCCCCCCCCCCUUCUUGUGUUUUUCUCACCUUCACCCUCACCCUAGAAUCCAUCCUCCCCACUUUAAUAGCGAUUUACUUGAUAUAGGCACACCCACAAAUAGAAAAAUAUUGAUAUAGAAAACUUAUUUUACGUUGUUAUUAAUAUGGAAAAUAUUGGUUGAAAUUUUUGUGUGUCUAAUGAGUUGGAUUUGUAGUUUUGUCGAGAAACCAUAAGUAAUCACUAUUUUUGUGUGUAUAAAGAAGAGGUACUUCUCGCCUCACAAAUCGAUUUUGUAAGGAAGAGUUAGACUAAAUUUCUACAUGUAUCAGAACCUAUCGAUCAAACCACUCAAAAUUUAUACACACGCACUAAAGCCCAAUCGUGAAGGACUAGAAGAGGUGUAUCUGAAAAAACUCAAGUCCCAUAUUGGAUAGAAAUAUCUAUUGAUACAAAUUUAUAAAAGAGGAGACACUCAUCACCUUAUCAGCAAUGAAUUAGACCCAAUUUCAACAAUAGAUUCUUGAAAUAAUGUCCUUCAAAGACUUGGAGCACCACAAAAUAGUGGAGCUCUACAGGAAAACAAAAGAAGCAGCACUUCAAAAUACAGCAAACACUUGGAAAGUUUGUGGUAUCCACUAAAGUUUCUAACACUUCAAAGUAAUCAUGAUUGCAAAAAAUGACAUUUUCAAAAAAAGCAGCACUAUAAACUCUACUAAAGAAUAUUAAUAAAAAUUAAAUUGACAAUUAAAGAAGGUUCAAUGAUCAAAAUAACUAAGAAAAUAGCCACUUAAAGAUGUCUUUGCAACUUUAAGAUAUUCAAAUACUAAGAUGACAACGAUUUACACUUCUAAAGAGAAAAAAAGGUUCUUUAAAAACAAUGGAGAAAAUGGUUCUUUUACCCAUAACUGAAUAUGGAAAAGAAGCACUAUAAAAUUGAGACUUGGAAAGUCUUAGAUUUCCACUGUAACUAAUAUAAUACCUUUGCGAAGUAAAUGACUUAACAUACUUAUAAAAUUUUAAUAAAAAAAUUUAAUUUUAAAUUAGAUUUCUACUAUAACUAAUAUAAUUUCCUAGCCAAGCACAUGACUUAACAUACUUAUAAAAUUUUUAAAAAAAUUAUUUUAAAUUGAACUGAAAGUUAAUUUGUUGAACCAAAAAUGAGUUUUAUACAAACCCUAUUAAGUUUUGAUGAUAACAAGGUUUAAAAGAAGGAAGUUUCGAGCGAUUCUUUUUGGGAGGCAACCCAUUAUUUUUAUUUUCUGCAUUUUUCUUUUUGCUAAGUUGAGAUGAUCUGACUAGUCAAUUUAUUUUCUUUUUUUGCUUCUUAUCUUUCAAGUAUUAUCUAAUAAAAAUUUAUUUCUUUUACAUUUACAUAUACAACCUUUUCUUUUAUGCUUAAAUUUGUUUUAUUCUUAGGUAGACUAUACAAGUGAUGAGCCCGUUGGGACGUUUCUAACCUAGUCGGUCGUCAAGUUGCACCUGCUGAUCGCACAAUGAUCAAUACGUGUGGGGUCUUAUUCUCCCAGUUCAUUAUAGGUCUAUCCCUCCGACGGCUAACUGCACCUGCUAAUCACACGGUGAUCCUUACGUGCGGGGUCUUUUUAAUUCAAAGGUAAUUGAAAUAUAAACUUAAAUUGGUGUUCCAAGUUUUCCAAAGGCAAUUAUUGUCACACUAAGGUUAAACGCGCGCUACAGUAUAAGGUUAUUAAUCCUAUAUGAUUAUGCAACUUUUGUAAGGAAUAUUAGAUGGGUCCUGUCCAAUCUUCCAGUAGGUCAGCCCAUCUAUGAAUCUUAGAUCACUCAUAGCACACCCUCUCUCAUUCUUAGUAGUUCUACAAACGGACAUCCCUAUGUCGUCUACCUUACCAAGGGUUUUGAGAGAAUGGUUUGAUAAAGGUUUAUUCCUCGGAGACGCUUGUUUCCUAGGGUAAACUCUCUAUUGGUAUCUUACACUAGUUAAUAAUCACUUAUUUCCUAGACAGAUAGUUACUAGUAUAAUGCUAUAAAUAUCAAGAUAUAAGCAAGAGGAUAGUAAUAACAAUGUUAGGUCCUGCCACAAUCUAAGUACUUAAUCUAGGGUUACUGUCGCGUCAUUUUUCGAAGAUCAAGGCUAUUUGAUUAGCUUUUGACUCAUUAAUUCAUUUCACGACUGAACAUUUAAUUUUUUUAGGAGAAGGGGAAAAAAGUUCAAACUACCCAAUUUGAAAAGAUUUAGGGCUCGGGGGUUAGUUACAUAAAGGGAAUGUAUUAGCACCCUUUAUGUCCGUGGUACUCUACGGGAACCUCUUGAUUUUAUUUAAUUAAUGUGCUAUAACUUGCUUAUUUUUUUAAAAGAAGGAAUUAAAGUGGAAAAAAUAAAGGCCUAAUUAUCUACAUUUUUUAUUGAUUUGGAAGGACAUGGUCCUCUGCCUACGUACCCGUGAGGGAUCAAAACCUCGUAGUUCGGGGUAGAAAUUGACGUUUGAUUGAUUUUGUGUUUUUUAUUAGUUUUGAAAAAGUUUUAAAAUGUAAAAGCCAAGUGGAAAAUAAGAAUUGGUUUGUAUUUUUUAUAUUGAAAGAGAAUAGUCUUGACGUAGAGUUAAAAUUGAUUUGAAAUUUGAUUAAGAAAGAAAAUAAAAAGAACGAUCACUUGAUUGAAAAUCAAUGUUUAUUAUGAAAAUAUUUUUGUGGUUUUUGUUAUUUGAAUGUUUUUGUUAUUUUCAAUGAUAAAUGAAAUCUAAAGGGACAGAAAGGAGUAGAAAAAGAAGAAAGACUCGUCAACACAAGUCGAAGAAGGGAGAAGAGAGGAAAAGCACAAGAAUCAUGAACUGUGAAUUUCGGGGUCCGGAAUGCAUUGUAUGAGCUCUCUAUUUAUAGAGAAAUUUCACAACUAAUAGAUGAGAAACUUUGGGGACAAAUAAUUCAUUUAAUACAAAAAUAUCACAAUUGUGUACCAAAAUAUACCAUAUUGAGUACAAAAAUAUAUUAUGCAAUACAUAAAUAUGUUAUUCAGUGCAUAAAUAUAUUAUUGUGUAUCAAAAUAUAUUUUCAGAUCAAGCACUAAAAUAUAUUAGAUUGCCUACCAAAAUAUUUUUAGAUUGUGUUCCAAAAUAUUAUAGAUUGCAUUCUAAAAUAAUUUAGCAAAACUUGGGGACCAAGAAAGCACUUUUUAAUAAUGACCAAAUUAAUUAUUUAAUUUAUCAUUUCCAAAUAAUAUUUUUCUAGUGCUUACUUCGCUCACACAAUUAUGUACCCCCAUUAUAUAAUCUUAGGUCAAAAAUUGGGGUAUAACAAUUACCUGUUGGUGUAAGCCCUAGAGGCCAAUAGUUUAUGUUAAAAAUAUCUUAUGUAUCAUGACUAUUAUUAUUGAAUAAUAUAUGGCACUCUUUAUUAUAUUUAGAUAAUGUUAAUAAAGUCCUUAGAAUAGAUAGUUCAUGUAAUAAUAUAUUAAGUGUGACUUAAUCAUGAGAUUACAUUAUCAUAAAGAACACUAGUCUUAAAUGUAUAUGUAGUCAAAGCUUUAAUAUGAAUAAAGUAUAAUAAUAAAGCGUCGAGACUAUUAUGUAUGUAGACUGAUGACCGCAUCUCAUGGGUCAUAGAUAUGAGAUAUUAAGUCUAUACAUAGGUAUAAAUAUUGGGAGUAAUAUUUAUAAUGGAUUGACCCACCGUGAGAAUACUACAUAGUAAGUUAUGAAAUUGUCAUAAGAUAUUUUCACAAUGAUAAAAGUGUAUAUUGCUCUUAGACCUGAAACCACUAUGAUCCCUAGAUGUAGACUCAAGUGCUUUGUUGCCUUUCUAACAUUGUCUGUAAAAGGAUAACCAUAACGUUGGUUGAUGGGUACUUGAUGAAUCAUGCUAAGGGACAUGAGUGUCCUAGAUGGGAUUUGUCCCUCCUCAUAAAUAGGAGAUAUAUCUUUAGGCCUCUUGAUGAAAUAUGACUAUAAAAAUGCAUGGCCAUGCCGAACUAAGUCAAUAUAAGAUAUUGGACUUAUUAUUUAUUCAGUAUAUUUCAGAAUCAAGAAAUAUAAAUAUUGAUCUAAACAAGGCUGAAAAUAUCUAUGCCUUGGGAUCAAUAAUGAUAUCGAGACAAAGGAGUAAUUGUACACAUGAGUAUUAUCAUGGAAAGGUUUCGUCAGAUCACUUGACAUUCUUGUCACUUGGGAAGCAAUGAUGUGUUGCUAGAUACCGCUCAUUGUUUAUAGUAUUAAAUAUUAAAUUUAAUAUUAUUGCCAACGUGACUAGAACCUAUAGGGUCACACACAAAGAAAAAUCAAAAGAGAAAUAUAUAAGUAUGACUUAUAUAAGGGGUGCGUUUAGUAACUAACGCUAAUUAAUUAGCAUAAUUACUAAACUCGUCAUUGGACUUAAUGAAGUCCAACAGUGGCUUCUGACUUGCAGAACACACAAGGAGUUCUAUAAAUAGAACCCUAGUGCUGAAGUUUGAGGUUUUACAUUUUUGAGAAACCCUAGCUCUCUGAAACUUCUCAUUCCUUGGCUAGCACCGAGUUUUGGAGGAGCACUGUUCGUGUGGACUUGCUAGAGGCUUUGCUGCUUGUUGCCUGCUUUGCUGUGAUCGUGAUUCCAGUUUCCAGAUUCCAACUUUCAGCUUUCAGAUUUCACACUUUGAGGUAACAAUCGAAUCACUGAUUCAUUUGUAAUUCGUAAUGAUCCAAGGAAAGAAAAUCUAAAAUUUUAUCCGCUGCUUAUUCUGUUUUGAAUUCGAUUUUCCUUCAUUACCCUCCUUUGAAAUAAAUCACUAAAUCAGGAACUUAAUAGCAAACAAAAGAAUAAAUAAAAUAAACGACAUAUUAUAUUAAAUAAUUAUCCAACAAAGAUAAACAGAGGUUUAUUUUAGAACUCUAACCUAAAAAGAUUUAUUUACACAUGGUAAUUGAAAACAAAUUACUAAAGAUAAAAACAUACUCUAGAAAAUCAAGGAGAAUAUAGAAACUCUCCUGAAGCUCCAAAAUUGCCUUUUUUUUCUUAACUGCCAAAGUUCUGAACCAGAAUUUAUGAAUGAGGAAGGCUAAUAUUGAUAGUGUGAUUUUCUACCUCGUUUUGGGCUAAAAGUGACGGCUUUGCCCAACACGGAAGCAGGAAAAGACUAUUGCGCCCCACAUUUUUGCAUCCACGGGGCACAUGAGAGUGCAUCCCAAUGCAUUCCCUAGGCGCAUGGUAUUUGUUUUCUGGGUCCCAAUCUCCGAAUUUCCGUCCUUUUAGGUCUUCGUCUUCAAAUAACUUGGCUCAGAACUUUAGGAACAUAAUUUCUCCCAUUUGUAAGUCUUAUGAGGCCUUUUGAAUCUUCAUUCUUGGUUUUCCUAAGUCGUUAAAAUUCUUCAGAUGUUCUUGAUUUGUCAAUUUGCAUGAUUUCUUCGUGAAUUACUUCAAAAACUACCUAAAAUUGCUAUGUUUCGGGAAAAAUAGAAUUAGGGACUCAAAUAUAGAAAACAUUACAAAAGUCCUGAAAUCAUAGGCAAUUUCUCUAAUACUCCUCCUCUUUGCUGCUAAAUCAUACUGAAAAUAACUGAAAACCAUGCUAAGAAUAACGUAAGAUGACCUGUCAUCAACAUGAAAAAAUGCCCAGGGCAUGUUUGCAAGCCAUGGGCCUAAGGAAUUUUUAAUGCUCCUAGAGCAUGGGUUGCCUAGGCAUGCUAGCCAUGCACCCUGUGCAUCUGAAAAUGCGGGGUGUGAUGGAAUAAAACUGCAAGUGCACGGUUCUAUCGAAGUAGUAAUGAAAAAAGUAUCGUUCCGAUAGGGAGUAGUUUAAUUCAAUUAACUUUUGAUGAUGCUUAGAAGAGAAUCAAGUUGAAAAGUUGGAGUUUUCAAACGAUUAAAAGAUAAUAUAAUAAAAGGAGCUUUGGGAUCAUUGGUUCAUCUAACUGACAAGUCCUUCACAAACCAAACUAUUAAACUUAUAACCUUAUGUUAGACCUAACUUCUAAAGACAAUUUCUCAUUUAUUCCUCUAGCCACCAAGCCUAUUUCGCUGACUUGAUUACUAUUAGAUUUUGCUUCCUCUAACAACCAAGCCUAUUUCGCUGACUUGAUUAUUAUUAGUUCCCUUGAAGAUUGAAACUAUAUGUCUCAAAGAUUGCAAAUACUAUUUCGCUGCCUUUGCAACCCUUGUCUAAAUUCACUUGUUCGAAUAUCAAAGGUCCACUUUUGUUUUAUGAAUUGAUAUUUGAGAUGAUGGAUUAACAAUUAUCAAAACCUCCACUUUCGUUUCCACAGUUUGAUAAUGGUUAAUUCAUGUUAAAGCGGUGAAUUUAGAUUAGAAAUUAGGGUUACAUAAGAUUAAGGUUUUAAGCUUGGUUUGAUUAUGAUUAUGUCAUUUAGACUUAUCCAACAAUCUCAAGACAAAGAGAAGUCUACUCACUCAUGUUCAUCGUAGACAUGGAGAAGAAGAGAGAAAGCAUAAACGUAAAUAACAAGAAAGUAAAGGAAAAGAAAAGAACUUUUAUUAGAAAGACAAUUGUCACAUAUUGAAUUCCAAGAAAAGAUCAAUAUUUGUGAUGGCUAGCUACUCUAUUUAUAGUUUACAUUCGACUUAAAAUCUAAGCAAUUACAUCACUAGAAUGUUCCACAAGUAAACUAAAAAUAGAGACGUAUUUUUGACUCCGAAUCUUCGUAUUUUUGCACCGAAUCAGCUCCAAAACCCCUUUCUUUUGCUCCAAGACUCAAUCCAUCAAAUAUUCGUUCUUGAAAUAUAAUAAUAUGCAAUUGAUGUAAAAUAGUUCUAAAAGGAAAUAAUAUUAAAAUAAAAUAAACUUAAAUCUAAUUAAAACCAAACUAAAUACUAUACUAAAAUAGAUAAUUAUUGACUCAUUAGGGCGCAAUCAUCUUUUCCUGCUUCAGUUGUGGGUAAAACCUGCACUUUCAACGCAAACCCAUGUAGAAACUCUCAUUAUAAAUACUAGCCUUCGUCAUUCAGAACAUCUCGUUUAGAACUGUGGCAAUUUAAGAGGAAGACAACUUUGGAGCUUCAGGAGAGUUUCUAUCUUAUCCUUGAUUUUCUAGGUUAUGUUUUUAUCUUUAGUAAUUUGUUUUUAGAUACCAUGAAAACUAGAAUUAGAGACUCAAAUAUAAAAAACAUUACAAAAGUCCCGAAAUCAUAGGCAAUUGCUCUAAUACUCCUCCUCUUUGCUGCUAAAUCCUACUGAAAAAUAACUAAAAACCAUGCUAAGAAUAAUGUAAGAUGACCUGUCAUCAACAUGAAAAAAUGCCUAGGGCAUGUUUCCAAGCCAUAGGCCUAAGGAAUUUCUAAUGCUCCUAGAGCAUGGGUUCCCUUGCACUCACAUGCGCUAGGCAUGCUAGCCAUGCACCCUGUGCAUCUGAAAAUGUGGGGCGCAAUCAUCUUUUCCUAGUUUGGUUGUGGGUAAAGCCCGCACUUUCAACCCAAACCCAUGUAGAAACUCUCAUUAUAAAUACUAGCUUUUGUCAUUCAUAAUUUCUCGUUUAGAAUUGUGGCAGUUCAAGAGGAAGGCAACUUUGGAGUUUCAGGAGAGUUUCUAUCUUCUCCUUGAUUUUCUAGGUUAUGUUUUUAUCUUUAGUAAUUUGUUUUUACUUACCAUGUUUAACUAAUUCUUUAUAAGUUAGAGUUUUAAGAUGAACCUCUAUUUAUUUUUGUUGGAUAUUUAUUUAAUUUAUGUCGUUUUUAUUUUAUUUAUCUUUUGUUCGCCGUUAAGUUUUAUUAGGAAUUACUUAUUUCAAAGGAUCAUAACCCUAGAUUAGGUAUUUAAAUUGUGACAGGGCCUAAUAAUGAUAUUACUAUCUUGCUGCUUAUAUCGGUAUAUUUAUUGCUCGUAUACUAAUAUCUAUCUGUUUAGGAAGUAAUUAGUUAGUAACUAGCGAAAUAUACCGAAAGCGAGUUGACCCUUGUAGUAAGUACUUAGGAGGUGACAUUACUAAUACUGAAUAAAAUAUGUUGAAACUAGGAGGUAACUAGUUAGUAAUUAAGUAAACAAGAGACUCCGGUGAAUAAAUCUAAUAAAACCAUUCUCUUAAACCCUUGGUAAGGUAGAUGCUGAUAGGGCUGCUUGUUUGGAGAACUACUAAGUGCGAGAGAGAGAGAGAGAGCGUACAAUGAGUGUCCUAAGAUUCAUAUAUAGAUGGUUAGAUCCAGUAUAAAGUCAGUAUAAAGUUUAUGCUUUCAAUUACCCUAGAGUUGGUAAGACCCCACACGUAAGGAUCACCGUGUGAUCAGCAGGUGGAACCAGACUUAGGAGGGAUAGACCUAGUUAACUGAGCUUUAUAGACCCCACAUGUAAGAAUCACCGUGUGAUCAGCAGGUGCAGUUUCCAACCUACUAGGUUAGACAUGUCCCAACGGCCUCAUAACUUGUAUAGUCUACCAAAGAUAAAUAAACACGACAUGACUGUUAUUUAAUAUCCAACAAUAUAAAUAGGGGGAAUUCGAAGAAUUCUAACCGCUGCUUACUUUUCUGUAACCAAAAAUAGGAAAACUUCCUUUGUUGCAAACAGAUAAAAAUUGCAACUCUCUAGCCCUUAUAUUUUAGCAUAUCGUCAACUUAAAAAUAAGUAACGCGGAUUUUUUGGACGAUUUGGUACGAUACUCUACUUAUCACUUUAUAACUUGGUAAACGAUUUGGUACACUUGCCUAAUUCGCACAUCAGUAAUGACACUUGAAAAAUGUUACAGAGUCUUGUUAAUUCUUCAAGUCUUCAAUCCUUUAUAUAGAGGUUGAAUAGAGUUGUUGAAGAGUGUCAACGCAUCAAUAGAGUCAUUUGAGAAUUUUGAUCAUUCAACAUUGAUUUAUUGCUUGAUUUGGUUAAUGUCAUAUGAAGGAAUGAUUUUGAAUCAUUUCCUUGAUAAGGAAUUAACCCUUCUUUUCCAAAGGAGACACAACUGUAGCUUUGUACAAUGCACAUGAGAAUGUUAGAGGUAGUGAAGGCAGUGGUCGUGCACUUUGUCCUUCAUUGUACUUCAAUGAUAAUGACAUCCAUUGACCUUUCCCUUGCAGAACAAUCAUGCUUGAUCUUCAGAGCUACCAUUGCUUGACAUCCAUUAAUUCUGCUCCUUUGUUCUUUAGUUAUCCAGAGUCUGAGUUUCAGAGUCUGAUGUUCAUCUUCUGGGUGAUCUUCAGAUUCUAACUGCUCGGAGCAGGUGGAGGGUGGACCGUCGUGUUCAUCGUGGCGAUUGUACGAGCGUCGAUCAUAGUGUCGAGGAUUGCAUUGUUUUCUUCUGGAUUCACUGGUUCGAGAAUCGGAAUCGUUCGAUCUUGGAGGACUUGAAUUGUAGGACGUGAUUCUUGCGUGGUGGUGGAGUGACUCUGGUGUCCCUCUUACGAGUUCUGGCCAUUACAUCGGAGAAAGAAGCUGUAAUUGUCAACCGUUGCGGUGGAGGAACGUGUAACUGAAAACAGUUACGGUGGAGGAUCGUUAUACUGUGGCGGUUAGCGAACAAUCACUCCUUCUAGUGCCAAAUGAUCUAUCCAGUGAGGAUGGAUGAGUGACAAUGGUGGCGGAAAGUGCUUCGAUGUGAUGGUGACGGUUUCCGGUACGGCGGUGACGAAUUCUUGUGGUGGGACGAAAGGUGCCUACAGGCACAUUAGCACUCUGACGCUCAAGUUAGUAAUGAACUGAGAAAGAGUGUGUAGUAAGUGUUGUGAAAAGUGAAUCAUAGUGAAGCAAGUACACCUUUAUACAGGCGUGCGUUGGUGAUAACUAUUGUGGCGUGUGAUCAGAAACAAUUGGAGGACAUGUAUAGGGUAUCCUCACGCGGGGGCAUAUUCCUGUGUGGUGCAGUGCAAUUGGCCUUCUUUUGAACGGUCCAGAACAGAAAAGGCUGUUAAAGGGUAAGUAAGGGAAUCAAAUUGGUGGUUGGAGGGCUAUAGAUAGUGUUUCAUGGCUACUUUUGGAAGAAAAAAAACCCAACUCCGUCAAUGGUGGUGUUCUCUACAAGUAGGUUCUGGUGUAGAGGAAUGUUACUCAAUCAGGUUCUUAUUUUUCUGUCUCUUAUGUAUUUGAUUUGAUAAUAUUCUACAAUGUAUAUGAUUUUUAAUGUUUGAAUCGAUUAAUAUUUUCAGAAACUGCACGCGCAGGGAAGCAACAAGGAAUUUCAUUUGCCAGAUAAACGUAUUCCAGCUUGGUUUGAUCACCAGGUCUACGGUCGUGAUGCAUCAAUUACUUUCUGGUUUCGUCAAAAGAUCCCUGCAAUAUCUCUAUGUCUUGUUGCCCACCUGGUACAUAUGAAUAUAUAACUCAGCCAAGAUUUAUCAUCAAUGGAAGAGGUCUAUCAUCAUACCCGUAGUCAACAAAUCUCCUCAGUUAUGAGAUAAUGUUUAUACACCUUGUAUCUAUUAUAGACAACUUUUUUCUAUUAAAAAAGUCUGACCAUUGUUUCUGUUGUUUCGACUUUCGACUAUGAAUGGUUUAUCAGUUUAAUGAAGCUUUCUAUUUUCCAUUUGCUCUCAAAAGCUUCUCUUUUGGAUGCAGUCUUCAUGUUUGAGACUCUCAAGAUCUGAUAAUAUUCGAAGCAGUGUCAUGCUUCAAAUGAGUGAGUGAUUGUAUGGUGGUAUUUUUGUGCUUACCUAUAUCAAUUUUUGGAAUUGCAACUGUUGUGCUCUCAUGUGAAGUCAAUUUUGAGGUCUUAGUCCAAUCAUUUUUUCCUAUGUGUAUUCUUUUGUUUUCGAUGGCUGUGAACUUCAAUUAGUUUAAUUUUGGUUAGUAAGGUUUUGAUAUUGAGGCCAAUAAAUGAAAAAUAGCGAAAAUAAAUGGUGGAUGAAAAUAAGAACAUGAGAUGAUGUGUAAAAUUGGCAUGUAUACCACAUGUACUAUAUUUUUUUUUAUCAUGUCUUAGUACGAAGUGAUCAUCGCCGUUUAAGAGUGAUUGAUCUCCGUAUGGGAACUUCUGUAUGUUAUUUACAAUGCAUGUGAAAGCCCUCUAAGCUUUAUAUAUUAUACGGAUGCAAAAAGCCAAAAACUGCUUAAAAUUAAAAUUUUGAAACACUCUUUGCAGAAAUUCAAUGAAGUCAUGUUUCUGUUGAUGAAUGAGUUCUCACUGACUAUGCAGAAAUAUCUAGAAGUCAAUAGAUAACGCUAUAACUGCAGGCGUAGAAAUAUCUGAGUGUCAUUGCAUUGUGUUUUUUAGUAGCGGCCAAAUAGUGGCUUCUGAUAAACGCAAAUGCUUAUAAAUUUAAAAGCAGUUAACAAGUUUAAGUUCCUAUUGGUUGCACAGUUUGUUCUAAAUCAAUGCACCUUUCCAUCAAAGAAACGGCCAUUGCUACUGAUAUUUGAAAUUUUCCAGAGUACUCACUAAACCAUAUGAAACAUGUGUAGCCUCUGCUUACUUACAUUAUAAAUAACUUGUACAUACAAAAAAGCCUAGGUAUUGCUCGGUUCUCCCAUUCUACCCUCCACAAAAAUACAGAAAAAUGCAAUCCGGGACAUGAAGCUUCAUCUGGGAAAAGCACUUCAAAUGAGAAAGAUGGAACAAAGAUCGAGCUGUGAAAGUUUAUCCUUAUGAAAGCAACAUAACUCUAUGUCAAUUUUGGUAAUCAACGACAAAUCUCCUAAAAGAAAUAUUCAGCUUGAAUCCCAGGCCCCAAUAAUUUUUGUCUAUCUCCAGAAUUGUGAGGUUUUCAGCUAACUACAUUGUAUGUUAAAAAAGAAAUAAAGAGAAAAGAAACCAUAAAACUGUUCCGCUCUAACCAAAAAUGAUUGAAUGAAUAAUUAUAAGAAAUUAGAACAAUUGUUACACGGUUUUAAUUUCGAAGGUGUUAAAAUUGCCACUAUAUAUCAACCGUUGCGUAGCAGUGCUUAGGUGUUACGCAAAACUGCCUCUAUAAACGAUUCAACUCCAAAGGCUUAUCCUGAAUCCUGACCAGAUUCAGUUUCACUCCAUUUAAGACAUUCUUCCUGUUCUUUCUCUCAUUCCUGUGGUAAAUCUAUGUUACUGAACCAUUUUCAUAAACAAUUUCACAUUUUGAUAUUCUUUAUUAUUACUGUUGAUGCUGCUGCGAGAACUAUUAGGAGGGUAUUUUUGUUAUUUUCUUUUUCCUUAACAUUAAGAACCUCUGACUCAAAUUCUCAUAUUUCCAUAAACUAAAUUAUUAGUCUUAAUUGAUUUUUAUAGACGAAUAUACUUCUAAGUAGAAUGCAUGAAAAAAAUGACACAUGUAAUUUUUACUUGUAGAAUACUUCAUCAUUGUUUAUUGCAUAAAUAAAUUACAGAGAAUACAAAAGGUACUGCAUGUUGCAACUCAAUUCAACAAGAGACUAUUACAUAAAAGAUAAAAGACAUAACCACAUAUUACAAAGUGACACCCCAACAAUCUAUUUCCUAGAAGAUGGUUUCUCUUCGGCCAUCAACAUCUCUCAAUUUGUUCGGAUUACACAAUCCAGAUUGUAUAAUCAAGACAAAUCAAGUGUUUUGAGACAUGUUGUCAGGGAGGAGAAAUCAUCAUACUAGAGUAACAAAGCAAAUAAUUCACAAACCAUUCAUAAAAGAAAAGAAACCAUACAUCUUCCUAGAGCAGGUCUUUGACUGAACACCUUAAUCUGAGAUCCACCACCAAUGCACUAUCGAGUACCCUUUAGCGAAGAUGCCCCCUAUAUAAUAGUUUAAGUGUUAACCUCUUUAGAUAUAAUCUAAAAUAUUAAUUUUUAGAAAACAUGAAACGCAUCAAGAGAGUAAGAUAAAAUUCCUUUGAACUCUUCAAAAUUACUAAGAAGUAAGAACACAUUAUUUAAAAAACUGUAGAGACUAAAAAUGAACAGUAUUUCAAUAGAAAUGAUAAGUAAAAAAUAUAUUUUUAGAUAAUAUAAUGAUACAUUAUGAUGACUAUUUGAUGUUUAAUGCAAGAAUAUAUGAGAGCGCAAAAAGUUAAAGUAUUAUUACCAGUUAGCCUCUAAGCCACCUUCUGCAUUUCACGUAAAUAUUAUCUGCUAAAUUGUUCAUGAACUUGAAAUAAGCAUGUCUCCAAGUGCGCUUGAUUAGGAUUGAGCCAAAUACUCCCCAGAAGCCUAUAAUAAAUCCAAAUAUCAGACUGAUGUAAAAUCCACGAUUGAGAAGCAGAUCUUCAUCGCCUUGAAUUUCAACUUUUGGUUCAUGUGGUGGCUUCCCCUGAGCACACGAUUUUACAAGUGGUGGUCCACAAAGAUCAAGAUUAUCUUUGUAACGUGAGGCAUCAAAACUUUGAAGUUGUGUACUCUUUGGAAUUUCUCCCGAUAAUUGAUUAUGCGACAAAUCUAACACACUAAGCCGGUCUAUUUGAGAGAGACUAUGAGGAAUUGAACCAAGCAACUUAUUUCGUGAAAAAUCAAGAAAGUCAAGUGAUGCUAGAUUUCCAAUAUUUGAAGGAAUUUUCCCUGUGAAGUUGUUUCUUGAUAAAUUCAAAGAGACCAAUUGAAUCAAAUUUGCUAUUUCAUGUGGAAUCUCUCCUGAAAAGUGAUUGCUUGAGAGGUCUAUGCUUUUUAGAAGAAAUAAUCCAUUGUUUUUGAACAUUUGUUCUACACCUUUCCAAGUCAAAUUUGCAUUCAAUUCAUAUGCAAAGCUGAAUUUGGUAGAUCCUUUCUGGAAAGUAUAUGUAUGAUAGGCAAAACCUUGGGAAGCUUUUUCAGUCAUUGAAGUAAAAAUUUUAAUGCAUUUGGGAAUCCGUCCAGAUAGAUAGUUCAAUGAGAGAUCAAAGAGUUGAAUUCUUUGAAGAAAGCAAAGUUCGAAUGGGAAACUUCCAAAGAAGUGAUUCCUUUGUAAGCUUAAAAAUUGCAACUCUUUCAAUUCGCUUCCAAUCCAAUAAGGGACAAGUUCUUCUAAUCUAUUUUCUCUAAAAUCAAGCAUUACUAACUUUGUGCAGUUCAUUAAGGAGAAAGGGAUCUCCUCUGUUAAGCUGUUGUUCCUUAACAGUAAUGCUUGAAGUUCUACAAGUGAUCCCAAUGAAAUAGGAAUCUUUGCCGAGAAAUUGUUGUGGCUCAAAUCUACAUAAGCUAAUGCCUUGAAAUUGCUCCAACAGUCUGGAAUUCGUCUAGAUAAUUGAUUGUUUGAAAGGUCAGAAUGGGCUAAAGUUACAUCUAUACCAUUUGCACAUAUGAAUGGAACAGAAUCAUUGAAUUUAUUUUUGGACAGAUCAAUAUUUAUGGAACCUCUAAGAAAUGGUGGAAUGGGACCUUCAAAUUCAUUUGAUGACAGAAAUAAAAAAGAACAAUAAUUUCUUAUGUGGAGAUUCGGAAUUGAUCCUUUGAAAUUGUUGUAAGAAAGGUUGAUUGUCCUGCACUCUUGUGAUGAUAGUUUUGCCCAAAACCACUCUGGAAUAUUAUCUGAAACUCCAGCAUUAGAAAUAUCAAGAUAUCGAAAGUAUUUUUGUGUCUGAAUCCAUUUAGGAAAUGUUGAACCAAGUUUGCAGGAUCCCAAUCCUAUAAUGCCCAGUUGAAAAGGCGGGACCCAUUUUUCGGCAAAACUUAAUGCUAGUAAAUUGUAAGACAAGUCUAACUCCUCUAGCAUUGACAUACCAGAAAAAUGGAAGUCAGAGAUCACACCAUUUAAAGAGUUUGAAUGCAUCCGUAGUGUCCUUAGUUUGGUUGGAAAUCGAAUAUCUUUAAGUAUCUUCCCAUUUAGUCUAUUUUCAGAAAUAUCAAAUAUUUCCAAAAAGGAGAAUAUUGACAGAUCAGGUAGUGUGCCAUUGAUUUGAUUACUGCUUAGAUCUAAUUGUUGAAGUGAAUAUCUAGCACAUCCAGAUAUGUGAUGGAUUAAUACUUGAAGCUCACCAUUGAAACUGUUAUAGGACAGAUCCAAUGAUUUCAACUUACAUGCAUUCAUCCAAAAUGAUUUUGGAAUCCCCCUUUCCAAAGAGUUUGAUGCAAUGGAUAAACUCUCCAACUGAAAUGGCAAGCUACUACCUUCAGGAAUCUUUCCACUCAGCUUAUUUUCAGAAAGGUCCAAUGUUUUCAAUGAUGUGAAUGCGGAAAGGUCGGGUAAAGUUCCAGUGAUUCCAUUAUAACUGAGGUCUAACACUUGAAGUGAGUUUCUGACACAACCACUAGACAAAUUUUGAAGAAUUGUUUGAAGGUCUUCUAUGAAAUUGUUUGUUUGCAAGUCUAAAGAGCGUAGGGUGCAUACAUUCAUAAGGGAUUUAAAGACCCCACCUUCUAAUCUAUUAUUAGAUAGGUCAAGUUCCUCAAGAGACUUCAUAACUAUGCCAUAGUCAUAUGAUGGAGGAUCCUUCAAGUGGUUAAAUGAAAUGUCAAGCUUAACAAGAUUGGAACUUAUGUUUGACACCAAUUGGAAUAUCAUGAAUGAUGCGAAGUUGUUAUAAGAUAAUCUUAGUUCUCUCAAUUUUGGUAGCCUACAAGAAAAAUGAUUUGAAGGGAGAUCUACCAUCUGAUUACCACUAAGGUCAAGCAAAACAAGAUUGGAACUUAUGUUUGACACCCACUGGAAUAUCAAAGAUGAAGCAAAGCUGUUCCAAGAGAGAUCGAGGAUAGAAAGAGAAGUGGAAAAGUUGAACUUGGAUUGACUCAGGGAAUGGAUGAAAUGAUAAGAAAGGUCACAAUUUCUUAAACUUAGUUCUCUUAGUUUUGUUAACUUACCAACCAUUUGAAACCAACUAUUAAAUUUAUCAAGAUUAGAUAUUCACAUCAGGCGAAGAUGGGUUAAAGAAGUUAGAUUAGACAACCACUGACCUCCACUGUGAUCCUUGUUGUCAAUUGUCAGAGCACUAUCUUCAUACUUUCUUCCAAGAUAAAGCUCUUGUAGGUUCGUAAGCUUUCCAAGUUGAUAUGGAAUACUUCCUUCCAAGUCAUUGUUGCUGAGAUCAAGAAAUUGCAAGUUGGAGAGAUCUCCAAGUUGAUGAGGAAUCAAACCAUCUAGAUAAUUCCAUGAAAGAUUCAAGUAUUUCAAAUGCAAAAGAGACUCCAAUUGAAUAGGAAUUUGAUCUCCUUCAAAAUUGCAAUAUGAAAGAUCAAGGUAUCUUAGGUUUCUCAGAGAUCCAAAGAAACUUGGGAUAUGAUUGCCUUGAAAAUCAUUUCUACUUAGGUUCAAGUACUUUAAUUUUUGCAACUCCAUCAGUGAGUUGUGGAUAUCACCCCGGAUACAAAAUCUAUUCCCACCACCGUAAUAAUAAUAAUAAUAAAGGUAAUCAUAAUCAUAAUUACCAUGAAGGUUGAGCAUAAGUACAUGGCCAGUGAGGUUGUUGCAACCAAUUCCCUUCCAUUGGCAGCAAUCUUCUGUCGUCCAAGAUGACAGCAUGCCAUAUGGAUCAGUAAGGGCAGCCUUAAAUUGAAGAAGUGCUGUCCUCUCACUUUGUAUGCACCUAACAACCUCUUUUGAACAAACAAGCUGGUCUACUUGCAACACCAAAUAUAUGAGAAAUAUUGUUUGGACCAAUUUCAAACAAAAUAGAUUCAUGAUUGACAAUGUGGUCAUGACAAGUUAUGUAUCAAGAUAUGUAUGUAAUUUGAUUGAUUGUUGCGUGUUCUUGCAUUGCCAAUAGCUGAAUUUAUAAUAUAUUGUAGCCAAGAAGCCACAAGGAAAAACACAAAAGAUAAAGUAGACGACUUUAGAGUCAAUUAUAAAAUACAUACAUUCCUUUUUCUUUAAGGUUUUAUUUUAUUAUGUUCUACUAGCGUUGUCACACUUUUUUAUAAUUAUGUUAAUGCAUUUGAAGUAAGAACAAUAUAGCUUUUGUGACUUCUUGUAAAAUAAAAUAAAAUAGCUUUUGUGACUUUUAAUUUGUAACAAAUUAUAUUUAUUUUUUUCAAUUACAUAAAUAAUAUAGCAAAUCUAAUAUGAAUUCUUAUUUUUUAAUGUCAUUGUUGAGUAGCAGCGGAAAAUAUAGACUUCUAAUAAUAAUAUGAACUAUGCACUCACUAAAGUUGAACACGAAUGUAGUUAGAACAAUAAAUUUGUAUGAAAAAAUGUCUAAGAAGAAAGAUGAACUUCUAAUUAAUAAAUUCACUUUGUUACACUCUACUUGUUUUAUUGUGAUAUCUAAAUUACAAAACUCCUAAACAUUUUAUAGUAAUGUACAUGCUAAAAAUUGAGUGAACAAUAAUUCAAACAAUUAUAAACCUCUCAUGUACUCUCCAUCCUAUUAUUACUCUUAUCCUAGAGUAAACAUUCCUUUGCAUUAUUCUUUGCACUUUCCAUCUUUAGAUUAUUCCAUAUUUAGUAAACACUAAAUAUUUCACUUAUUCUCACAAUUCUCCACCUCGUUCAAAAUUUGAAAAGAAACUUCAAAUUUUGGACGAACAAAUUGCGUCUUAUUAUGCCUCCACAUGAAUCAACAUGUUAGAAUAUUGAGCAAGUCCAGACAAUGUUGGAACUUCCCACCUGACACAACCUUGGUUAACAUGUCAGCUGAGUUCUCAUCAGUAUGUACCUUCGCAAGAGAAAUACGACCUUCCUCUAUCACAUCCCGUACAAAAUGAUACCUUACAUCGAUAUGCUUGGUCCGAGCAUGAUGAACCUGAUUCUUAGCCAAGUGAAUCGCACUUUGACUAUCACACAUCAGACUCACACGUUCUUGCGUAACACCCAAAUCACCUAGAAGACCUCUCAGCCACAAUGCUUCCUUUACGGCUUCUGCUACGGCCAUAUAUUCAGCCUCCGUAGUAGAUAGUGCCACUGUAGACUGUAACAUUGAUCGCCAACUUACUGGAGCACCGUGUAUUUUGAACACAUAACCAGUAGUAGACCGUCGUCUAUCUAGAUCACCAGCAUAAUCCGAAUCAACAAAGCCACUUAUUUGACAUGUAUCUCCACCAAAACACAAACCAGUGUUAAUGGUACCAUUUAAGUACCUCAAAAUCCAUUUCACUGCUUCCCAGUGUGCCUUUCCUGGAUUUGCCAUGAAUCUACUAACAACACUUACCGCUUGUAAAAUGUCUAGACGUGUACACACCAUAGCAUACAUCAAACUGCCAACUGCACUAGCAUAAGGUACAUUUUUCAUGUUUUCCUUAUCUUCUGCUGUAGUGGGAGACUGAUUACCAGAAAGUCUAAAAUGUGGAGCUAAUGGAGUAACCACCGACUUAGAACCUUUCAUUCCAAACCUUUCAACAACCCGCUCUAAAUAGCCUUUUUGACUCAAGAACAGUUUCCGGUUUGUCCUCUCUCUACUAAUCUCCAUACCCAGUAUUUUCUUUGCAGCGCCCAAAUUCUUCGUCUCAAACUCUUUACCAAGUUUAGACUUCAGCUUAUCUAUCUCCACCUUGCCUUUUGAAGCAAUAAGCAUGUCAUCGACAUACAAUAAUAGAUAGAUAUAAUCACCUCCAUGAAGCUUCUGAAUAUAGACACAACUGUCAUAACUACUUCUAGAGAAACCUUGUUUUAUCAUAAAAGAGUCAAAUCGCUUGUACCACUGUCUAGGAGAUUGUUUCAACCCGUAAAGUGAUUUUCUCAAGCGACAUACCUGACUCUCUUUACCCUCAACCUUGUAACCCUCAGGUUGAUACAUAUAUAUUUCCUCGUCUAAGUCUCCAUGCAAGAAGGCUGUCUUCACAUCUAGUUGUUCCAGCUCAAGAUCACCAUGAGCUACUAAACUUAAUAGCACUCGGAUAGAAGUAUGUUUCACCACCGGAGAAAAUAUCUCAUUGUAAUCGACUCCUUCCUUUUGUGCAAACCCUUUAGCCACUAGUCUAGCCUUAUAUCUUGUACCACACGACUUAGUAUGAUCUUCUUUUCUUUUAUACACCCAUUUGCAACCAAUAGCAGACUUUCCUACAGGUAAUGGGACUACCUCCCAUGUCUUGUUCUUGUGAAGAGAUUGCAUCUCUUCCUCCAUUGCAACCAACCAGCUCUCUUUAUCCUUGUCUUUGAUAGCUUGUUUGAAGGUGACCGGCUCAUCAUCUUCAACCGAGAGUGCAUAUUCCACCAAGUUUACCUGCCCAUAAUGCCUUAGAGGUUUGUCUGACCCCAACUUCUGAACUGUUUUAUAAUUUCUCUUUGGCCUAGUGGUAUCCAAAGAUUCCUGCAGCUGCUGUUGCAAUACAUGUGUAUUUUCCUGUUGAACCUCAUUAUCAAGUUCAUCCUCCUCAUCAUCUUGAGUGACACUAGGAUGUUCCACCUGAUCAUGACUAGAAUCUGGUUGGUCUUUAGAUUCUAUGUCAACUAUUUGAUUUGAUACUUUAACAUCACCAUAGUUAGGCACCAUAGAUUUCUCAUCAAAGGUAACAUCCCUGCUAAUCACAAAUUUAGAAUCUUCUAGACACCAAAGACGAUAGCCUUUGACCCCUUUUGCAUAUCCUAAAAAAAUAGCUUUCUUGGCUCUAUUAUCAAGUUUGUUAUCCUUGACGUGAUAAUAUGACGUGCAUCCGAAAAUUUUGAGUUUGUCAUAGUCCGCAUAUUCACCUGACCACACCUUGUAGGGUGUGUCUCCACCUAAACUAGAAUGUGGGGAUCUGUUUACUACAUAACCAGCUGUAGCAACCGACUCUGCCCACCAUUCUCGAUCUAACCCAGAAUUAGAGCGCAUACACCUUGCUUUCUCAAGAAGUGUACGGUUCAGUCUUUCCGCGACUCCAUUCUGUUGUGGUGUGCCUCUUAACGUCCAGUGUCUAACAAUGCCUUCCUGGUCACAAAACCUCUUGAAAGCUCCAUCUGUAUACUCUGUACCAUUAUCUGAUCGCAGAGUUUUCAGCUUUCUACCCGUUCUGUUCUCAACCAUUGCUUUCCAACACUUGAAAAUAUCAAAUACCUCAUUCUUAUGCUUAAGAAAAUAAAUCCAAGCAUACCUCGAAUAAUCAUCAACAUAUGUAACAAAGUACCUGGAACCACCCUUAGAAGUAACCGAAGCCGGACCCCAAACAUCAGUAUGCACGUAGUCUAACAAUCCUCUGCUUUUGUGUUUUCUUGUAGAAAACUUCAAGCGAUGUGCUUUUCCAUACACACAAUGUUCACAAAAUUCCAUGCAUGGCUUUUUCAUGUUCUUCAGCAAAUCUUUCUCACCAAGUAAUGAUAGACCCUUUUCUGACAUAUGCCCAAGGCGCAUGUGCCAUAUCCUUGUGCAUUCUGUUUGAUCUUUACUUCCAAUGAUUCCAACUACCAAGUCUCCUGUAACGGUUUUACCUAUAAGAGGAUAAAGAUUUCUGUGUCGAACUCCCUUCAUCACAACCAACGAACCACGUACAACUUUUAAAAUUCCAUCUUCCAUAACUAUUUUGCAACCAUUUUCCUCUAGAACGCCAAGAGAAAUAAGGUUUUUCCGCAAAUUUGGAACAUGUCUCACAUUCAUCAGAGUUCUUAACGCUCCAUCAUGCAUCUUGAUUUGUAUUGUACCAUACCCCAUAAUUUUACAGGCAUGGUUGUUCCCCAUUAAAACAGUUCCACCAUCUAUACUUUGGUAGGUAGCAAACCACUUCCUAUUUGGGCACAUAUGGUGUGAGGCUCCUGAAUCAAGCAUCCACUUACCUGAAAUAUCAUGGUCUCUCUCUGAGACAGAGAAACAAUCAUCCUCGUCAUUAGAUACAUAACUCGCCUUUGACAAAUCUUGUUGUUUGCCUUUAGAGUUGUUGCCGUUGUUGGCCUGCUUAUUCUGAAAUAAUACCCUCUUAUUUGGAUAAUUUGCUUUAAAAUGUCCAAGCUCACCACAUUUAAAACAUGUUCUUUCCGCAGGAGCUCUAGAUUUUGAUCUAGACUUCCUUCCCCUGCCUUGUCCUCUUUCAUUGGUCCUCCCUCUAGUAGCAAACAAUCCUUGAGCUUGUUCCCUAUGUUCUCUUCCACUGCUAGACAUCCCGCUUGUAGCAACCUUUCGAAGAUCAUCCGCUAAAAGUGAUGUUCUAGUCUCAUCCAUGGUUAGAGUAUCACCCACAAGCAUCAAUGUUUGUACUAGAUUUUCGUAAGACUCUGGUAAUGAAAGCAAUAAUAUGAGUGCUUGGUCUUCUUCAUCAAUCUUCACAUCUAUAUCCUUCAAGUCUGAUAUAAUCCUAUCAAACUUGUUGACAUAAUCCCGGAUUGAGGUGCCUUCCUCCAUCUUGCAUGUAUACAAUUUGGAUUUCAAAUAGAUUCGAUUUGUCAGAGUUUUCGUCAUGAAAGUUUUCUCUAACUUUGACCAUACGCCAGCAGUAGUUGCUUCUUCAUUAACCAAAAAUGCAACAUCCCUCUCAAGGCAUAAGAUUAUGGCUGCCCGUGCUUCAAGAUCUAACUCUUCCCAAUCCUCAUCCUUCAUACUCACAGGUUUUUGUUCUUUUCCCACUAACGCCUUAUGCAACUUUUGUGAUAUAAGCAGAUUUUUCAUCUACAUCCUCCAAUAGGAAAAAUCAUUUUUCCCAUUGAACUUCUCUAUUUCAUAUUUGCCGACCUUGACCGAUCCACUAGAAGAAGCCAUUUUUGGCUCUGAUGCCAAUUGUUGAGUAGCAGCGGAAAAUAUAGACUUCUAAUAAUAAUAUGAACUAUGCACUCACUAAAGUUGAACACGAAUGUAGUUAGAACAAUAAAUUUGUAUGAAAAAAUGUCUAAAAAGAAAGAUGAACUUCUAAUAAAUAAAUUCACUUUGUUACACUCUACUUGUUUUGUUGUGAUAUCUAAAUUACAAAACUCCUAAACAUUUUAUAAUAAUGUACAUGCUAAAAAUUGAGUGAACAAUACUUCAAACAAUUAUAAACCUCUCAUGUACUCUCCAUCCUAUUAUUACUCUUAUCCUAGAGUAAACAUUCCUUUGCAUUAUUCUUUGCAUUUUCCAUCUUUAGAUUAUUCCAUAUUUAGUAAACACUAAAUAUUUCACUUAUUCUCACAGUCAUCAACAAUAUAACAAUAUUAUAGACGAAUUUAUUUGAAGGUAUAAUUGAAAGAAUGAAAAGGGCAGCCCAAUAUCUCUUUUUCCCUUUAGAUAUAGUAAUAUAAUAUAGAAUAGUAUAGUUCAUUUUAUGAUCCAACAUUAGUAAUUAGUUUUUCUAAUUUGUACAAAAAAAAAUUAAAAAAAUUAGUUGUUCUACCGAUAGUUGUUUGAAAUUCGAUCCUUUAACAGAUUGUUUCAUUCCUUACCUCAAACUAGUUAAGCUAUCUAAAUUGUGAAAGCAAAGAAAUCUACAUUAAAACUUGUUAAGACAAACAAAUUGCAUUUACAUUUCUUUUACAAGAAAUAUCCAUCUGUUUCAUUCCUUGACAAUUGUUUGAUAUAAGAAAGAGAGUGCACUAAAAAAUUAAAAUUAUUAGAGAAAAAGAUAAUAACUGGCAAUUGUUUAUUACGAGAGAAAGAUAACAUACUCCCUCCGGUCACUAUAAGAAAAACUCAACUUUUUAAAUACAUUAAAUAAUUAAUGUAUCUAGUCUUUAUUAUAUACUAUUUUCUUAACUUAUGCCUAACAUAACCCAAAAUAUUACUCCAUCUGUUAAUUUUUAAGUAUCUUUUAGAAAGUUAACACCAAAUUAGCAAUGUGUAUUUUUGCACAUUUUCUUCCUAUUAUACCCUCAUUUUAAUCCAUCAAUAAACUUCUAUUUUUUUGCACACACUUUAUCCUUCCAAUAAAUUUAAUAUGUCAUCUUUCUCUCGUAACAAACAAUUGUCGGUUAUUAUCUUUUUCUACAACAAAUUUUUUAAUAUUGUGCACAUCUUUUUAAUUAUUUUAAGUCAAUAUAAAAAUUUAUUUCAACUUCUUCUUCUUCAUUGUCAUCUUGUUCUUGUUCUCGUAUCUUGACAAAUGAGUUUCAACUAUUUCUCCCUCUUCACCUCUCAUCAUCAGUUCCAAUGAGUCUUCUACUUUUUCUUCAUUUUAAACAUUCAUGAAGUCUUUUAUUUUUCUUCACUCGAAUUUGUUCUUUCGCUUUGCGCUUGAAAUUUUUAAAAAUUGUUACUCAUCUUAUUUAUAGAAUUUUAACUCUUAUUGGAACCAUUGUUUGUAACAAAAUUUUGUUUAAUUAGAAGAUAACAAGAAACAAACGUUGUUUAAAAAAAACAAGCAAACUUUGUUUAAAAAAAAUAAACUUUAGUUUUCAAAAUCGAUAGCAUUAAUUAGUUUUAUUGAAAAAGAUAAGAGUAAUUGACAAAGAGUAUAAUUGACAAAUCGGACCAUUAAAAUACCAAAAGACGGUUAGAGCCCGUUCGUUAUAUCUUUUUUAAGAAAAAAAAUCAAUUUUUUAAGAAAGUAAUCACUUUUAAGAAUAUUGUAUUCGUUAGUUACAACUUUCUAAAAAAAAAUCAGAAUCUAAAGAAAACAGCUUCAAAUGAGAAGCUGUUUAGACACCUUAUAGAAAAUAUGGAUCAAAAAAUUAAAUUAAUUUUAUAACAAAAAAUCGCUUUUAUAUAGUUGUAUCCAAACAAACUAAAUUAUUUUUUAAAAAGGUGAUUUUUAUUACGAUAAACAAACACAAAAUAGAUUCUGAUUUUUCUUAAAAUCUCUAAAAAUAAUCUCUAAAUUAUUUUAUGUCAAAAUCACUUUUAUUUUAAUCCGCAAUAAAUGGACCCUUAAAUAGGAACGAAAAAUUCACCCUAAAAAAACUCUUAAAAAGGAAUAUGGAGUAUUAUACAAUUGUUUGAUAUGAGAAAGAGAAUGUGCAAAUUGGAUGGAAAAAACCUUAAACUAUCUCCGGACAAAUUGAUGUGAACGUUUUAGGUCUAAAUGUACAAUUAUGAAUUUUCAAAAUCUUGUCAUGAUGAAAACAAUGACAGGAAGAAUAAUGGUAUACAAUAGAACAAAGAACUUAAAACUCUUGUGUCAUUUUCAAAAUCAUAUCAUGAUGAAAACAAUGGUAGUUUAAAAAGAGUUGUGUUAUUUGAAGAAUUAUUUGAUUGAUAAUUUUUAAGACAAACAUAAUUUUUCAAAAAAAAAAAAAGAGGUAUUAGUACAAAUAUCAAAAUAAUAGAAAAAGAAAGUAAAAACAUAAUAUGAGUAUGAGAGAGAAAAUUAUCGCAAAAGUUAUAAAAAAUAAUUGUAUAAAUAUCAUUUCUCUUUGAAAAGAUAGUACAAGGAAUCAAACAAUGAAUAAUCGAUGACACAUCAAUAAUCGACACAAAAUUCUAUAUAUACUCAAAAAGCAAAACAAAGACUUGGAAACUCUGCGGUCUUCAGGGCAAUCAUUAACACGUUAAGUAAUUGAGAAAAUGAUAUUUGUACAGCCAAUUUCUAACAACUUUUUGACAACUUUCUCUCUCAUACUCACAUUAUAUUCUUAUUAUCUCUCUACCUUUUUCUCUCUCUAUUGAUUUUGAUCAAUCAAAAUAGAGAAAAACAAAGUUGUCAUGGAAGUUGUUUAGAAAGAGAUGUACAAAUAUCACUACUCUAAGUAAUUAAUAAUCGAUGACUUUUUAGGUGAAGACAAUAAAUAAUUUUAGAUUUUUUUUGAGGUAAAUAAAUAAAUAAUUUUAGAUGAAGGUACAUAAUUUUUGUUUUAGUAUAUGGAGAGAAAAAAAUACACCUACAUGUUUCAACAACUCUGGUACAACAGUAUUCAAACAAGAGCCUUGCUAUUUGUUACGAGAGUAUGCUGUACGAAAGGCAAGAAAUACACACAAAAUGAUAAAAUGUUUAUAUAUAAAUGAUUUAUAUUGCUUAAGUGUUUAGAUAUUUGUAUGUUUAUGUUGUUGUUGUGAGUUUAAGCGUUUAUGUAUAAUUUGCACUCAAAUUGUUUGAUGAAAUGUUUGAAUGAGUUUUACAUUGAUUGUUUAAUUCCUUAUGAUGUAGAUAUGAAACAAUGGACAGUUUGUUCAAAGCUCAAGUACAUUUGAACACCGGAAACCCUCAUUUGUUCAAGGUUGGGGUCGAUGUCACGCUAAAGGAUCAGAAGGAUCAACUACAAAAUCGAUCAAGGACUCAACCCUGAAGACACAAGGGAGGGUGGAGGACCUUCGGUAUGCAUGUCCCAGUUAUUUGCAGACCAAAAGGAUAAUGCUGACAGACGAUGACUGUGUGAGGACCAUGUUCUCCAUAUAUCGUCAGCACCACAUGUUCCCGAGGAUUGAGAUGGAAGCUUCGUUGCUGAGAUCGCCUGUAGAUAUUCUCAAGAGUUUGAUUAUGCCACAAGAUUAUGUUUAGGUAGCAUCAUUAUUAUGUAAUGUCUUUAUUUUGUUUGAAUUUAAGUUUAAUUCUUGUUAGUUUGUGGAAGAUGUUGGUAUUGAAGUGUCUUAUACUGAAUGAAAAGAUUUACAAGCCUCUUUGAAAGGUCAAAAUAAUGGAUAAAACAUAUGUUGUUUUCUACCUAAUGGUUGUACAAAUUUUUCAUCAAAUUCCUUCGUAUAAGAUGAGUGGGACAUAAGGGGAUGCAAUUGAAACUUGUACUUGAUCAUGCUUCUCUUUCAAUUGAAACUUGUCAGUUGGCUGGGCAGUAAGAUUAAAUUCAAAACAACCUCUUGGAAUGCAUUCAUGUUUGUCACUACUCAUCUAAUAUUAGUGAAUUUGAUGUGAAAAUUUAUACAGCUCAUUAGGUAGAAUGCAACAUAUGUGUUAUAUCCAUUCUUUCAAGUUUUCAAAGGGCGCUGUAAACCUUUACACUAAGUAUAAGACACUUAAAUGCCGACAUAUUCAGUAAACUUUCAACAAUUUAAUUUAAAUUCAACGUCAUGAUGAUACCACAUAUAUUUAGCAAGAAUAUAAUGUAAUGUAGAUGAAAUUAAAAUGAAAUAAAAUUGUGUAUUUUUUGAAUUGAUUUUGUGUACUUGUGCAACUUUAGUCGAAUUUAUUCAAUACACAACUUUAUUCGAAUUCACGCAGGUUUAAUUAGUCUUCGAAGACAUUAUAUUAUUUAGAUGCUAAAAUCAUAAAAUAAAUGCAAAUAUAAACAAAAUCAUAAAAUAAAUGCAAAUAUAAACAAAAAUAAAACAAUAAAACAUAUACAUAUAAAAUCUCAUUUUAUUAUUAUAUAGAUACAUUUACAAUAAUGUAUGUUUCUUGUCUAGAGAAAGGGGAUUGGGGUAAAACAACAUCUGCUUCAGAAGAAGAUGAGGUGAUGGGAGCAAAAUUUGUGGGGUAAAGCAUGGAGAAAUAGAUGGUGGGGGAGAAAGGGAAUGGGAUAAGAUAUGUUUCUUGUCUAGGAAUGGGGAUUGGGGUAAAACUACAUCUGCUUCAGAAAAAGAUGGAGGUGAUGGGGCAAAGCAAAAUAUGUAGGGUAAAGCUUGGAGAAAUAAAUGGUGGGGGAGAAGGGGACUGGGGUAAGGUAUGUUUCUUGUCUAAGGCGAAAGAGACCUUGAUGGUCAACCUUGUUGAAACAAAAAUCUUUUUGAUGAAUGUUUUAAUGAUAACAAACCUUAUGGAAUAAACACUAAGUUUUAUGAAUGGUGAUCUACUGAUGUUUGCAUUGAGUCUUUUCACAGAAGUUGACAAGAAAGAAGUCUCUUACAGGUGCAUGUAUAUACUCAUUGAAAGAAUACUAAAACGUUAGUAUCACAAGCUCAAAGAAGAUAUACAAAGAAUAUUGUUUGAAUCAAACGAGUGUUGACUGAAGAUUUAACAAGAAGAUGAACUUUCUUAGUAAUUGAUUCAUCAUUCUCACAACAUGGUUUUCAACAAUGCCUUAAAGAUUCAAGAUUGCCUAAACUAAAACAUCUCAAAGAUACUCAAUGGACAGGAAAUAUUGUGUGCAAUCACCAAAAGAAAUUAUGAGAUAAAUCGCAUCAACAACAAAAUAAUUCAAGGUUAAUUAACCGAGAAUAUAUUGUCAUAGAAGAGAACAUUAUCAACUCCGAUGAAAGAAUGGUCUCGUAAUGAGGAUGCAUAUUACACUCGAAAUCAAUCUCAUCAUUUCAUCAAAAUGAUUAGAAUUAACUUUGAAGAGAAACCAAUUCAUGAACGAAUUAUUUAUUAAGUCAGUCAUUAAUGAUAUUGGUUGGAGAAAUAUCAAAGAAGAAAAUUCAUGAUCAUAUGCUUGGAGAUUCUAUCAUAAAAGACUUAUGAUGGUCCAAGAAUCUUCCAUCACUAUUCAAGAUAUGAUUUGGAGAAUAGAAAUCAAUCAAAGAAAUUUUGACUUUCCGAAAGGUUUCUCAUGCUCCUACUGUAACACCCCGUUUUUCCAAUGUAAAAAUUUCUAAACAAUUAUCAGAGUAAAAACCAUAAACGGGAUAUCACAUAGAAACGUAAUCCAUAAUCAGUUAAAUAAUAAUUUAACUUUCACAUAAUAUCUUAACAUAGCAGCGGAAUAUUAGUUCGGAAGUCAUAAAUUAUUUUUGGCACGUAGGCCCCAGCAAAAUGUUCCAACAAUCAUAAUAAUAACAUAAAUGUCACGUAAGGCAAUGAAGCAUGAAUAUAACCCCAUCCCGACGCAAGGCCACUCACGACGGCAACUGCACACUAAGCACGAUCACCUGCAAGUUACCCAUACGAAGGGCAACAUUUUCAAGCAGAAUGGGUGAGAUUUCAUAACAAAAUAACAUUAAUCAGUGUAAUUACGAAUCAUAAAUUAACAUUAUAAUCAUUCUUAAACAACUUUGUAUAAUUGCUAAACAGUUAUCACAUAAUCACAUAUUCAGUCGUCGUCAAUACACAGCAAAUUUGAUAAAACAUUCAUUACGUAAUCACGUAUUCAAUCAUUAUCAACAAAGCAUCUUAGACAUGACAAUGUGACAAUGCUCUUAGACUCCUUAUAUGCAUGUGGUACCAAUCGUCAUCAGAAGUAUAAAUAUACUUUAAUCGUGAGGAGGACAAAGCUCCUAAUAAACGUGCGGAGGACAAAGCUCCUAAUAAAUCGUGCAGAGGACAAAGCUCUUAAUAAACGUGGUGAGGACUAAGCUCAAUGAUAUGCUAUGCAUGGACUCUUAACAACAAAACACGUAAUCACCGUAAUCAACAUGCAUCCAAUAAUUUGGAGCUAAACGUCAUCAUGUUCCUCAUACAUAAACAUUAUGCACUUAGUUAAAUAACAGCAGCAGCACAGUCAAGUCACAUAACAGUAUGAUAUCAUUAUACCAAUAGCAAAUCAUUUGCAUCAUAAUUAAACUCUCAUAUCUUACAUAAUCGUACAACACUUUAUUCAUACCCAAUUAAUAUCAACAUAUCUGAAACAGCUCUACAGACUGCAUUUAACGUCAUCAUUAGGUUUCAUUACCAUAAGGGGGGUUCACUCUUGAUCCAAACGUGCGACACAGAUCGCACAACACUCAAGGCACACUAACCUGGAAUUGCUCGCGAGGCGAGAAUCCUUACUCGCCAUGGCGAGUACCAAACAAUUCCCAAACUAAAGUUGUUCUGGGUCUAAUCUUGCCCUACAUUCAUUCCUAAUCAUUACUAGGUAUGUUCAGGCACUCAAAGGCACUCAAGGUCCAACUAAAAAGUCGAAAACACAAAAUCUAACAUGCUCUCUGCCUUAGCUCGCUAUGGCGAGUAAGGUUGCUCGCUAUGGCGAGCUGUGCAAAGGAACUCGCGAGGCGAAAGGGAAGGCUCGCGUGGCGAGCGAUGAAGAUCAUCACUCGCGAGGCGAGGUUCAUAGCUCGUCGUGGCCAGGCUUCCUAUUUUCACAAAAAUCCGACGAUUCACAUGGUUCUAAGCCUAGGAUUGAUUCCAAAGUUUGUCCUAAACAUUAUCUAAGGUCUAGGAACACUUUCUACAACAAUUAAAUCAAUUCCUACCGUUUAAUCAUCAAUUUUAGGGAUUUGACCUAAUUUUUGUUUUCUCCAAUUCAAUCCUAUUUCUCGCUAACUAAUCAUCAGAAUUACAACAACUAACAUUACUGAGUUAUUAGUCUCACCCUUACCUUAAUUUGCAGAAAUCGCAGCCCUCUCUUGGUCUCUUGCUCUCUUCUUAGCUUUUCCUCCUUUCCAAAAGUUUUCACCUACAAUGGUUUUUCUAACAAUUAGGUCUUCUCUAUUUAUAUCUCCUCUUAAUUACUUAUCUUAUCUCACUUUCUCCCCCAAAACUAUCUAAAAUAUCAAAACAGCCCUCAACUAAAUAUUUUAUAUUAUUUUCAAAUCAUUAUUUUAUUUAACAAUAAAAUAAAUCUCAUAUCCUUAUCAAAGCCUUCAAAAUUCAUAACUUAUCACGUCAUCAAUCAAAUCAUCAAAACAUAUCGUAAAUCAUCAAAACAUAUCAAAAUCAUGCAUAUAUUAUAUAAUUAUAAUAUAAUCGCCUAAACUCGAUUAAAUAAAUGAUUAAACGAAAGUGGGCGUUACACCUACAAAUAUCAUUAUGGUCAUACAAAGUGAAGAAAACAUCUUCAUUUGAUGUUUUCAAAAGAUAACAAAAAUAUUACAAUUAUUAUAUUUUUAUUCACUAAUGUCUUUUGUGAGAAUGUAUCAGUGAGAACGAACUAAGAACGUUCAGGGAUAUACGAAGAAAAUAAAACGGUACAUCAAAAGUAUACAAGUCAGCACAAGAAUAGAAUGUUGGAACAAAAUGUGUUUAACAUUACCCUUUGAGAGUUUUGAUGAUAACAAUGUAUUAAAAAUUGUCAAUUGGAUAUGCUAAUAUUUGUUCAAAUGUAUAGGACCAUAGACAAAAAUUUGAUAUAUUAAAUAGGUUCUGGAAGAACAAAAGAGAGCAAUGGAAUCAACAAAAAGGAAGCUUGAAGCAUCUGGAGAGAAGUACUCCUGAAGUAUAGUGCUUCUGAAGUGAUGACGUCAUCAGAAGCAUCUCAUCAGAAGCUGAAGUUCAUCAGGAGAUGCAAGACUUAAAGUUUCAAAGGAUGUUCAAUGGAUUUAAUCUCAUCUAAGCAUUGUAGAAGACUGGAAGAGUGAAGAAACAACUAUUUUGAAAGGAUUUGAAGGCAUUGGAUGCUUCUUCUUUAAAGAGCGUUGACAAAGUACAAUUAUACGAAGUGUACAACCACUACCUCCACUACUCUGUUUUGUCUCUGCUACAAGACAAGAAAACAACUCUGCAUGCAACGAUGUUUCUUCACAAUUGGAAUGGAUUUGAAAUUGAUCCUUCAUAGGACAAUAACCAUAUCAGACAAAAGAUCAUUGAUUAUUGAUCAAAGCUUCAAAUGACUCUAUUUUGAUGUGCUGACAAUUCACAACGUCUCUUUCAUACCUCUAUAUAAAGGAGUAAAGACUUAGAGAUUGGCAAGGACUCAACAACAAUUUACAAGUGCCAAAACUCUACUGAACUUGUUUUGCAAUCAAAGUUCACUUAGAAUUUCUUCUUCAAAGUUCAUAUCUUAGAAAUUCUAGAGUCUUAAGAGUCUGUAUCUGAUUUUUAUUGUGAAUACCACUGAUUGUAUUUCAAGUGUCCAACCUCAAACAUUUUUCUUUAUAAUUCUGUUUGAAUAGAAGUCUCUUGCAGUUGUGCUUGAGCAUUAGAAGUCUCUUGAUUGUGUUCAGGAGCAUAGGAAGUCUCUUGCAGUUGUGCUUGAGUAGUUUGAAGUCUCUUGCUAGUUUUAGCAGAGAGCAGUUGUAAUCAGAUAUUACAUUUUAGUGAACUCUCCUUGGAAGUGCAAGGGGGACAUGACUACUUCCGGUUUGUGGAAGGAACCUGUAUAAUUGAUUUAUGUCUUUCUUCUUUCUCUCUCUCUCUCUCUCUGUUUUUAUCCGCUGCAAGUUUGUCCUGAACAUCACUUCAUAAGUAGAACUCUAUCUGCUUCUGAUCAGUAUUUUCAGCUUAGGAGAAAACGAAGAAAAAGCUAACACAAUUCAACCCCCUUUCUUGUGUUUUUCUCACCUUCAGAAAACAUGGCAAAAUAUUUAAUUGAAAGUUGGCAUCUUGGGCCCAAAGAAAGGUUCGACCCAUUUGGAGCAAAAAUCCCAUUAAGGAAUAUGUCUUCAGAGUUACUACCAUAUGACAUCAUCAAAGAUAUCAUCUUAUGACAUCAUGCAAUGACAUAAAUGUUACAUCAUCAUAAGUGGUCUCCAAGUUUCUACAAUCAAAGAAAGCUCAUAAAGUUGUUCCUUGUGAUAAAAGCAUAUGACAUCAUCAUAUGACAUCAAGAUGACAUCAACACGUCUUAUCAAGUGUCUAGCAACUUAUACAACUCACUAACAGCUGGUUGUCUCUCUUGCAAGCAAGCAACAGUGCAAGCAAAGCAAGCUGCUCGUACAGAACAUUCUGAGAACGUUCUUCCCGUUUUAAUGAAGAAAAGUGAAAUCAAUUGAAGCUUUGGACAGCUGCCAAAAACGUAUCCAACAACUCUAUUUUCACUCUUGAUCACCAAGGCACUCCUCACCUAUAAAUACAAUUGGUUUUGAAUGUUAAAUGCAAGAGUUUUUAAAGCAAAUAUUAUCUCAAGUGAAAAUCAUCACUACAUACAAAACUCUUCACAAUUAAAACAAACUCCAACUCUCUCACUAUAUAUUUGAUCAAUAUCAAGAGUUUGUUCAUCGAAAUCUCAAACAUGAGUUGAGAAGCCUUUGAGGCUAAGAGAGUGAUUUUAACCAUAAUCCACUUUUAAGUGCAAAUAUCAUAAUCUUUUUAUCUAUAACACACUCCAGCUCAUAACAGAUUUGUGGAUCACAUAUUCUGAGUGUGUUUAUUUCAUCAUACCCUCAAACACGAGUUGAGUGUAAAUUCGAUCCCAAACCCAUCUCUCAUGCAAAGUGUAUUGUAAUUCUUAAGUCUAUCCCAAACAAUAGUUUGAGAAAGAAUUGUAGAAGUCUGCUGAGGUUAAUAAUACAGGGUGUAACAGGCUGAUCUGUUGUGAUCAAGACCUUACAGUGCUAGUCAAAAGUUUCUGUUAGCAAGACAACUAUAGUGGAUAAUCUCACAAGAGGUGUGGGGACUGGAAGUAGCCGGGUUUGGUGAACCAGGAUAAUUCUUCAGUGUUAUUCUUCUUCCCUUUCUCUUUUAUUUAAGGCUACACAAUAUACACACACUAUCACACUCAUAUUAAUAUUUAUUAAUCUCUAGAAUAUUCUUGCCCUAAUUAAUCACAACCAAAUUAAUCCAGAGUUCUCUGGUCCCAAAUUAAUUAUUAAUAUUGUUGUAUUAUUUUAUUCAAUAUUAACUGCCUCCAGAACAUUAUGGUCCAAGAUAAAACUUUUUGGUCAUUUUACCAUAAAAUUUAGGUACUUAUGAAACAAGAACUUAGGCAUUACGGUAAGAUUUGUAGUUUACACGAAAAUCUUGACUUAUGAAACAAGAACUUAGGUAUGUUGCUUACAUGAUUGGAAUGCUUUUUUGUAAGAACACUAUUGCCAUCAAGGCAUAAUCAUUCGUUUUUUUUUUUUUUUUUUUUAACUUUUUGGUCAUUUUACCAUAAAAUUUAGGUACUUUAUGGUUGUAAAAUCGUUCAUUUUAACAUUCCUAAGAUCAAAUUGAAGAAUAUUUUUGAAAGAGCGUUUAGUUUGAAAACAUAAGUCACUUUCUUUUAGAAGAAAGUAAAAUCCUAGUGUUCUGUCAUAACUAUGGCUUUAGUAACUACUAAUGACUUCUGCACUGCUGGCUUUUAAGAAAGCCUCUCUGGUGCCGAUCCGUUUGAGAAACAGGUGGCACAACUGUUUUCCGACAGGUUUUAAGGUGAUUUCUUCGAAUAUAUGCUAAUCAUGGUCACAGUACUCAGGGUGUUUGGUGGUCCACUGCUCUUCUAGAUGUUAUUCGGGAUCCGUUUUUUCAGACCGUUUCGGUUGGCCUAAAUAUCGUUUUCCUUAAUUUUGUUUAUGUUUUCUUCUUUUUUUUGUUCUCUGCUUUGUUUUUUAGGGUUAGGUAUAGCCCCCCCUCUUUUGUACAGAUUUUGCUCUUUUUUAAUAAUAUUAUUUUAUGGGGUUACCGACAUAGGAUGUGAUUCGCGUGGGGGUGCCAGCUUAGUUGGGAUGUCCGCGAGUCCCCUUGAUAUCUGCUCCCCUUGAUUCAGCUAAAAAAAAUAGUUAAAAAUGUGAAGGCGCUGUAACCAUCGUCUUUUAUGAGAUUUUCACGAAGCACUUUAUUAAUGAUUAACAAAACCAAGACACUUUUAAUGAUUAAACAAACUAAUGAAAAAACAUAUCCUAAGAUCAAACAGACAAAGGAAAAACACAUUUAAGGAUUUUUAUAAUUUUAAUAGAAUCAAGGUCUGCAGUUUUAUGGGUUAAGACUCAUAAGGUUAUGAUGAAUUACUGACUCUUUUAUGUGUUGUUUACGGUGAGGCCUACGUUACCCUCUCUUGUUUAGAGGGUAAUUUACCCUCUCACGAUAUCAACCAAUCAAAAUGUAAUAUACAUAGAUAACAUUAAAUGUCAAAUAAAUGAGUAGAUUUUUUCUAAAAAUAAAAGAGUUAAUCUUAAUUAUAUUUUUUUUGAAGGAGAGUUAAUCUUAAUCAUAAGUUAACUUUUAAUACUUUUAAUUUUUAUUUAAUUUUUUUUCUUGAAACAACAAAUGAUUUAAUUUUUUUUAUUUUUAUAUUAAGGUGUUCAAUCUUAAUUAAUUUACACUACAAGACUUAUAACAAAUAAAAUUUUACAUCAAAUUUCUUUCAUCUGGAUGUUCUUAAAUUCAUCAUUUACUUUCAUAAAAUUUCUUUCAUUCCAGAACCCCGAACGUGAGAACAAAAACAUCUCCUUCUUUCAAAUUUCUUCUUCUUUAAUCUUCCAUAUUGAUCAAUUUUUGUUUCUUUUUCAUUCUUCUUACCAUUUUGAUUGUUCAAUUUUAUCGUUCCAAAUUGCCGCAAUUUCCAAUUAUCGUGAGAAUUGUCAUUGUUUCUAGAACCCCGCGUCAGGUAUCGUGACUUGUUUUUUUUUAUUUAAGCAGUCAACCUAAUAAAAUUUGUUAACACGCAUAGACAUGUCUCACUAUCAGCAAAAGCAUUUAAGUCCAAAUAAAAGAACAAAAGUCUCAUCACAUAACCAUUUCAGCAACAACCAAAAAAAUGCGAGCAAACUCCCACAACAUCACAGCGGCAACACCUGCUAGCAACCCUCAAAGUACAACGGAUGAUUUACUCAAUUGUUAUAAUUAACUACCUCACAACCAAGAAAAAUCAAAUCAAGUCAUCAUACCUGACGUUGUACUGGAAAUAACAGCAAUUCUCACGAUAUUUAAAAUCAUGACGAUUCUCACGAAAAUUGAAAAAUGUGGCAGUUGGGAACGGCAAAAUUGAACAAUCAAAAUGGGAGGAAUAAGUUUUAUGAAUAUAACUGAUAAAUUUAAGGACAUUCAGAUGAAAGAAAUUUGAUGUGAAAUUUUAAUUGUUCUAAGCCAGUCUUGUAGUGUAAAUUAAUUAAGAUUGAACACCUAAAUAUAAUUAAGACAAUAUUACAUUAUGGGUCCUUUAUCUUAUUUAUUUAUAACACUUUGGUCCUUUGUCUUUAUUUUUUCCCGUUUAGGUCCUUUAUCUAUCUUAAAAGCACAUAUACAUCUUUUUUCGCAUUUUUUUAAUUAAAAAAUACAUAAUUUUAUUUUUUAAAAUAUAUUUUUAUUAAAACUGAAAAAAAAAUCCAAAAAUAUGAUGAAGAUGUUCAUCAUCUUCAUCUUCUUCUUUUGAAUCUUCAUCAUCUUCUUUAAAUAAAAAAAAAUUCUACUAAAAUAUAUCUCCAAAUAUCGUGAAUUAAUGUUAUAUUCACCUCAAAUCUUAUUUUAAACACAAAAAUCAAAACCUUAAUUUCACAAAUGUUGCAAGGCGGAUGGCGGAGGCUUAGUCACUGGCGGAAGGGUUAGACUUUACGAAAGUUAAGAUUGUUCUGGAAACAAUAAAAUUGAUGUGCAAAGCUGCUAUUAAUUUUCGGGUUAUUUUUAUGUCGGGCUUGAAUAUCGAGUUAGAAAAUAAUAAUAUACAACGUGACAAUUUAUAUAACUAUUUUUUUUUUUUGUGAUGAAACUAAAUCUCUUUUUCUAUAGGGGUUUGAUUUUUGUGUUUAAAAGAAGAUUUUGAGGUGAAUAUAACAUUAAUUCAUGAUAUUUGGAGAUAUAUUUGUGUAGAAAUUUUUUCGAUUCAAUGAAGAUGAUGAAGAUUCAAAGGAAGAACAUGAAGAUGAUGAACAUCUUCAUCAUAUUUCUGGAUUUGUUUCAUUUUUAAUAAAAAGAUAUUUUAAAAAAUAAAAUUAUGUAUUUUUUUAAUAAAAAUAAUGAGAAAAAUGAUGUAUAUAUGCUUUUAUAAGAGAUAAAAAGACCUAAGCGGAAAAAAUAAAGAUAAAGGACUCAAGUGUAACAAAUAAAUGAGAUAAAUGAUCUCUAAUGUAAUCAUGUCUAUAAUUAAAUAAAAAUUAAAAGUAUUGAAAGUUAUCUUAUGAUUAUAAUUGAUUCUUUUUUUAGAAAAAAAUUGACUCAUUUAUGACAUUUAAUGUUGCCAAUGUAUAUUACAUUUUGAUUGGUUGAUAUCAUAAGAGGGUAAAAUACCCUCUAAAUAAGAGAGGGUAAUCUAGAAAAAACCGUUGUUUACUUGUAAAAUACUCCACCAAUGUUUAUUGCAUGAAUAAAUUACAGAGAAUACAAAAGGCAUUGCAAGUUGCAACUCAAUUCAACGACAGACUAGUACAUAAGAGAUAAACGACAUAACCAUAUAUUACAAAGAGAUACUCCACCAAUCUAUUCGCUAGAGGAUUGCUGCUCCUCGGCCCUUAACAUCUCUCAAAAUACUGAAUUUGUCUGGGUUACACAAUUUGGAUGUGUAAAACAAGGUGUCAAUUGCACGUCUAGAUUGUAUAAUAAAGAUAAAUUCAGUGUUUCGAGAUAUGUUGAAGAUGAGGAGCAUUCAUCUUCCUAGAGUUACAAUGAAAAUAAUUCACAAAACAUUCAUAAAAGAGGAGAAACCAUUCAUCUUCCAAGAAUAGGACUUUGACUGCACCCCUUAAGCUUAUCGAUCACCAACGAAGUGAAGAUGCACACCAUUUUGCCACCCUAUAUAAUAGUUUGAGUGUUAACCACCUUAGAUAUAUAGUCUAAAAUAUAAAUUUUUAAAAAACAUGUCACCAUAUAAAAAUGACAACUUAAAAUAAAAAACUCUAUAUACAAAAUCAGAAAAUACUAACAAAUAUCUUUACAAAAAUGGUUUUACCAUCUAAACAUGUUUAACAACGCAUUUUGUCGUCUGUUUGUCUUCCACUUAUAUGUAAUUUUUUUUCAUAUAUAAAAUUCUAUAUUUAUAACAAAAAAAUAUCUUUUUCGUCAAAAAGAAAAAAACUAAAAAAAUAUCUUUGUAAAUUCUGUAAAUACUGCCCUUUCAACAAUUAUUCACAUGAUGAUCCCUUAAAAAAAACAAUUAUUCACGAGUAAAUUAUAACACGUCUAGUAAACAUGAUUUGCGUGAUAAUCGUGAGCCCUAAGAGUAAAAACGAAAGAGUGUGAAGAUAACGCAGAAGACUCUGAAAGUCUUUCAUAAAAAACAAAAUAAGGUGACUAGGAAAUUUCUUAGUCUUUUUUCUUAGUCAAACAAUCCUUUUUCGUUUUUAUUAUGUUCAAGACAAAUGCUUGUUAUUUCGUUUUUAAUAAGGUGACUAGGAGUAAUUAUUGUUGAAUUUGUAAUAAAUUGUGGUCAAGAACCAUUUGGAAGAAAACCAAAAGAGUAAAGAUAACGUUGAAGACUUUAUAGUCUUUCAUAAAAAACAAAACAAGGAGACUUUAGAGUGAAAUUAUCAGUCCCAAGAUGUUUGUCAUUCAUACUUGUAGUUUGUAGUUGUUGUAGAUCAAUAGCUAAUUGGCAAUUGAAUACGAGAAUUGAAAGACACAUUUUGAACAAUCAUAAGAGAGGCAUACUUGAAUUGAUUUUUUAUUUUUUUUGGCUUUCGCACCGGUUUCCGACCCACUAAUAAUGGGCGACUAAUCCGGCUCAUGCGUAGAGGCAUGUGCACUGGUCAAGCGUUGUUCCUCCUGGGAAUCGAACCCGGUAUUCCCCGAAUACGUCUUUGGAAGGAGCUCCUUGCCACUGGAGCCCAAACAACUUGGUUUACUUGAAUUGAUUUAAAUUCAGUAACUUACAUGAAGUUUAUUUUACAGACUAUGAAAAUUGAAAAACACAUAAAAUUACUCAAGAACUCACUUUUAUUUUUUUAAUUACUUCUUUUUUUUUUAACCAAAAAUAAUGCAGAGAUCAUUACAUCAUUUCAUUAAACAAAAGAGAAGUACAAAGAAAGAAAGAAAGAAAGAAAGAAAGAAAGAAAGGAAGGGUUGAUGGUUAUAUUAGAAAGAGGUUUAAAUUAAGAGAAAGAUGAAAAUACAGAGUUUUUAAAAUUAAUAUGGAAUCAAGGGCUUUUUUGGUAUUAUGUACAAAAAUGGAAUUCAGUCAAAAUUAUUUAAUAGAAACUAAGUAGAAAUUGAGAUUCCAAAUGAUAGAGGAAAAUCACAGUUAAACCCUAAUCUAAUUCAGAUUUUAUAUCAUAUAAGAAAUCAAACAUAAUGCAUCAAUUACUUUCUAGUUUCGUUAAAAGAUGCCUGCAAUAUCUCUAUGACUUGUUGCUCAAUCCUACACAUUUGAAGAAAUUAUUCAGUCCAUGUUUAUCUUCAAUGGAAGAAGAAAAACAGAUGUAUUCGAGCUAGAUUUCAAUGACGGUGACCAUGUACACAAUAAACUAGCAGAUCAUACUUAUAUAAAACAGAUAACAUUCAAACUAACAGAUGUUAUUUUCGAACACACGAACUGAUCUUGUGUACACUAUGACAUGUUGCUCAAUCCGACACAUAAGUAUAGAUCGGUGUACAAUCGAGGUUUACACAGACAACAUUGCAUGAAUUAAUCUUUUUUAUUUUCUUCGCAGGUUUCAUAACAAUGCCCUUUACUCACCUCCUUGAUGGCUUAGAAGUGGGUCUUUUUACUGCCUUUAUCGAUUCUCAUGUUGAUGUGGUAGAUUCUACCCCAGCCUGUUUCAUCCUACGUUCAUUUGAGUUUUAGAUAGUAAUGACAGACAACGAAGUAACGAACUAGAAGUCGCAUUUUCAUUACCUGAAGUCUGUAUCCUUUUAAUAGAACUUAUGGGAGGUGAGUGUAAUUUUCAUUAUUCCUAUCAUUUUCGUAUUUCUCUGAAAUUACUCUGCUGUAACUCUAUGUCGAUAUUGUCAAUUGUCAGUAAGAUAAUUGGAUAACAUUAAGAACCUAUGACUUAAAUUUUCAUAUUUUCUUAAAUUGAAUUAUUAGUCUUAAUUUAUUUUUAUAGACGAUGAUACUUCUAAGUAGAAUGCAUGAGAAAAAUGACAAAUGUAUUUUUUUACUUGUAGAAUACUUCACCGAAGUUUAUUGCAUGAAUAAAUUACAGAGAAAUACAAAAGGUAUUGCAAGUUGCAACUCAAUUCAACAAGAGAUCACUAUUACAUAAGCAAUAAAUGACAUAACCACAUAUUACAAAGAGACACCCCGAACAAUCUAUUUCCAAGAAGAUAGUUUCUCUUAAGCCAUCAACAUCUCUCAAUUUGUCCGGAUUACAGAAUCCAGAUGUCUAAAAUAAGGUGUCUUUUGCACGUCCGGAUUGUAUAAACAAGACAAAUUGAGUGUUUUGAGACAUGUUGGGAGCAAGGAGAAAUCAUCUUUCUAGAGUUACAAAGCAAAUAAUUCACAAAUCAUUCAUAAAAGAAAAGAAAGCAUUCAUCUUCCUAGAGUAGGUCUUUGACUGCACACCUUAAUUUGAUUCACCACGAACGCACUAUCGAGUACCCUUUAGUGAAAUGCCCCCUAUAUAUAGUUUAAGUGUUAACCUCUUUAUAUAUAAAGUCUAAAAUAUAAAUUUUUAGAAAACUUGAAACACAUAUUACUUUUGAGCAUAUAUGGCUUAGACUAUCAUGAAUGAUAUAUAGAUAGAUAUAAGAAUUUUUUUAUUUUAAUGGAAGUACGAAAUUUUCUUUUAAACUCUUCGGAAAUACUAAGAACAUGUUAUUUAAGAAACUGUAGAGACUAAAAAUGAACAGUAUUUCAAUAGAAAUUAUAUGUAAAAUAUAUAUUUUUAGAUACUAUAAUGAUAUAUUAUGAUGACUAUUUUGAUGUUAAAUGUAAGUAUAUAUGAGAUGUCUAAAGUUAAAGUAUAAUUACCGGUUAACCUUUGAGUCCCCAUCUGCAUUUCACGUAAAUUGUAUCCACUAAGUUGUUCAUGAACUUGAAAUAAGCAUGUCUCCAAGAGCGCUUGAUUAGGAUUGAGCCAAACACUCCCCAAAAGCCUAUAAUAAAUCCGAAUGUCAGACUUAUGUAAAAUCCUCGAUUGAGAAGCAAAUCUUUAUCGUCUUGAACUUCUGCUUUUGGUUCAUGCGCUGGUUUCCCUUCAACACACAACUUUACAAGUGGUUGUCCACAAAGAUCAAGAUUAUCUUCGUAACUUGAGGGAUUGAAACUUUGUAGUUGUGUACUCGUUGGAAUUUCUCCAGAUAAUUGAUUAUGUGACAAAUCUAACACACUUAGCCGGUCUAUGUGAGAGAGACUGGGAGGAAUUGAACCAAACAAGUUAUUUCGUGACAAAUCAAGAAAGUCAAGUGAUGUUAGAUUUCCAAUAUUUGAAGGAAUUUUCCCUGUCAAGUUGUUUCUUGAUAAGUUCAACGAGACCAAUUGAAUCAAAUCUGCAAUUUCAGGUGGAAUCUCUUCUGAGAAGUGAUUGCUGGAUAGGUCUAUGCUUUUUAGAAGAUACAAGCCAUUGUUGUUAAACUCUUGUUCUACACCUUUCCAUGUCAAGAAUGCACUCAAUUCAUAGUCUUCUUGAAAACUCGUAGAUCCUUGGCUGAUAAUAUAAGAAUGACCGAUAAAACCAUCUGGUGAAUCUUUUUGAGUCAUUGAAGUGAAAUUUUUAAUGCAUUUCGGAAUCUUCCCAGAGAGAUUGUUCAAUGAGAGAUCAAAGAGUUGAAUAUUUUGUAAAUGGCAAAGUUCAAAUGGUAAACUUCCAAAGAAAUGAUUCCUUCGUAAGCUUAAAAUUUGCAGAUCUUUUAAUUUGCUUCCAAUCCAGUAAGGGAUGAGUCCAUUUAAUCUAUUUUCUCUCAAAUCAAACAUUACCAUAUCAGUGCAGUUCAUUAAGGAGAAAGGGAUCUCCUCUGUUAAGCUAUUGUUCCUCAAUAGUAAUGCUUGCAGAUUAACAAGUGAUCCCAUUGAAGAAGGAAUCUUCCCUGAAAAAUUGUUGUGGCUCAAAUCAACAUAAACCAAUGACUUGAAAUUGCUCCAACAGUCUGGAAUUCUUCCAGAUAAUUGAUUAUUUGAAAGGUCAAAUUGGCCUAACAUUACAUCUAUACCAUUUGCACAUAAGAAUGGAAAAGAAUCAGAGAACUUGUUUUUGGACAGGUCAAUAACAUGGGAACCUUGUAGAAAUGGUGGAAUGGGCCCUUCAAAUUCAUUUAAUGAAAGAGAUAAACUAGAGCAAUAAUUUUUUACUUGAAGAUUUGGAAUUAUUCCUUUGAGAUUAUUGUUUGAAACGUUGAUGCUCCUGCACUUUUGUGAUGAUAGUUUAGCCCAAAACCACUCCGGAACAUUAUCUGAAAUUCCAGCAUUAGAAAUAUCAAGAAUGAGCAGGUACUUCUGUGUCUGAAUCCAUUUAGGAAAUGUAAGACCAAGUUUGCAUGAUCUCAAUCCUAUAAUGUGAAGUUGAAAUGGCGGGACCCAGUUUUCAGUAAAUGUCAAUGCUAGUGAAUUGUCAGACAAGUCUAAUUCCUUUAACAUCGACAUACCAGAAAAAUGAAAUUCAGAUAUCACUCCACUCAUAGAGUUCGAACCCAUCUGUAAUGUCCUUAGUU